ACACCAAGACCUCCCUGGGGGCGGCCUCGCUAGGCUGGCUCCUGAGGAGCGGAGAUAUCUAUGCAAGGGGCACCUCGCGAGGUUCACGUGACGUGAGCCGUGACGACCAAGGCCAGGCGGGUGCCAGCGGGCGCAGUGUACCAGUUUCCCCUUUGGUGCCAAGGGGGGCAAGCGCAGUCGAGGAGUCCCGAGGCGGCAGGCAAAGGCUUCCAUAUUGGUGCAACAAGACCAAGACCAGCAGGACAGUAGGACGGAGGUCACCGUGGGGCCUAGGACGGCGUCACCAUCAGAGCCUUUGGUAGGCGAAGACUACUUUUGUCAGGAUAGCUUGUACUAUCUGUCCCCCUUUAAAUUGGCCGUUGUGGGAUCCCUUCCCGCCUGAUAUUUGGGAAGAGGACCGGGGCCUCUAUUAAUAGGACUAGCCACCACCAUAGCAGGGGGGAUCGAGAUCGGCACCAGCUCAUUGAGCCCAAGAACACCUCUCCUCCUGAGGCUGUUCGUCCCUUGUACUAGUUCAUCUUCAGCCCCUCGAGGCAAUCCACCACCACACACUGGAGUAGGGUAUUACACCGCAACGGUGGCCCGAACCAGUAUGAACCUCUGUGUCUCAUGUUCUUCGUGUUCGUCAAGCUAGGUCGUGGAUCGUUGAGCGGGCAAGCUAGGGAAAGAGAGAGAGUUCUUCGUACGCACCCCAGUGUUCGAACCUCAAGGGUUUGCCGGAACCCACGAUCCGACAAAUACUUGUCAUCUUACCUGACAAGGUAUUGAAGACUGACUGGGAUGUGGCGGGUGGAGGAGCUCAGGUGGUGGCCGGAACUGAGGGCGCCGAGGAUUUCAUCCCCAUGAACAGGUGGCUCAGGAUGGUGGCCCUGCCUGGCAGGAUCGCCUUCAUGCGCCUGCCUCAUUCAAGGGGACGAUCUUCGAGGCAGGGCCACGAGGAGGGAGCCCGGGAGCCGCUGCGCUUCUACCAACAGAUCAAGGACAACGAGGACCUCGCCAUGCUCGUCGUCCCUCCCAAGUUCGUGGAGGUGAUGAACACCUGGAUGGUCAUCAAGCGGCUCCCGCGCGUGGUCAGGCUGUCGGCGAACAAGCGGUGCGUGUUCUGGGUGCAGGUCCAGAACUUCGAGGGGCACAUGGUGCUUGGCCAGGGCUGGAACUACUUCUGCCGCCGCCACCGGAUCGUCCCCGGCGACCUCGUCGUUGUGCGCAUCUCAGGACGCGGACUGAAGGUUCAGAUCUACAACCAUGACUCCUCGGUCAUGUGCAGGUUUCGUUGCAGCAGGCACAGUUGCGUUGGUGACAUCGAGCAUGCUAUGUAGUUAAGUUAAGUAAGGUGUUAGUGUUGAACUUUUAUGGUGUGUGGCGAGACUUGUGCUGGGAACUUGUUCAUAUUUUGGCCAGGAGCAGCACCCUGGCAUGGAGCAGGGAAGGAGGAUGCCCCUGCUGUUAAUCUAGAUUAUGUUAUGUAGUCAAGUAGUUUGCUGUCAUCUCUUUGCUUGCUGUGUUUGAUUUCAUUUGGUUGCUUGCUUUGUUUGAUCUUGUUGUUGUGCUGAUCAUGUGGUGGUAAGGCCACCACAUUUGAAUGGGGUGAGCAGAACACAAACGUUGUUUGCAACCAAACAGCUGAAGUUUGCAUCUGCUCACACCCUAAGCACAAAAACACCAACCAAACAGCAGGGGGUAAGUGCCCCUCCAUGCGAUGCAGGCAACCAAACAGGUUGCAUCUGCUGCAUAUGAGGCUGCAUUCAACAACCAGGCUGGCUGGAUAUGGACAUGCAAUGCAACUACUGUUGCAAACUGCAACCAAACACGCUCGAGAUGUUCCUUCCCGAAAGAGUUUNNNNNNNNNNNNNNNNNNNNNNNNNNNNNNNNNNNNNNNNNNNNNNNNNNNNNNNNNNNNNNNNNNNNNNNNNNNNNNNNNNNNNNNNNNNNNNNNNNNNNNNNNNNNNNNNNNNNNNNNNNNNNNNNNNNNNNNNNNNNNNNNNNNNNNNNNNNNNNNNNNNNNNNNNNNNNNNNNNNNNNNNNNNNNNNNNNNNNNNNNNNNNNNNNNNNNNNNNNNNNNNNNNNNNNNNNNNNNNNNNNNNNNNNNNNNNNNNNNNNNNNNNNNNNNNNNNUGUAGUGUCGGUCACGCUCGCUGGCGGCCGUAGGGGCGAUUGUAAAUGAGGGAGGCGUGGGGGCCCUCCAUGGGGGUGAUGCGGGCUCUGCUUUGACGCCGCGGCGACGGCGGCUCGAGGACGAACCAGCCUCGUGGUCGUGCGCCCCCUUGCGGCCGAUGCUCCACCACACCAUGGCUGUCGGCGGCCGGCGAGCUCGAGGAAGGGGAAUGGAGAACUAGGGUUUGGGUGUCGAGUUUCGAGGAGGCAGCAGGGACUCGAGUGGGAGCGUGGACUGCGACCGGUUCACGGCUUCCCAUCUAAGAAGGACGCCUUCCGCUCGCCUGGGCGGAUGACAGGUGGGGCCGACUGACCGCGCGUGCACAUUUAUGUUGGGCGGUGGGAGGUAGGUGGCCGCCUGCCACGCAGCCCCAAUGCGGACGAGCGACGUGUCCAUUUGCUGUACGCAUGGACCCAAACCGGGCACAUGUUUGUGCUCGAAAUGGGUCGGGCUGGACACAAAACGGACAAGAUGGGUCCCGGCCGUCGUGCGCUGGGCCGUGGGGUCUGUCCGUUUUGCCCCAAACGAACAGGGCCGGAUGGGAUGGGGUCGUGCGCUGGAGUUGACAUAGUUUAUAAACAAAAAUAUUAAUCUAUACAAUAACAAAUCAACACCAUUAGAUUUAUUAUUGAAUGUACUUUCACGUCAUAUAUUUGUUAUGAUAAAUGUGUGUAUUGUUUUAUAAUUUGAUCAAACUUUACGAAGUUUGACUUCAGUCAACUCUAAUAUGCAGAGUAAAUAAAAACGAAGGGAGUAUGUGACUUUGCAUCUCGAGACAUCUCGAUUCUCAAGAGGGUAAAGACAAGUGUGGCUCUCAACUAAACAAACGUAGCAGUGACUUGUUCUUUUUUGUGUUGUUUCACCUAGUGUUGCGGUGUCAUCGGUAUGUGUCGAUGCCUUGGAGGUGUCAUCUUCUUGGACACUAGCUUGGCGGAUCGUCCCGGAGAAAAUUGUCAUGGCUGGGAGGUUUAACCUAGCUACUAUAGUCGAUAAGCUUCACCAACAUCUUCUUCCUCUUCCGCUGCAUUGAUCGUUGGUGAGAUCACCGUUACCUGUACCUCCAUGGACAUGGUGUUUUGGGGCAUGUUCGUACACGGUACUUUCUUUAUUGCGGAGCAUGUUCCAGUAUAGUCGGAGAAUGAAUUGACAGGGUGAGGCAAAGAGGGUGACCGCCCUCGUGCCCUGAAGGAAUAAUGCCCCUAUCCAACAGUCUAGUAACAAAUCCUCUAUAACAUUAUGCUCCCUAGCUGUAAAGAGUCCACAUUCAAUUGAGGUCUCCAAUUGGGAUUGGGUUAUCCGUUUUUGACCGGGUCAACAGUUUCUCAAAGCUAUCUCAUUCAAUUCUUUUAUACUAUACACUAUGAUUUCUAAUUUUUAAGGCCUCAUAAUUAGUUGAGGUAUUCAAUUUAGAAUUAGGUCAGCCCAAUUUUGACCGCGUCAACAAAUUUUGAAGGGCUCUCAUAUUCAAUUCUUUUAAUUCCCUAUGUUCCCAUUUUGAAGCUAUUUCAUUCGGUUGAGGUAUUCAAUUUUAGAUUUGGUUUACGAUUUUGACCGGUCCAAUGAUUUUUCAAAUCAAUCCGCAACAACCGGCCUAUAAAUGAUUUCUAAUUUGUAAGACCUCACAAUUAGUUGAUGUUUUCAAUUUAGAAUUGGGUCAGCCCAAUUUUGACCGGGUCAACAAUUCCUCAAGGGCUCUCCCAUUCAAUUUUUUUAAUUUCCUAUGCUCCCAUUCUGAAGAUCUUUCAUUCAAUUGAGGUAUUCAAUUUUAGAUUUGGUUUACGAUUUUGACCGGGCAAAUAAUUUUUUAAAUCAGUCAGCAGCAAUCGGCCUAUAAAAACAUAUCAAUCCCGCGCACCCUCCAACCACAUAGAAAAAGAAGCACCACCUGUUGACACAGGUUGCCCUCAGAUUCGGAGCCUGGCAUCACAGGACAAGAUGCCAUCAUAGGGGUUGCACAUCCUUCAGUUGGACGCCUAUACCUCCAAAUGUUUGCUCAUGCCGCCGGCACCACUGGAUCCAAGCCCCACUUACCGGGAGGCAGUGGAUUCCCAUUGAAGCGAUUCCGACGGUGGAGUUCGGGUUUCCUCCUGGGACCAGGGAGAGCUAGCUAGAAGGCUAACUCCUUGUCCACCAGGGGAUGAGGCCCCAGUCCACGGAUCCGGUGUUUCCGGACUCGGUUUCUCUACCCGCCAUGCUGGAGAAGGUCGGAGAUCGCCGAAGAGGAGGUGAGAGGGCAGAGUGGAGUGGAAUGGAAUGGAAAUGGAAUUGAAUGACUAAGGUUUGGUCCAGGAUGGGUGUAGAUACAUACAUGAUAUCUGUGGGGUCGGGAUGGGACGGUCCGAUGUGGUCUAGACCUCCCCAUAUCCGCCUCACUUAGGGCUUGUGUUUUAGAUGUGUUAAACAACCCUAGCAUUUGGUUUGGGUAUAGAGGGUCUAGUUGUGUGGCACUUCAUGACCAGAUAGUGAUCGGACCGUCCCCGAACGUAUAGCGGAGUUUUGAGGGGUCUGGUUGUAGAAGCUUCGAGGGCUCAUUUGAUUUGAAGGAUUUUCAAAAAAUAAAUAAAAAUGAAAUAAGAAUUCUAGAAGUUUUUUUGUAAGUGCAUCCGGUUUAUAGGAAACAAGCACAACAAUUACUUAGGAAUAAUAUUCCUUUAUUGUGUUUUAAUUGGACUACACAUCGGUCAAAGCUUAUUAUUUUUAUAUAAACACUUGGUUAGCCAAUUCUAUAUGUUGGCAGUUGACAUCCUAUCACAUUUUUGUAGUACUUCCAAUUCCUUCGUUUUGGUUGCCUCCAAACCAAAUGAGCCCUUGUCAAGAGUCAGACAACCUUGCUACUAUGGUGUCCAUGAGGGGUCAGAGCACCAGUGGUUUCUCCUGCACGACAACGAUGUCAACUAUGGUGCUUUGCCUCGAGAGUUCAAGCUUGUAGCUUUAGAAGCACAAGAAUGCUAUACAAAGAAAUAAAAUCCUGUGGGUUAAAAUCCAGCAGGAAUUCUCCAAACGGAAUGAGUCCUUGAGCUGUUCCCUCAUAGUGUGCACAAAUAAAACUAAUUAAAAAGCAAAAUACUAGAAAAUCAACACUAAUCUUCACCCACUGGAUUCCUACGGGCAGUAAGGCUGCGUGAGAUUCACUAGUUAAAUCAACACUAAUCUUCUACCAAGAAGCUAAUCAACAUAUUUUUGGUGUUGAGAUCCACUAGUUAAACCAAUACUUUGGGAACUUCACACCUACUUACAUUGGGUGAAAUAUUUAGUUCUUAAUGGUUACACAUCAAAAUUCGCCAGGGGAGCACUAGAUGCACUUCCACAUAUCCACCAUUGUCACCUUUCCAAACAAAACCACAUUGAAUUUUCUGAACUUCUGUAUUACACACUUCGGGGGGAUUAGUAGGGUGAUGUAGGACGUAACAAUGGUGAUAAGAUGGCCUUGACGAGAUUAAUACGACUAGUAUGGGUAAAAAAACAUUUUGUCCCGCUCUGGCAGACAUACUCCAAAUUCAUCAAUAGCCAAUGGAAUUUGAUCCCAAGGAGCAUGCUUUUUUUUUUACCACAGAUCCCAAGGGCAUGCUUGGGUGAAGGGGUAGAUCAAGAUGGGUGCAAGGAGAGUUGAGGACUGAGGCAAAGAUUUAUAAAUUUUCUUACCUAAUCAUGUACUAGAAACCACUGAUAAGGCAAUUAUUAGGCAAUAAACUUCCGACAUCUCUGCCAAGAAAUCCACUCAAGAUAUAUUAAAAAGAAUAUACAUGGCGACACAUAUAUGAGAUUAUACAAAUACACUAUAUAAUUGAAGGAUGCGUGCACUUUCCAAAUACUCAUUCAAAUAGACGUGCAAUUUUGUAAGCAAAUUCAUUUGCGGAUUUAAGGGACAUGGUUAUAAGAUCUUGUUAAGAAAAAUGUCUAAAAAAUGAGGAAACUAAUGUAAGUUGAUAUUAAUUUAGUGUAACAUGAACGUAUUUUCCAAUGAUAUAUAUUAAAAUUUAUAUAACAACAAAUACUAUAAUUAACAUUUAGCAUUAUUGCUAUGUGAUUAAGUAGGCUAACUUAGUAAUGGGAAAAUAUAUACCAUUUGGAUUGCACUAUGAUAAAUGGGUUGUAAUAAAGUAUACAAGUUUAGUAUAAUCUUAAAAUAUAUAUAGACAUAUGAUUUGGUUGAAACAAGCCCACGGAGGUACGAACUAAUGGAUUAUAAAACCACUUGUCCAUUCGUCAAUAAAGCUGCAGCACGAUAGUACCAAAGACACAUCACUACUAGGGAAAACCUUAUACACAAAAUCUUAGCAGCAGCGCGGUUUAAAAACAGACGCUACUGCUAAUUAGCAGUAGCGAGCUUCAGGAAACCGCGCUACUAAUAGCACGGUAGCAGUAGCGGUCUAGGUGAAACAAGCGCUACUACUAUAAUUGCCACGGUGUUGCCCCCAGGCUAGAUAUAGUAGUAGCGCCCUUCCAGGAACGCGCUACUGCUAAAGUAAUAGUAGCAGCGUUUUUCUUCAAAACACGCUACUGCUAAGUAUUGCACCUAAUUAAGUUUAGUCCCAUACUGCUAAGCGAACAAGGUGUUUACCACCUUAAAUAUAUUACUUCUCAAACUAUCUCGAGCACUUGGUCUUCAUUGAACUAUAUGUGUAGGAUUUGUGGCUGCAAUAUGAAUCUUCACCAGUGCCUAUACAGGUACUGUGAGGAUUCAUGUUGACUAUUUAGAUUCUACACAAAAAGAUCAAUGAUGACCAAUGUAUAUUUUUGAAGUUUUUACAUGCUUAGACUUAGCAGUAGCGUUUUUUCAGGGCAAAGCGCUACUGAUAUUAUAAAACAGAAAGGAAUAGCUGUAGCUCGUUUCGCUAAACACGUUGUAGCUAACUUAGCUAUAGCUCGUUCCGGCAAAACGCGAUGCUGCUAGUUUGACUUAACCCCCGGCCGCGCGGGCUCAAAAUUUCGCUUAGUCCUUCCCCUCCACUUCCCCCUCUCCCCCAACUGCUCCAUCGUCGCCGUCAGCCUGCCGCUCUCGACCUCACCGCCGCCGCCCUCAACCUCACCACCGCCGCCGCCCGCCGCACACCCUCGACGCUUCCCCCGACCCCGACCUCGACGCCGCCCCCGACCUCGACGCCGCCCCCGACCCCGACAUCGACGCCGCCCUCCGCCGCGCGCCCGAGCCCCGACCCCGUCCUCGACGCCGCCUGCCCCUCCCUCGCCGCAGUCACCGUAAGGCUCUGCCUCUCCUCUCCCCUACCCUCCUCUCUCUCGGCUAGGGCAAUUCAUAUAUGUGUUUAUGCUGUGUUGAUGUUCAUAUGAACCCUAGGUGUUCAUAUGAACCCUAGAUUUGUUUAGAGCAGUAGGCAUUUUUUAGCAUUUAGGAAAAAUGAUUAGCAAUUUUUUUAGGAAAUUAGCUAGGGCAAAUUUUUUAUGAAAAUGCCUAAAUAGUAAUUUCAUUAAAAAAUAGAAUUGUUUUUUUUUCCAGAAACUUGGUUAAACUAAUUGUUGCUAUGUAAACAAAAAACAAGAUUGUUGUUAUAUGAUAUAUGUCAUUGAUGUUCAUUUGCAUAUUCCAUUAUUGAAGUGGUUUGAUUGUGCCCAAGUGGGUUUGUUGUUUCCAGGGAAUGAAGUCGAUUAUGUUUUGCCGGAAUGUUGAUUCAUUUUCGUUCCGGCAAAUUUCAGGUUCUCGAUUUGUCCACUUUUUAGUAAAAGUCAUGCCGAAAUUUUCCGUGAAUUUCGGCAUGACUUGUGCUACAAACUAGGACACAUCAAGUACCCGGGAUUUGCCGCACCGGGAAGGAGUCAACAUUCCUGCAAAGCAUAGGCCUUUUUUAUGUCAUUAUUCAUUUUAUUAGGUAUAGAAUUAAUUGACUAGAUUUAAUCGUAAGAACUAGUUGAAUUAAUAGAACUAGUUGAACAUGUCACAUUUGUUGUUAUUUUUUUAGUUAAAGCAAUUUUUCCCGCAUCGACGUCGAUGAUGCAUAUCCCGCAUCCUCGUAGUCGAGUCGGCGGAGGACACCUGCGUCACCAGAUGGGCCAUGUCUAGGACUGGGCUCCGCCGGGGUGGUACUGGGAGGCGCUACCUACUGGGGGGCGCAGGUUGGUGAGGAGCCAGCCUGUCGUUGACCCGAACCUUCUUUGGUGGCGGUCGCAUGGGCCAGUGACGGUCCAUAGGCUCGAGGACCCCGCGGAGGUGGUGCGUCACCGUGUCAGUGAGGAGGACGCGCACGUCCGUCGCUACUUGUUUGCGUUGGAGCACAUGUUCUCCAAUACCUGGCAGGUUCUCCAGGGAUCUCACUGGAGCUAUGAUCCUGUGAUGGUUCCUUCUCUUUGGGUGUCCACCGCCCGCGCCGAUACCCGUCGUGUGCUAGGGUUUUAGUUGUAUUAGUGAUAUUAUAUGUAUGAUACUAUUCGGGAUGUAUUAGUGAUAAUAUUCGACGAUGUACGGACGCAUGAGAUGAUUUACUUUUGCUUAUUGAAUGCAUGCUAAUUUGAAUACUUAUUUAUUUUAUGAUUUGGUUUUUCUUAUUGAAUGCAUGCUAAUUUCAAUAUGAGUCCUAUAAGAUAUUUUGAAAUGUAUAUCCUGGUAGUUGUCUUCGAUCGAUUUUCAAUUAAUGUUUCAACUAUGAACAUAGGAAAUGUCUGACAACGAAAAGGAUUUCGGUAUUUGCAAAUACUGCGAAGACGAGCGCGGCCUGUGCGACGGAAUCUUCCUAGAUGAUGCUAGGCGCUUCAGCAUCAAGCUGGACGUGAACUUCGAAGUGGAUACAGUAAGUCACAACAACAAGUCUUUUUUCGUAAUUAAGCAUGACAUCUGCUUCAUUUGCUUCAACUUAUAAUUUAAUUUUUUACUAUUCUACUAGCGUAUCCCCUGCCAUGCAAGAGUUUUUGUCUUGGAUAAGAUAGGUUUCAGUCGUACUAUGGAGGUAAAGAAAGUUUACUUGAAGACCGAGCAUGGUUGUAUUUUCCACGCAAAAUUAUACAACGCAGACGACUAAACCUAUUUUGGAUGCAAAACUUGGCGAGCACUAUGCAAGACUUAUGCAUUUGAGCCUGAUAUGGUUAUCACCUUUGAUAUUCGUCCGGAAGAUGAUAUUGAAGGUAAUACCGACAUCUGGGUCGAUGUGCAGACGCCUCCAGUUAUACCAUUAUGUGAGUUUCUCAACCAUAUUUAUGUCUUUGAUAUUGUUUAUUCAAAAAUAGUUGACAACUAAUUUCUAUUGUCAGCUUAUUUCCGUUCAAGCAAACAUGUCCAGCGCUUGGUAAACAGGACCUACUACUGUCCCGGGGCUGAACUAAACUGCGAGGAGCUAAGUCAUUAUGUUUCAUGGCUUGAGGAUCUUAAUACUGUCAAGACAAAUUUUCUUCCUGCACAUAGAAAUGUUAGUACUGAAAACGUGAGACCAAUAGUGUUCAUAAUGAACUACGGUCACAUCUAUUUAGGAAAGAUGGUAAGAUUUUUACUAUUUGUCCUCAGUGCAUCUUUUGCAUACAUUAUUUUUUAAGCUAAACUUCAUUGCUAAGUAUAUUACUAUACGAUGUUCUUCAACAGGGACUCUCGAUGAAUGUUGUGCCUCAUGGGAUCGAGACUAAAGGUACCAUGAGUAUUGUUAGCUUACGGCCAAGAUAUCCUACAAUGCACUUUAGUGCAUUCAGGAUUUCUAAUAGCGAGGGAUGCUUAAUAGUGAAAGACUGGACCAAAUUUGUGAUGGAGGAGUGCAGAGAAGUACUAGGGGGCAGCAAUCAGAAGCGCAGCCCACGAUUAGGAGACUGGUUCAUCUGCAUGCUCCAACUUGAUGAAGGAGAAGAGCUACACAUGUUUUAUGUUAUUUUACCUGAGAGAGAGCAGCAGGAGUGAUUAGCUAGCUAGAAAUGAGUUUGAAGAUGAUGAUAUGCUACACUAUGACUGUGAUGAUUAAAUAGCUAGUGUUGGUGGUAAUGACUAUGAUGAUUAUUAUUUGCUAGUGUUGGUGGUGAUUAGAUAGCUACCGCAUCUAGUGUUGGUGGUGAUUAGCUAGCUAGAAUGAGUUUGAAGAUGAUGACGUGCUACACUAUGACUAUGGUGAUUAAAUAAAUACUGUUGGUGGUAAUGACUAUGAUGAUGAUUAAAUAGCUUGUGCUGGCGGAUUAGAUUCAAGUGGAGGCAACAUGUGGUGCACAUCGAAAGUACUACUAGUCCAAACUAGAUCAAGUUUGGAUUAGUAGUAUACUUUUGACAUGCACCACAUAUUGCCUUUACUUGAACCUAAUCCACCUUCAUUUGACACACUGUUAUGGACAUAAUGAUAUAAACCUCAAAAUUGGUAUUGUAUCAAAAUUUGUAUAACGGCGUAUAAAUACACUAAAAAAUAAAAAAGUACUAGUAGCGAUGGAUAGUAAACACGCUGCAACUAGCUAGAUUAGCAGCAGCGCGGGAGAGAACAAGCGCUGUCACUAUGUGUCUUAGCAGUAGCGCGUGUCGCACGCGCUACUGCUAAGUAAUAGCUGUAGCGCCUUAUUAGUAGCGCGGCAGGCCGCGCUACUAGUGGGCAUUAAACCCGCGCUACUAUUAGGGUUUUUCCUAGUAGUGCAUGCCUGACAUUCAUAAAUUUUAAUCAAAUCUGAGCCGCCUUUUAUCGAACAUGAAUGUACAUGGUAUUGCACAUAUAUGCACAUGAGUUUGAGAGGCUUAAGUGAAAAAAAACUUCUUAGUUUUAACCUCUCUUCAGAACAUGGUACGGACCAUAAUUGGUAUGGUCGUGAGGAAAAAAUCGUGCAUGCCUAAUUUAUCCCUACUGACGUGCUAAUGAAGGCACACUCAUUCUGCUAAGUCUAUGCGUAUUGACUUGAGAUCGCGCGACUGAUGGAGGCGAUGUUGCAAAACCAGAGCUUCCCUGCCUAAUUUCAUCAACUCCACAACAUAAUCACCGAGAUUACCGUUAAUUAAAUGAUUCUCUUCCAAAACGUACCCAUUUACAUUUUAGAAUAAAACUCCAAAGGUGAAUUACCCGAAAUACCCAAUGCAAUGGACGGUUGAGAUGACCUGAUACUAAUAGUCCAUAAGACUAGUAAGUUGCACCGUAAAAGACCUCUCAGCGGGGUGCAGAGUAUCAAAUCAAAGCUAUACUUGCUCAUCGGGGCUAGAAUCAAUGGAUGGAUCGGCACAAACAAGUCCGACAGGAACCAGAAAUGGAGAGCCAUAACAGUACCAUUAUGCCGGCCCUGGAUGAACCUCUCUUCAUUCCAAGGAACCCACCAUUUUCUUCCCCAAAAGAACCCAUCAUCCUAAAGACGGAGCAACUCAACCUCUGUGAUCUGAGACCCCAAGACGAUCAAGUUGUUUACUACCGAUGUUUCUUCAUUUUCUUGCAACGUUCUUACCUUCUCACUAACAGAACCAAAACCCACCAUUUCUUGUUCCCCUUGCUUGGCCUUGCGAGAGGUUUUGAGUGGCUUUGGGUCAUCGAUUGGGAGGUUUCCCCCCGCCCUAGUUUUUUCUUUUGCCAGUACCCAUCGAGGAAGGUGGAUCCUUGGGUGAGCUACAUGAUAGGAAAAAGGGGGGACAUAAAGAGAGGACGAAUAACAAUCACCAGUAUGAUUACCAACAUCCAAAGAAAUAUGUCUUUCUUCCCAUGCAUGUCCAUUACCAGAGUCUUCAUCUGUCAAAUGGUAUAUCAGUCAAUACUGACAAAGCAACGCAUAUUGAACAAAUAAGGAAGGGGUCUUACCCCAAUCAUCGCCACCAUGAUCUGUCUUCCAUCAAGAUGUUCCUAACUUCCCUCACCCACCAUUCCGGCAUGGCCCGCCGCUUGUGAGUCCAACCCCUACGCCUUCUUCGACGAUCUCAUGGAGGAGGAGGAGGAGGUCGACGACACCGACUAGAUGAUGUUGUCAGUGGUUCUACCAUAGGUAGUAGAACAUAGCAAUGUCGAAUAGCGACAUCACAUUGCAUAUUUUGAAAAUGUCGCUUAGUGACAUUUGGAAUCACAAACAAUAUGUAAUGCGACGACUUUUGGCUAGUAAUAUAAGUUUAUUAUGUUUGAUGAUGAUUUGAACAUGUUUCAAUGUACCUUAAAUUGAAUAUACAAAAAAGGAAACAAGUAAAACCACAAAUGCUCUCGAUGAUGCCCUGUCGCUCCCGUGGCUCCUACCCCGCCGGUGCCGCCUGUUCUUGCUGUUGAUGCUUCUCAGGCUGAUUGGGAUGCAACCAAUACUCUCGAUGAUGCUGCGGUUGAUGUUUAUGAUCAGCAGGUAUCAGCUUAUUCAGAUGCUCUUUCUGUCUACCAAGAUGAUCUGUCUGCUUAUACUCAGUGGUGCAAUAAUGAUGCUCGAGCUGCUCGUGUUCUUACUGCGAGUGUUCUCUGACUACUCAUGAGGUGUCCAAGCUGCAGACUACCCACGCACGCAUGCAUGCAUGGCGGAUGACAACAAAAUCGAGCGAGAUACCCGAUCCACAAACGUGUGGAAGAGGGAAGUGGAAUGGUCGAGUCGACCAGACAUGCACGCUCCAUCCACCAAUUGAUUCUUUUUUUUAAUCAAUUCUUGGAGGACUCUUUCACGAUAACUUGUUUCCGGAGAGGCCGGAAAAUUCAAGGACGUGGACGGUGGAAAGCCUCUUCCUUUUCUUUGUCGGCGGCUCUUCACAACCGGUUAGCCAGAGCCAAUGAACCAUAUUAGAUUAGCGACGGCUAACGGUGCUGCUUAAUUAAUUACUAGGCGUCAACCAAAAAGCUCAGCUCCGACCCCAGCCAUGAGUGGGAGUGGCCCGUCAUCAUUGCAUUUGCACAGCGACCUAGCCAAGCCAUCUCGUCUGACCGUGACCUGCAGCGCCUAUCUUUUCUUUGCACAACACAAGUCUCAAAGCGUGGGCAUUCUUUUUCUUCCCCACAGAAAUCGAAUGAAGCUACACCUCAAGAAAAACCAAAGAAUGGAUUAUCACCAACGAAGUUGGCCUUCUUAUCUGACCACGCAACGCUCCGAGACGGCAGACAGACCGGGUGAGGCAAGGAAAGCAUACACAGUCAAAAGAAUCAUACUGUAUGCAACUGAAGAAAGAAAAUUCAGAUACUCCUACUUUAUACCAAAGGAAGGCAGUACGUGGCUUGCAGAAAUUAGAAGGUGCGGUACGUCAUGACCCUUCCCGAAAGAGUUUGUUGGUUAUGAGAUGUUCCUUCCUUCCCGAAAGUGUUUGCGGUGUACCCUCUCAAGUAUAUCCAGUAUCUCGAGAGGGUAACUACACAAACAUAGCAGUACACAGUAUAUCCAGUACUACAUCUGAAACCAUAUACGUUUGCGGUGUACCCUCUCAAGUCAAUCUCCUGUUAGCACUAGCACUCGGCUAUCACGAAUGCGUGAAGCAAUGCAACAGAGUGUACAGAACACCACUGCCUAGCUCUGUCAUUAAUUCAUUUCUCCCAGACAGACCAAGCAAAGCGUCUUAAUAACCAAGAACAAAAAAGGAAUACUACUCACAGAUGACCACAACCGAUUCUUUCCGGAUUAACUUAUACGCACCUUUAUCACUUUUGAAGUCGAAGUAUCCCUGUCAUGACUACUUCCUGGAGUACCGUUGAAGUUUUUCCUGCGCAGGAAUCAGAUAAACUAAUGAAGGUCGUUCCAUAUGGAUAAACUGUUGAAAGAACAACCAAAGGCAGCAAAAGGGAAGGAAUAGCGAACCUGAAGAUGCAGUGACCAGUAGAGCCACCACAGAGGGUUGCAGCGAGGACUGUCUUUUUUUUUUUUAAACGGAACACAUGUAUUCCAUUACGAUGACGAUCUGGCUAAGUCGUCUGUUACAAAGUUUUAUACAAACUCAGGGAAGUGGCCUAACCAGGCCUCACACCCUCCACUCCCUAGACCAUGACCAUACGCAGCUAAAGAGUGUGCUGCAUUGUUACGGAUUCUAGGACAUACAUUUAGCUUAGCAACAUCAAAAGCAACAUUCAACUGAAAUUUUAUCUCCUGAAACAAUGAUCCUGGAGUAGAUUUAUCAUACUCUUCGCUUGUUGCCGCCUGCUUCAGCACCAUGGAAUCAGUUUCAAAGAUAACAUGAUUGCCUCCCAUCCUUGCUGUGGCAUGGAUUGCAUACAACAUGGCUAAUGCUUCAACAUGGAGUGCACUGGAUACCAGUUCCAGGUUUCUGCUCCUGCAGCCAAAAGUGUGCCUUCAUCAUCUCUCAAAGUAAAACUCCAACCUCUAGAAUUUGAUGCUUCAUGAAACGCACCAUCAGAAUUUAUCUUAAGGAAUGUACUUGGCGUAGGAGAUCAUUUGCCGUGACGGACUGAUUCUAGCUACUCCUUCGGUUCUUGAGAUUCCUGAAAACAUUGACAAUGAUAGUAAAUAGAGGAAACAAUUUUGUCUAUGGUUUUCAUUGUGUCACCUACGUUAGCUUUAUUUCUUUCAUGCCACCAUUAUGUCCUUCCCCCCUUGGGGGCGUCGUUCUUGGAGGUGUGCACGGGCUCGAGGGACCAGUGGACCGCAUCUUUGGUGGAGCGGUGCUUCAUCCUACACAUUGAUGGCGACGGAUCUCGACGGCGUGGCGCAGUGCAGAUUCGGCGUCCGAUGUGCGAGGAUGGACUCGCGCAGGAGGACGACGCUGUCUGGCAUCAUGGUGGCGUCGAUGACAGAGAGACCUGGCACGGUAGAUGCAACAGUACAGCUCUGAAGAUGGAUUGGUGGCAGGUGGCUGCGGCGGCCUCAUACCCGGCAGGCGUCCUGAUUGGGACCUCAGGUCAUAGAUGUUAGGUUUGGCUGCGAGGUCUGUUUGGUAUUAGGCCCAGACUAUCAGCAUCCCGACAUCAACUGGAUAGGAGUAGCGACAGAUGUUGCCUAGACGGUGGCUUUAGUCUUACUGUUGUAUGACUUUGUAAGGUCUUAUGUGAAUAAUUAAUAAAGUGGCUGCAUGCAUCGUCCAGAUGCAGAGGCCGGGGGUCCUCCUCCAUUUCUAAAGAAAACCAUAGCCAGAAUAGGACACAGCUCUCUUCCUCUGGCAGAUGAAAUAAUUCCUCAAACAAAUUGAGGGGAUCAUUGCAUAGCACUAACUUGUUUCUAAUAUUUUCCAUCUAUGCCAAGCGCCACAGUUGUUCCACCUUUUUGCAUUUGAGGAAACAGUGACCACCAUCCACAUCAUAUCCAAGGGCUAAGGCACACUGGGCAUCUAAUGUCAAUAUCCAUUCCCAUGUUUUUCAACUUCAUUCUCAGUGGUAGGUUGUAUGUUGCCAUACGCCAAAUGAAGUGGAGGGCCUUAUUUGGGAGAGGUAAAGCCCAUAUUUUCUGGUCCUACUGCUGAGGUGAACAGGUUACAGAAAUAGCUAGCAACAUGCUCUUUUAAAUGCUCUGCACCCUCUACCCACACUCCAUUCUCUCCUUAACCUCCUAACCAGUGGCGAAGCUACGUGCAUUCCUGAAGAUUUUUUUUUUGGAGGAACAUAGUUACAAGAAUUUUUUCUCGGUAGGUCCCCCAAACAUGCACACUUUGNNNNNNNNNNNNNNNNNNNNNNNNNNNNNNNNNNNNNNNNNNNNNNNNNNNNNNNNNNNNNNNNNNNNNNNNNNNNNNNNNNNNNNNNNNNNNNNNNNNNNNNNNNNNNNNNNNNNNNNNNNNNNNNNNNNNNNNNNNNNNNNNNNNNNNNNNNNNNNNNNNNNNNNNNNNNNNNNNNNNNNNNNNNNNNNNNNNNNNNNNNNNNNNNNNNNNNNNNNNNNNNNNNNNNNNNNNNNNNNNNNNNNNNNNNNNNNNNNNCUCCCAAUUGUAUUUUUAUUUUUUCUCUCUGAGGCACAAGCAUGAAAGAAAGCAGUGUUUUUGUCACCAUCUUGGAGCCAUUUAACAUCUACGGAUGUCUGAGAGCACAUGCAGAGAUGCUAUUGUCAGGUUUGCAACUGCAGUGGUCGAGGUGUUCGGACCUCAGCACCUAAGAGAACUAACUGUGGCAGACAUAGAUAGGCUCUUGGUAAUCUCAGAAGCAAGAGGGUGGUAAGGUUCGCUUGGAUCUCUUGAUUGCAUGCAUUGGAAAUGGAAGAAUAGCCCGAAGGCUUUACAAGGGCGAUAUCAGGGUCAUGUUAAGAAGCCCACCAUAAUUCUUGAAGCAGUUGCAUCACAAGAUCUUUGGAUUUGACACGUUUUCUUUGGCAUUGCCCGGGUCUCAUAAUGACAUCAAUGUGCUGCAACGAUCACCGUUGUUUGCGAGGCUGGCUGAAGGAAAAGCUCCCCCUUGCCACUAUCUAGUUGACGGUAUCUAUUCUCCGUGGGCUACCUUUGUUAGCACCAUCUCUAACCCAGUUGGCUAGAAAAAGGGUCACUUUGCCCAAAGAUAAGAAGCAGCUAGAAAAGAUGUCGAGAGGGCAUUUGGAGUUUUGCGGGCCCAUUUUGCAGUUGUUCGUGGACCUGCUAAACAAUGAGAUCCGAAGACCUUGUGGGAGGUGAUGACAUGUUGUGUGAUCAUGCACAACAUGAUCGUCGAGGAUGAGGGUGACGAUGCUGCUGCAGCUCUAGAAUUUGAGAACAUGGGUAAUCCUACCCAACUUUCAGACCAGAAUCCUGCCACAUUUGAAGAGUUUAUUCAAAUGCAUCAACAAAUUCGACAUCGACCAACUCACGAGCAGCUGAAGGAAGAUCUGAUUGAGCAUCAGUGUACGGUCAAAGGGAAAAACAAUGUUGGGAUGUAAUAUUUGAACAUUUUUAAAUUUGAACUACUGUUGCAUGUGGUUAUUUGAACGUCUGUACACUUUGUAUGCGGCUAUUUGAUCGUGCGGAUUUAAAAAAUGAGGCAGGCCGGAUGUAUGCGGCUACGGUUGGAUGGUGGCCUCCCGCAUCCGUGUCCGCGGACUAGUCACUCCUAUCCGCGGACGGAUGCGGCAGGUUGCCGUUGGAGAUGCCCUAAUGCAUUGGUUGGUUCCGGAAAACACAUUCAAAAUAAUAAAACUAAAACCAUUCUUUAGAAGGAAAAAACUGUGGUAUUCCUCUAUCACACUAAAAAUACCGUGUUGCCAAACAUUGCCUUACCUUUUCCAUAAAAUUUUACAUACUUGGUACGGCGUCAAGGACAAUGAAACUUUGAUCUAAUUAUUAAUUGAGAUAGGCUCAGCUCAGCGCACCAUCAUGAACAGCGACCAAUUACUUAAUAACUUCUGUUUCUUUUCAAUAAAACCAACACGAGAAGCUAGCUAGGCCAUCUCGUUUGGUUUGACCAUGACCCGCACGUGAUGCCUAUCUUCGCUGAAGAAAAUUUCUGGGCAUUCUUUCUCCGAAAUAGAAGCUACGACCAAUAUUAAUCAGGCACAAAAGAUGGAGUUUGAUCUGACCGGGCAACGCUCUUAUAAAAUCAAGGGAAAUUAGUUAGGAAAUGGUAGGACGACAAGGCGAGGCAUAGGGUCGACACAGUCCAAACUCCAAAGGAUGCCACAUGUGUGUUUCUCUGUCCACUCACGAUCAAGAGUUGAGAACUAGAGAUACAUCGAGGAGCUAGCCACGUUUAGCACGUUACCAGAGAGAAAGAUACGUAUCUGCGGGUUAGCCAGAUAAUCACCAUGGUCAGUUGGUUCUGAGAUUUCCCUUCCCGAACUGGACUUUCGAGUGUUUCAUUUGAUGUAUGAGAUUACAACAUCACAUUACAUCGCAGCUAAAAUAAUGGAUACUCGUGAUUUUGUAACGUACCACACUCUUUUAGGCUUUCAGCAGUUACGUACUGUAUUAUUUUAGCGAAAAAUAUUCGAUCUGGCGUUUUGUAAUCUUUGUGAGUAUAUAUGGUGGUACAUGACCAGAUCGAUAAGCUAACUGUCUCGGAUUGCAAAAUGCCCUGAAUACACACACACAUGACACACGAAUGGCAUAUACUCACUCUGUAUCGAAAUACUUGUCAAGUUGUCAUUGAGGAAAACCAGUAUAAGUUCCCCCAACGACAAGUAUGUGUAAGUAUCACGAUCUAUAAGCUGUAUUCAUGGAGGAAUUCUAAUUACAGGGAGGAGGGGAACUAGGAGGAAGAAGACCAGCUGUUCGUCCUAUCCUAUCCCCAGGCUAUUUGCCGUCCACCCGUUUACAGAUAACCACUCUCUCCUUCUUAUCUUAUACUCUUAUUACAAGGCUCAAGGCCCACUCAGGCAUUAGCUAGUGUCCUCCAUUCCCGGGCUUCCUAUGUGGAUCGUGUUUGGAGUUUGCUCCUCCGUGGUCCUAGUCCAGAACAUCUGUCUCCCGCUGUGACUCUGCAUCUAGAGAAGUGUGACCCAGCUGGGUUAAACAAACGGGAAAAGAUCAGUAGACUUUAUAAGCAGUUCUGUCUGUUGAUGUGUGUACGUAUCUACAGCCAUACACAAUUGUUGUUUGGUACCAUCUUCAAUCAAUCACCUCAGCAGAACUAGCAUUUGACAUUUCGUUAUCAUGAAUGUGAGAAAAUGAGAAAUAAUGUAUUGUGGUACAUAAUGUCAUUCCCUUUCUCUUAGACGGACCAAGCAAAACUAAUUAACAAAAUGCCACCCUAUCAGACCUACUUAGACGCAUACAUUCUGCCGUUGAAGCUUCUCCCGCAUGCGUUGAAACCAGAUAAACUAUUGAAGCUCAUUCGCAUUAGGGUAAAGUACGCCGUACCGAUGAAAAACAAGCAAGAGGGAAGAAGCAGCGUACCUGAAGAUGAUGCAGUGAUCAACAACAGGGCCAUCACCAAGACGGCAGUGAAGACGGGCUGGUCGCUGUCGCCGUCCUCAUUGUCUUCCUUUUUGUAUCCUUCUAUGAACUUCCACACUAUUCAAUAAAGUGUCCUUUAUCGCUAAGAAAAGAAGAAAAAAAACUAAUCUUGUGUGUGCCAAUACGUGUCGAUACAUGAACUGACAAGGUCAAAAUCCCUCGUGAAGUCGUGAUUCAGUUGGUCCUGUGUAGCAAGUUAAGCUCCAGAUGAAAUCUGCUGAACAAGUAGGUUUGUUUCGCUUGCGAAACAACAAGUGGGGUGGUGGCGCAGUUGGCUAGCGUGUAGGUCUCAUAGCUGAACCUGGUUCUUCUUUUUCUUAUUUAUAUAUUUAUUUUUUUGUUCAGCCUGAUCCUGAGUAAGUCUGAUAGAUUUCUUGAUUUUCCAUUUCUUGUCUUUCUUGGAUCCGUCCAAGCGCUUCAUACAGACAGGUCUAAUGACAGAGGGAGGCAUUCUUCGCUACGUAUUUAACUGGUGGGGUCUGCAUAGGGUGGUACAAAUGUAUGCGUCUAAGUAGGUCUGAGUGUUCCCAUAAUUUCCAAGUUACUCGUGUGACAUCAAGCUUUAACAGUAAAACAAGUGCUAAAUCUGUUGUACUUUUGGUUUUGUUAUUAACAUCCGUAACUCAUCAUCCUUUGUUUUCUGAACAUGUACAGAAAAAAAAGGCACCUGAAGCCAGCUUUAGCAGUGAAAAAACUGAUAUGCACAACAUGAUCAUCCUGCAGACAGCCAGAUUGCAGUAGUGACUAGUGAGCAAGGGAAGAACUUGGACCAGAUUGAGAUCAAGCCUGCCGCUGAGGUCAUUGGCCACUACCUUGCCAAGUUCUCCAUCAGCUACAAGUAUGGAAGGCCGGAAUUGUAUCCUGCGCCAAAUCUGUUGUGCUUUUGAUUUGUUAUUAACAUCCGUAACUCAUCAUCCUUUGUUUUCUGAACNNNNNNNNNNNNNNNNNNNNNNNNNNNNNNNNNNNNNNNNNNNNNNNNNNNNNNNNNNNNNNNNNNNNNNNNNNNNNNNNNNNNNNNNNNNNNNNNNNNNNNNNNNNNNNNNNNNNNNNNNNNNNNNNNNNNNNNNNNNNNNNNNNNNNNNNNNNNNNNNNNNNNNNNNNNNNNNNNNNNNNNNNNNNNNNNNNNNNNNNNNNNNNNNNNNNNNNNNNNNNNNNNNNNNNNNNNNNNNNNNNNNNNNNNNNNNNNNNNNNNNNNNNNNNNNNAAGUAUGGAAGGCCGGAAUUGUAUCAUGCGCCAAAUCUGUUGUGCUUUUGGUUUGUUAUUAACAUCCGUAACUCAUCAUCCUUUGUUUUCUGAACAUGUACAGAAAAAAAAGGCACCUGAAUCCAGCUUUAGCAGUGAAAAAACUGAUCUGCACAGCAUGAUCAUCCUGCAGACAGCCAGAUUGCAGUAGUGACUAGUGAGCAAGGGAAGAACUUGGACCAGAUUGAGAUCAAGCCUGCCGCUGAGGUCAUUGGCCACUACCUUGCCAAGUUCUCCAUCAGCUACAAGUAUGGAAGGUCGGAAUUGUAUCCUGCGCCAAAUCAUUUCCUGGACUCUUUUCUGUCCGUUUUCUAUGAAGUGGAACUUGCAGUACGUAAUUAAGCCCUCUGAAACAACAGUGUCAAAAAUCAGGCUGAGGCAUCGAGGUUGCACACCAAAGACAUUGUAUUAGCCACCUGGCUCUUCUUUUAUACUCCCUCCGUUCCAAAUUACUCGUCGUGGUUUUAGUUCAAAUUUAUGGUGUAUUCUAGAAAGAAAAAAAAGGCAGGGGAAAGGGCAUGGCAUCUUUACUAAUCCCUGUGACAUGGAAAACUAGAACAAGCGCAAUACGAGGGUCAUCACAAACAAAUCAAUCUUCCCAUACAUUAUUGUAUCACGCAUACAAAAUAAGCUGCUAAUUAGUUCACAAAGGGGCCAAACAUACGAGUAACUAGAUGGUACCUCGCGCGUCAACGACAAUGAAUCUUUGAUGUAAUUAAUUCAGAAUAAGCUCAGCGCAUCAUCAUGAACAGCGACCAAUUACUCAAACUUUUUAAAAACUUUCCUUUUUUUUCAAUUAAACUAACACUGGAAGCUUAGCUAAGCCAUCUCGUUUGACAUUGACCCGUAAGUGAUGCCUAUCUUCGCUAAAGAAAAUUCCCGGUUCGAGGGCUUUCUUUCUCCCAAAUAGAACCUACGACCAAUAUUAAUCAGCCACAAAAGAUGGGAAAGCUAUGUAUCUACGGGUUAUCCAGACAAUCGCCAUGGUUGCUUCUGAGAUUUCCCUUCCCGGCCCAACUGGACCUUUGGAGUGUUUCAUUUGAGCUCUGAGAUUACAGCAUCACAGUACAGCUAAAAUAAUAGAUACUCCCGAUUUUGUAAUGCACCCUACUCUUUCAUCUGUCAGGAGUAUUAUUUUAGCUCAAAUAAUCGAUCUGGCAAUUUGUAAUCUUUCUGAGUAUGGUGGUACAUUACCAGAUCGAUAAUCUAACUGUCUCCGAUUACAAAAUGCCCUGAAUAGUGAAUACGCACACACAUGACACCAGUCCAAAACACCGGACUCUGUCGAAUGGUUGGGAGAGCUAGCUAUUAUCUAGUGCCUAAUGUCCCCCAUUCCCGGGCCUCCUGUGUGGAUCGUGUUUGGAGUUGGCUCCUCCGUAGUCGUAGUCCAGAAAAUCCGUCAGAAUCCUCAUCCUGCUGUGGCUCUGCAUCUGAAGAUGGUAAAGAGAAGUGUGACCCUGGGUUAAACAAACGGAAAAAGAUCAGUAGACUUUAUAAGCAGUUCUGUCUGUCGAUCUGUGUACGUAUCUAGAGCCAUACACAAUUGUAGUUUAGAACCAUCUUCAGUCAAUCAGCAUUUGACAUUUUGUUAUCAUGAAUGUGAGAAAAUGAGAAAUAAUGCAACAGAGUGUACAUAAUGACACUAGCUCUCUGCCAUUCCCUUCAAUUUCUCUCAGACGGACCAAGCAACAUUAAUUAACAAAAUGCCAUACUUUUCAUAGAUGACACCGACCAAUUCUUUCGGAUUAUUAACAUAUGCAGACCUUGCUGUCAAAAACAUACAGACCUUUGUCACUUUGGAGGCAUCCCUAUCACGUUCUGUCGUUGAAACUUCUCCUGCAUGAGUUGAAACCAGAUAAACUAAUUAGGCUCAUCCGCAUUAGGGUAAACCGUACCGAUGAAAAACAAGCAAGAGGGAAGAAGCAGCGUACCUGAAGAUGAUGCAGUGAUCAACAGGGCCAUCACCAAGACGGCAGUGAAGACGGGCAUUGUCAGUUUAGCCAUCCUAUUUCUUGUACCACUCCUUACCUGUGCUACGAGUUAGUCAUCUUAUCUCCUCCUUAUAUACUGGCGAUGAGUGGAGUGUGCAGCUGUAAGAGGGCAAGUGGCGGCAACUUUUUUGCAAUGGCGCAAAUGAUUCCGGCCACCAUUGAUUUGGUCUAUGCGACAGUGAUGAAUCUGAUCAGAACAAUGUCAACCACUACGUAUGGUGCUUCCUUUGCCCGAGAUGAUGCAUGCAUGUGCUUCCAGCUUCAGAAGUGCACGAGCUGGUCUGGUCGUCCUCGACAACAUCGAAUGUUUGGCCUUUUCAGUUUUCACUAUGCACACCGAUGACAAAAUCGUUCAUGGUGCUGAACCACGUGUGGUUCAUGUAGAGGAAUAGUAAUUACUCCCUCUGUUCAUCACAAUAAGAUGUUAACUUAAUUCUGAAUCAAAUAAAUAUCGACAUAUUUUAGUGUGUUUGUUCACCAUUCUAGUCCGUAUAUAGUUCAUAUUCAAAUAUUCAAAACAUCUUUAUAUUUACGGACGAAAGGCCUACUGAUAGUUAUGUAGGAGAUAGGCCGGUGAAAUGGAGGGGACUACGAGCGCAACGAUGCGUCAGAGUGAGUGCACGGGCACGAUCGAACGGAUAGAAGGGUCCUGGAUGAAAUGCAGUGGUUACAUGCAUGUGAUGUGGUACUCCUAACCUAGUAGCCUACCCGGCCUAGCCAGCUAUCCUGAUUACAGUGAUGUGUGCGUCUACAUGCACUAUCAUCAUCCUUCUCCGUGCGUCCAUGAGUUGUGCCUGUGGGCAAGCUGCCACUACGACCAAGAUGCAUGCACAGCACCGCACCUGUGGCCUGUGGGAUCAAUGAUGACCGGCCGCCACCUACGUGGUAGCGGGUUGCAACUUUGUGAUGCACCGGAGUAAUUAUUUGCUUUUCUUUUUGAGUAAACGAGGAUGUUGCCGCUGCAUGCUUGCUUUGAUCGGGGCCCUAACCUACCCAGUUGAGCCGUCAAGGCGGAGGCAGAAGCGCUGGUUGCUGAUUUGGUUCUCACUCCAUGCUCCAUGGGUUAGCUUCCGAGUGGACCAAGGCUUCAAACUCAACUCUGGCACCUAUCAGGAGCUUUUAUGGCUUUUUGACCAAAGUAAAAAAGCUAAAAAAAUAGAAGAAAAAACCCAAACACAGGGCCUAUAAGCCCUAUCACUUGGCAAUAAAUGCUUCCCAUAGCAGCUUGCCGGAGAAAAACGAAGCCUCAGAGCAUCUCCAGCCGUUGGCCCCCCAGGACGCAUAAAAAUCGCCCCCUGGGGGCGAGCCGGCGAUACAAUCGGCGCUGGGGGCGUUUUCCCCCCAGUCNNNNNNNNNNNNNNNNNNNNNNNNNNNNNNNNNNNNNNNNNNNNNNNNNNNNNNNNNNNNNNNNNNNNNNNNNNNNNNNNNNNNNNNNNNNNNNNNNNNNNNNNNNNNNNNNNNNNNNNNNNNNNNNNNNNNNNNNNNNNNNNNNNNNNNNNNNNNNNNNNNNNNNNNNNNNNNNNNNNNNNNNNNNNNNNNNNNNNNNNNNNNNNNNNNNNNNNNNNNNNNNNNNNNNNNNNNNNNNNNNNNNNNNNNNNNNNNNNNNNNNNNNNNNNNNNNNNNNNNNNNNNNNNNNNNNNNNNNNNNNNNNNNNNNNNNNNNNNNNNNNNNNNNNNNNNNNNNNNNNNNNNNNNNNNNNNNNNNNNNNNNNNNNNNNNNNNNNNNNCAACCGCCGCGCACUUCCCCUGCCCGGGCCCGCUAGUCAUUGCCCCUAGCGCACCCCUCGCUUGCCUCCUUCCUCGCCGACGCCGCCGGCAAGUUGAAAAUGAUACAUAGAUAGUUCACCAUAGCAUACUACAUAAUGAAAAUGAUACAUAGAUAGUUCAACUACUCGUUGUUUUCCGGCUCCGACUCGGUAAUGUCCUCCUCAGACGUCUACAAGUAGGCGUCAGCAUGCCGCUCGUCCUCGGAGUCCCAGGACAACGUGUUCGGUUGAGCGGCUUGCUUCCGCGCAUGCUUGUCCUCCCGAUAGGCGGCUCGCUCCUUUCUCCUCGCCUCCCUCUCCAUCCUCCGUUGCUUGUAAAACUGGCGCUCGUUGACGAUGUCCUGCGGGAAGCGUUCGCGCCACUCCUGGCUUCCACGUCCAUCUCCGCGAUCGCUAGGCGACGUUGCCGCCUCCGGUUGUCACGACGAUCCUCGUCCGUGAAAAGCCGCGGGAGAUGCGCGAGAUCCUGCGCGCGCUGGCUCAUCGACACGUCGGGGAAAUUCAUAUCCCAACGAGGCCGCCGGAGGCGCCACGCCGCCGCGUCGUACGCACGGGCCGCCUCCUCUGCGGUGUCGAAGGUGCCGAGACUGAGCCGUUUUUCGCCGAACGAGAUUUCGGAGGAGAAGACGCCGGAGCGGCGCUCGCGGACUCUGCGGAAAUCAGCAGCGCCCAGGCGGCGCAUCGACAUGGUGGCGCAGAGGCGAGAAAGAGAGGAGGCACGCAUGAGCGCCGGAGGUGGAGAGGAGAGGAGAGGAGAGGAGAGGGGAAGUGUGCGUCCACCGGCGUGGGGUAGGCUUUUUAUAGUCGCGGGCGGGCGGCGUCCGCGUGGUCGCCGAGCAUACGCGUGGCGCCGCGCCGUCACUGCGCCGCCCGUGAGGCAUCAAUGGAUGCCGGCGCGGCAGCGCGCCGCAGCUUUGGCAUUGAUUCCCCCCGCGGGAACCGAGGCGAUGAGGAAGACGAAGCGACGAGGAGCACCGUGUCGCUGACUCGGGGGCCCGCGUUUAGUUCACGCCAAAACCGUUUCACCCGGCGCCCCCAAGCGCCCCCCAGCGCGCCGGGUUCGGCUUGGGUCUGCCGGCGUCAAAUUCGGCUUGAGCCGGCGAAAAAUGGGCUUCUGGGGGCGUGGCUGGGCCGAUUUUUGUGCGCCGGCGCGAAAAUAUCGCCUGGGGAGGACGUGUUGGGGGCGCGGCUGGAGAUGCUCUUAGAAAUUUAGUGUCUACCUACAACUCAUACCCGUAAAUUCAAAUAUAAGACCUAAGCCUUUUUGGUAAUCAACCAUUUGACUUGCUUGUAGGUAAUAACAAGAAUUCUAGGAUCACAUCUGAUGGUGAUGCUGAAUCAGAGGCUGACUCUCCAUUGACAAAAGGGACACUUCUCGACCUUUAUUCAGGUCCUGGUGUAGUGUCUGGUGUAGUGUCCACCGGCUUGUGCCUGGGUGCAACAAUAGCUUGGUCAUCAACUCCAAAUGGUAUAAUUCUACCUUACUUGUUUAAAAGUACAAGUUAGUGAUUUCUCUUCAAUACCAUGUGCAUAUAUAAUAUCAUUCUUUUAAAUAUUUCCAGCGACGGGUUGUUGAUCUUAAUAGUAUGUAUGUGAGCCCUUCAAGUUUAACCAUCCAAGCACAGAGGUAUGUCGCAAUGCAUCUUAUACGUAUGCUAUAAAAGUACUCUCUCUAAUCUACCGAAUAUAAAUUGUCUUGAUUUUUUUAAUGUUUUUGUAAGAAAAAGGCAGAGAAUUUUCUAGCCUUUCUUAAGGAAUGGAAUCUCCUAUGCGACACGUAUAUCCAUAACAAUUAGGCUGAUGGCUUUAGCUGAUUCGUUGAAGGAUGAAGAGGCAGACCAUGAACUUCGAAAAUGCAAACCCGUCGUAGAGAAACUUACAGCGAUCUGCUAUAGUGGCGCCAAGAGGAAAAAUUGCAUAUACUUCAAAGGUAUUACUUUCAUUCCCAUGGAUGGAGCAAAAUUGGGAAGAUACCUGGGAGUCCAUUGAGAAACUCCGGUUGAUAAUUAUUAGACAUUGUCGAUAAGCUUUUAUUUAAUGUGCACUAACCUUUUUUCAGUGUUCAGUCAAUGUCCAUUUGAAAUUAAAAAAUUUGUUCAAGAAGGUGGCGUAAAAAUUUACCACUGCCUAUGAGUGCCUGCGAUCUUUUUCCUAGAUUUUUAGCUCAACGCUGUAUUGGUUGGUACUCCCUUCGUCCGGGUUUAUUAGGUCCCUUUCAUUUUGGGCUAAAGUUUGACCAACAAAUUUAACUAAUGAAAUCUAAUUAUAUGUCACAAAAAUUAUACCGUCGGAAAGCACUUUCAAAUACAAAUCUAACAAUGUACGUUUGUAGCAUAUAUUUUAUAUUUUAUUAGUCAUAUGGAUGGUCAAAGUCUGGUUCAAAAUACUAGGGGGCCUAUUAAAUAAGCACCGAGGUAGUACUAUUUGUGACUUUACAUUUUAAAGGGCGACAUUGAUGUCUUCUGCAUGAUUCAGCGGGCACAACGGGCAUACAAACUGUGAGCAGCCCUUACAAGAUGACAAGAAUAGACAGAUGGUCGUAUUUAUGGAUACUGUGUUCUUCCUUAGACCAAAGUUCUUUCAAUGUUGCCCAAAUUCUUAAAUUCGUUGGUGGUUCUGUUGGUAGAUAUGCCUUGAGCCGCAGAUGGCUCGAGGCAUAUCUAUCAACGGAACAAUCAAUGAACUUAAGAAUAAUAUCGACAACGUUCUUCAUGAGAACGAACUUUGGUGUAAGGAAGGACACGAUGUCCAUAAAUAUGACCAUCUAUCUAUUUUUCUCAUCUCGUAAGGGUCGAUCAUAGUUUCUAUUCCGAUUAUGCCCACUGAAUCUUUGAUAAGGCAGCCCCCGCACAAGACGCCCCUUAAAAUGUAAAGUCAUAAGUAAAUGUUAUCAACCAAUCUAGUGUUGGGCUAAAAAACUAGGAAAAAAACAGUGAGCACCCAGUGGUAAAAUUUUACGCAUAUAGCAUUCUAACAAAUUGAUUAAUUUUAAGUGGGCAACGACUGAACAUUGAAGAAGGAUUAGUGAACAUUAAAUAAAAGUUUCCCGACAAUGUCAAAUAAUAACGAGAGUUUCUCAAUGUACUCCCGGGUUUCUUCCCUAUCAUGGUUUAUCCAUUGCACCGGUUAAAAAAUUGUAUUCGAACAACAUAUACAGUAAAAAGUGUAGCAACACUAAAAAUGAGCAAGAUGAGAACGAACUAAGCAUCUUGAAAUAUACAUAAUUUUCUCUCUUGGCGCCACCAUAGCAGCUCGCCGUAAGUUUCUCUACGAUGGGCUUGCAUUUCCUAAGCUCAUGGUCUUCCUAUUCAUCCAUUCACGAACGAGCUGAGCCAUCAAUCUUAUUGUUAUGUAUGUACAUGUUGCAUAGAAGAUCUUAUUCCUUAAGAAAGGCUAGAAGAUCCCAUGCUAACCUACAUAGGCAACGGCCUACGGAGGCCCGUAUGCCUGCACUCAAUUCUCCCUACUCGGAUCGAUUACUAUUGUCCGGGAGCUUCCAUGGCUGCGCCAUGGUGUUGGUAGCCGCCUCCAAUCAUCCCAAUAUUGCUAGCCGGCACAUCGAGGACGUGGUCCCUCAAUGGCGAUGAUAUUGUCCCGCACCGGUAGCUGCGUCCUCGCGAAGGCUGCUAGGGUUAGCCACAUCAGCACGUGUGGCAGCUAGACGAUAGGGUGGCGGCGUCCUUGAAGGGUUUGGCCGGCGAAUGGGGCUAGAGUGGCGGUGGCGAGUUUUUUAGAGGAGAAGGAGGCAAGAUUGCGGCGUUGAUUGAGGAGAGAGGCGAGGAGCGAGCGGGGGAGAUGGGGUUGUUCGACUAUUUAUCAUUACGCUCAGGAGGAAGAUCUACUGACAGGGGAGUGGGUGGGAGGAAAAAUCCGGCAGGGGGGUGGGUGUGAGGAUUGGAUGAAGGCUAGGCAGGAUGCAAUCAACAUGGAAGGAAAGUAAAGCUUAGGUUCUUUUUAGGUAUUACCAGGCAAUUACCCAUGCUUUGCAACGGGACAUAAAUAUUCUAGUGAACUAAUAUGGUUGUAUACCAAAAAGUACACUUAGAACAUAAAAGUAACAUAAGAAAUCAUGUAGCAAAGAAACAACCAAAACCUGCAGCCGGCAAGAAAUGAUCUUCCCAAUUGAAAAAAAUGCAGAAUGUAACUUUAAUUGUUUUAGAUCUGUUGCAAUAUGAACCCUAACUAAUAUUAUAAAAAAUCUACUAUGUUAUAUGAAUUCUCAUAACGAAAUGAAAGAAGUAACUGCAGUGCCCUACGUGGCACAGUGAUUUUCAGAAAUAUUUAUAUACCAUGUGAGACAAAUAGUUGUGUUCUACUUUAAAAAGGCCAGAUUAUAAGGAACCUUUGUUCUAACAAGAACGAGAUUUUCAAAGUUUUCACUCUUAAGCAUUAUAAUCUUUGAUCAUGAAAAAAGGGUCUGCACGCAGUUUAUAACUGGAAGGAAAUAAAAUGUGUACCUUUCAGAACGUCCAACAACCUUGCAUUGUAUUGCCUCGCCAGUCUCAGGAUACGCAUAAUGGAUAUGGUCAUUAGGUGGUGUGUUUUUUGCAAAGACAUGUACAAUGACCGGUAAUAGCACGGAUAAGACACCGAUGCAUCAUCGUUAAUAAUUUAAUAAAUUAAACAGGCAAUGUGCAGCAAAUCAAACAACACUUGAAAGAUCUAUAUGGAUUACCGGUAGUGGAGGUUGAUAGGCCAGGAAUGCCUGCAUGACAAGAAAGUGUUUAGAAAACUUAGGAAACAAAUAAAAAAUAUAAUAAGUCCAACAAAAAGAGCUAGAGAAACUUAUUAAUGGUGUGCUCAUGAGUUCCAUCGCUUUGGGUGUGGCGACGCGGGCCAUGCUCGAUGGCACGAUGGAGGCGAUCGAAUCCUGGCGUGAUCCAUGGGUUAUGCAUAUCAUGGUUUUGAAUAUUAUGAGGACAAUGGAUUCAUAGGUGGUCGUAGCAGCGUACUAGUUCCGUCGUUCCGGCCUCUGAACCGGUGACACAGAUCGAUCAAUGUUGUUGAUAAGAAUAUGUGCUUUCGACCAGCUAUAUAUAUCAUCAGAUUCUACCUUGAUAUCAGCAUUGAUUUGAUCCCAGUACAAGCAAUUAAAUGAUUCUUAAAAAAAGUAGGCAGCAGUAAAUUAAGCUCCAUUUCUCCCUGCAGAUUGCGACAUGAAUAUCCACUAGAGUUAAUACUCCUACUUCUCUAACUUACAGAUGUUAUUCCUUUCUUACCCGUUUGUGUAUAGACAGGGAGAAAUCUGUCUGGUUACAUUGGCAGAAUAGUCGAGUUCUUCGAGGGCGUGGACAAGGGCCGCUACUUCACGGUGGUUUUUACGUAUAGAAGAUAUGAUGAUAUGCGAGGAGAAACUUUUCCAAGAACACACCCAUGAACCGAGGCACGUGUUCUUGUCCGAUGAAAUGAACGACAAUAAACUUGACUGCAUUGUGUCGAAGGUCAAUAUCGUCCAGAUUGAUCCAAAGUGGGAAUCUAUGAUGCCUGCCUCAUUCAUCUAUAUUUUCUCAUUUUUUAACACACCAUGUCGUACCUCGAUCCAGAAGCCAAGGCUCGAGUGGCGACUGAUGGGGACCUAUAUAUCAACAUGGCAUAUAGCGUCCCCUAAUCUAUUUUUGCAAAUAUUCACACAAGGUAAUUGUUGCACCAAUUCCCAACUCCCACCAUUGGCUAUGCUUUGCACAAUACAAUAGUGUUAUAUGCAAACUAAUUCUAUACUGAUGUGCGCUCUCCUUUGAAUUUUUUGAUUUAAAUUUGUUGCAAACCCAGUAGAUGUUCAAAAUUAACUACAAGGCUUCGAAGAUUUCUUAAAACACAUGUGAAACCAAGUUCAGUGUGGUCGAUCAUAAUCAUGUAAAUUCUGAAAUUUAGUGUCCACCUACAACUUGUGGCCAUAAAUUGAAAUAUAAGACCUAAGCCUUUUUAAAUCAAAUAUUUGAGUUUGUAGAUAAUAACAAGAAUCCGGGAAACAUUUCUGAUGGUGAUACUGAUUCGAAGGGUGACUCUCCAUCGACAAAAGCAACACUUCUCAAUCUUUAUUCGGGUUGUGGUGGAAUGUCCACCGGCUUGUGCUUGGGUGUAGUAAUAGCUGGUCUUCAACUCCAAACGGUAUAUUGUGUCGAAGGUCAAUAUCAUUUGGAGUUGAAGACCAGCUAUUGCUACACCCAGGCACAAGCCGGUGGACAUUCCACCACAACCCGAAUAAAUGUCGAGAAGUGUCGCUUUUGUGGGUGGAGAGUCAGCCUCCGAAUCAACAUAACCAUCAGAUGUGAUCCCAGAAUUAUCGUUAUUAUCUACAAGCAUGUCAAAUGUUUGAUUACCAAAAAGGCUUACAUCUUAUAUUUGAAUUUAUGGGUACAAGUUGUAGUUGGAUACUAAAUUUCAGGCUUCAACAUGAUUAUGAUCGGUUGAACUUGGUGGCAAAAUAGUUUCACAUGUGUAUUUUAAGAAAUCUUCAAAUCCGAAUAGUUAAUUUUGAAAAUCUAAUGGAUUUAUAAUAAAUUUAACUACAAAUAUUCAAAGUAGAGGGCAUGUCAGGAUAGAAUUAGUUUGCAUAACAACACCAUUAUAUUGUGCAGUAGGGACGCUAUAUGUCAUGUCCAAAUAUAGGUCCCCGUCAGCUGGCAGUCGAGCCUUUUCUUCUGGAUCGAGCUGCAACAAGGUCCGUAAAAGAUGAGAAAAUAUAGAUAAGUGACACAGGCAUCACAUAUUCACAAAUUUGGAUCAACCUGGACAAUGUUAACCUUCCACACAAUGCAGUGAAGUUUAUUGUCGUUCCUUUCAUCGGACAAGAACACACACAUCGGGUCAUGGGUGUGGUCUUGGAGGAGUUGUUCCUUCGAUAUCACCGUAUCUUCUAGACAUAAAACCACCGGCAGGUGAGGUAACGACGAUUGUCCAUGCCCUCGAAGAACUCGACUAUUCUACGAACACAAUUAUGCACAAGGAGCAUCCAUUCAGAGGUGAGCUAGAGAUGAAAACUGAAGAGAUCUAGCGGUGUUAUGUUUCACCGAGACGUGGAUGUCGUCCCCUAUGGAGUAGAUUAAUUAUGCCGUCGACCAUGGUAGCGUCAUAGUGGGACCUCACUUAGACGUCCUGGUUGACGGCGGUCCUGCUCAAACACACCCAACACCGAUGCCAAAGAUAGCCAAGAUCGAGAUGGAUCAAUUCAACGGCCCUUGGUGGAUUUACCGAAAGAUAGGAAAAUAGAUUGACGUUGUGUUACCUGCUUUGGGCGUGGUGUCGAUGAUAUUGGUUGGGCCACUUGCUGCGAACCUCAUCGGUAAGGAAUGGCUCAUCGACGAACACAAUCAUUGUCCUUGGGUGUAGGAUCCUCGGCGCAGGUCAUCCUGCUUCAUCGUUGAUCUCUUGGCCUUCUUCAUCUUGCCAGACACCGACGGAUUGUCGCGUGGAUGCUUGUUAAUGACGGCCACCUCCUGCUUCCGAUACUUGAUGACGGGUGUGCGCCUACGGGUUGAAGCCCGCAUCGGCUGCACUGCCAUUGCUAGCUGGCUAUCACGGGUUUGGUGGAGGGAUGGAUAAGAGUGGGAAGAUGAGAGGUAAGGAUUUGUAGGGCAGGCUGGGGGUUUUCUAGGAGAUUGUGGGGGAGAGGAAAGGAGUGGAGAGGAGACUAUUUAAAUGUUGAUGAUUUUCCGAAAAAUUUGUUGCAAUUGCAUCGAUCAAAUCAGAGGCCAACAUUCGAGGCAUGCAUCUGGUUCAAAUCUCAUCCACCAAUUGUUUCCUGCCAUUUUGAUUGAUGAGAUCGUAAUUCCAGUUUCUUUCCUUCCUUUCAUGCUCAAGCCAACAUAUAUUCCAUUAUUCGAGCGACUAUGUAUUUACAUAGAGUAAAUCUAUACAACAUUUUCUAUUGUUUUUCGUGCACACAAUAUUAAAAUGGUGCGUGUUCACAUAUCUCCAUGCAUAUUGUGCUCAAGAAUCCUUCCAUUAUAGUACUGUACUACCUUUAAUCACAAAACCCUAAUGAUGGCCAAUUGUUGCGGAUACGGGGCCGGCAGCUCACUGCAGCCACGACGCUAGCCCUUCCCAAAUGGGGUUUGGACGGUUUCCCGGGCCUUACGUGGCAACUUCCUCCUCUUCACACUCUUUGUAAGAAAAAUCCUACCUCUUCACACUUGUGAUGGCUGUUUUUGCCUAUAAAAGACCCUCCUCCCCUCACCUCACCUUUCACUCAUCUUCCGCACACUAGCUACAAACUAUUUGCUUUUUGCACCCUAAAAAAACACCAUGGGAGUAGGCUACGUGGGCAGAGUCAAAUGGGGUGUUGGCUUGUUAUCCAUGGUGCUGAGGGAAGAACUAGAGAACCCAUAAUUCGCUAAUAGGAUUAAUUAUGUUUUUGUAUUUUAUUAUUAUUUUAAGGAUCCUUUUACACUACAUAAAUUAUUUUGAAACGUUCAUUUUUUGACCCAACAGCCCAGAUACCGCUAUACUUACUAAAAAGAACUUGUUAUACUCAGGCCUCAUGGGAACUUCUAUAAGCAUUAUCGACCAUUGUUUCAAACCAUGCACUGCUGCUUCUCACGCUCGAUUGGACGCAACCCCAAAAUUGAUUCCGGUUUGACCUCUUAUGGACGAGUCUGUAAGGAUUCCAAGAGGCUGUCAAGGAAGCUUGAGUUUGUAACAACUGUAUUGGCGACCCUUUCAAGCGGCUGGAUGCCCUGUUCCACAACAUAGCGGAAUANNNNNNNNNNNNNNNNNNNNNNNNNNNNNNNNNNNNNNNNNNNNNNNNNNNNNNNNNNNNNNNNNNNNNNNNNNNNNNNNNNNNNNNNNNNNNNNNNNNNNNNNNNNNNNNNNNNNNNNNNNNNNNNNNNNNNNNNNNNNNNNNNNNNNNNNNNNNNNNNNNNNNNNNNNNNNNNNNNNNNNNNNNNNNNNNNNNNNNNNNNNNNNNNNNNNNNNNNNNNNNNNNNNNNNNNNNNNNNNNNNNNNNNNNNNNNNNNNNNAAUUGCCGUCGAAAAUGCCAUCAUUUACAAGCUCGAGGAUGCACAAGAGACAAGAACUCUCAUGGUGCUGGAGUUAUGGUUGUGGCGUACAUUAAAAUUGUCUGUGCUAGGGCUUGCCUCUUUGGAAUGCACGAUCGUGCGACAAAGAAGGUGAUGCACUGAUGCUAACACGAAACACCUCUAGGCAAUGGGUAAUGGACGAGUGAAAAACUUCACCCUGCUGUUAAAGUGAGUGGCGCGGUCAUCUCGGACCAGGAGGGCAAGAUGGAGGCUUUUUCGUAGGCUUUUGAGGGGCUGCUGGGAGCACUAGAGAUCUAAAUGCUAUUUGGAUGAACGAUGUUGACCUCAAGACUUGGAUGCAUCUUUUACGGAAACUGAAGUAUGGGUUCAUGGGCAUCUUUUAUUAAACACAAAGGCCUAGAGUAUCAUCAAACAGGAUAUCACUAGUAGAACAUAAAAGCGCGCGUUGCCACAACCAUUCAUUUGAGAUAGAGCAAUAAGUAUUUGGAAAAUUUGGACAAUUAAAUAUCUGGAAUUUAAACAGUUCAAGUUACAUUGUGGAAGCUGAAUGCAUACAUGCCUACAUCCGUGGCAUUUUUUUUGGAAGGUUACAAUAUGUUAAUAGUGUGGUCACUGCUAAGUGAAACAUUGGUGAUUACAACACCAUGAAAGAAAAACAUUGCAGACCAAUUUAAUUUGCUCCAUUCUCAAAGGGACAUGGUAUCACUAGAAAUCAAAGCAAAAUUAGGUAAGAAAGUGAGCAAAGUGGAAAACUGCAUGGAGAUUGUUUGUGCAUCUUUGUUUGGGCUGGGUGCACACCAGAGCCACGAGAAACCGAAACGAAAGAGGAAAACACCCAUUCCUAAGCCUUGUUCACGUUUGUUUUAAGAUCCUAGGCCAUGUUCAUGUGAAGGCUGAACCUGCUAGUGGCCGAGCAACCCACUACGGCCCAGUUCGCGUUAAGGCGCUUGUUUGCAGAUCCAACGGCUGGCGACCUUAAAUCGCUGCAAGAGGUCCUAGGUAGCUCAGUUUUACUGUUUUUUUAUUAAUAGCAACCCUUUUAAAGCUCUACGUGAGAGCUGGCCAAGGUUUUGGCGCACUUAACAAAGCCCUAAUCACGCUAAUCCCCCAAAAACCAGAUGCAAUAGAGGUGGAGAAUUCAGGCCAAUUAGAGGAGAGGGAGGCCAGAUUGCAGCUAUGUUUGAGGAGAGAGGCAAGGGAUGGGGGAGAUUGGGUUGUUUGACUAUUUUUCACUACGUUCGUGAGGAAGAUUUACCGACGGGGGUGUGUGGGGGAGGAUUGGAUGAAAAAACCGGCGGGGACGUGGGUGGAAGGAUUGGAUGAAGGCUAGGCAGGAUGUAGUUAGCAUGGCAGGAAAGGAAAACUUUGCUUCAUUUUAGAUAUUACAAGGCAAUUGCCCGUGCAUUGCAACGGGGCAUAAUAUUCUAGUUAAGUAAUAUGAUUGUAUACCAAAAGGUACACUUAAGACAUAAAAGUUGUUAGGAAUAAGCAACUUGUAUUCCCAUGAGGCCAUAGGCCGGUAUAUAUAUACGUACAGGUGUGGUACAUAUGCAGGAAACCCCUUAUACAACGGGAUAAAUACAAAGGGGUAUACAUGACUUAUAUUAUAACUCUAACACCCCCCCUCAAACUCAUGGUGGAGGAACAACACUGAGUUUGGAGAGAUAAAAGCCAUGUUGUGCUCUAGUCUGGGCCUUCGUCAGGAAAUCCGCCAACUGUAACUCGGAAGGCACAUACUGAAGAGCAAUGACUUGAUCCUGCACAGCAGCGCGCACAUAGAAAGCAUCAAAACCAAUAUGCUUGGUGAGCUCAUGCUUCACAGGAUCGCGCGCAAUGCUAAUAGCACCUGUACUGUCAGAUAAGAGCAUAGUCGGUGUAGUGACAGAAACACCAAAAUGCUGAAGUAACCACCGUAACCAAGUCACCUCUGCCGUCAAAAGAGCCAUAGCUCGCAACUCAGCCUCAGCACUCGAACGGGAAACUGCAAUCUGUUUCUUCGUCUUCCAGGCAAUGAGAGAACCGCCAAGAAAAACACAGUAAGCAGAAAGCGAACGGCGAUCAGAAGGAUCACUAGCCCACGUAGCAUCCGCAUAGGCCUGAAGCUGUAAAGAACUGGAGCUAGGAAAGAAGAGACGGUGAGAGAUCGUGCCCCAAAGAUAUCGGAGAACACGAAGGAGAUGACUAUAAUGAACCGAGGUGGGAGCAGAGACAAACUGACUCAGAAUAUGAACCGGAUAAGAGAUGUCCGGACGAGUGACAGCUAGAUAGACUAGACUGCCAACGAGAUGACGAUAACGCGUCGGGUCAGGGAGAGGAUCACCAUCAGUAGCACAGAGGUGAACAUUGAGCUCCAUAGGAGUCUCAACAGUGCGCUCGUCGGAAAGAGCAGCACGAGCAAGAAGAUCCUGGAUGUACUUUUCCUGGGAUAUAAAAAAGCCAUCAGAGGUAGAAGAGACUUCAAUCCCAAGAAAGUAGCGAAGAGGUCCAAGAUCAGACAUAAGAAACUGCUCACUAAGACGAGCCUUUACAAAGGCAAUAUACUCAGGGUCAUCCCCAGUGAUGACCAUAUCAUCAAUAUAGAGAAGAAGAAGAGUCCGGCCACGAGGAGAAAGGUGAAUAAACAAUGCGGGAUCAUGAGCACUCGCUGAAAAACCAGUAGUAGUGACCACAUAAGCAAAACGCUCAAACCAGGCGCGAGGGGCUUGCUUAAGGCCAUAGAGAGAGCGACGAAGACGACACACCAUGCCAUCAGGAACAGAAUACCCAGGUGGUGGCUGCAUGUACACCUCCUCACGCAGCUCACCAUUAAGAAAGGCAUUUUUAACAUCAAGCUGAGAUAUAGACCAGUGGCGUGCAGAGGCAACAGCAAGAAGUGUACGAAUAGUGGUCAUAUGGGCCACAGGAGCAAAAGUCUCGUCAUAAUCACGACCAUGCUCCUGCUGAAAACCACGAGCCACGAGACGAGCUUUGUGACGCUCAAGAGAACCAUCAGAGCGAGUCUUAACCUUGUAGACCCACUUACAAGUGAUGGGACGGACUCCGGGAGGAAGAGAAACAAGAUCCCAGGUACCAGUGCGUUCAAGAGCAGCAAUCUCCUCUGCCAUCGCAAACUGCCAUUCAGGAUGAACAACAGCCUGACGGUAAGAAGUCGGCUCAAGAACAGCAGCACCAGCGGUGGGAAAUCCAAAGCGAUCAAUAGGCGGACGAGGACGAGAACGCAAGCCAUAAGUAGGCUGAGAGGAAGAGGACGACUCAUCCAAGGAAGCAUCCACGGGUCAUGAACGACGAGUGUAAUGCUGAGGAAGAGAUGGAACAAGAGAAGGAGGAAUCACCAAGGUAGAAUCAGGGGGUGGUGACGAAGAAGUCACCGGAGAUGAAGGUGUAGAAUCCGGUGACAUGCUAGGUGAGGAGACCGGGGAAGAUGGUGGCGGCGAAUCGACGAGGGGUGGAGAAGCAGAGGGAGUGGAACGAAUAGGCAAAGGCGCGACGGGGGUGAUAGGGGAGUCAGGAAAAGUGAGGAAAGAGAUAUCCUCCACGGAAAAUAUCGAGGAAGAUGGGCGUGGAAAGAAAGGACGAGACUCAUCAAAAGUCACGUCUCGAGAGAUACGCAUCCGACGACCGAUAGGAUCCCAACAACGAUAGCCCUUAUGUUCAUCACUGUAGCCUAAGAAGAUACACUCAACAGACUGAGCGGUCAGUUCGGUGCGUUCGCGAGGGGCAAGAAGAACAUAGCAAACACAACCAAACAAGCGAAGCAUCGAAUAAUCGGGAGAACGAUCAAAAAGACGCUCAAAAGGAACACCACCCUGCAGAGCAGCGGACGGCUGAAGGUUGAUGAGAUAGGCGGAAGUGGAGAUAGCCUCGGCCCAAAAAUGAGGCGGAAGAGAGGCAGCGAUCAUCAUCGCACGAGCCGUCUCAAGAAGGUGACGAUGCUUGCGCUCAGACACGCCAUUCUGAGCAUGAGCACCAGGACAAGAGAACUGGGCAAGAGUACCCUGCUCAGCAAGGACACCACGCAACAUCUUAGAGAUAUACUCACCAGCGGAGUCAGCACGAAAAACACGAAUGGGUGAAGAGAACUGAGUAUGAACCAUGGCAGCAAAACGCUUAUAAAUAGACAACACCUCACUACGUGAAGUCAUGAAAUAAAGCCAUGUGUAACGAGAAAAAUCAUCGAUGAAAAUAAUAUAGUAUUUAUGACCACCUUUCGAAGCGAAAGGAGCCGGACCCCAUACAUCAGAAUGGACUAAAUCGAAAGGACGCUUAGACACUGACUCACUAUGGGAAUAUGGUAACUGAAUCUGCUUGCCAAGACGACAACCCUGACACUCUAAAGAGACAUCUCCUGAGACAGACCCCAGAAGACCUCGACGAACUAAAGACGAUAACCGAGAACCACACAGAUGACCAAGUCGAUGAUGCCACUGCUUGAAGGAACCAGUAACAGAGGCGACAGCAGCAGAGGGACUGGCGAUGGUAGUGGCAGCGGAAGGAACAUGAAGCCAGUCCAACUCCCAAAGACCCUGAGAAUCACGGCGGCGAGGGCCAGCCCCAACCAGAGUGUGCGUGCGACGAUCCUGGACAGAACAAGAGUCAACAUCAAGGAUGACACGACAACCAGAAUCAGUAAGUUGACCGGCAGAAAACAGAUUCAUGGUAAGUCGAGGAACAUGAGCAACAUCAGGAACAGAAUAAGAAGGAGUGGAAAGAUGGCCUCUACUAGCAACAGAAAGUGGAGUACCAUCAGCAGUAAAGACAUGAACAGGAGAAUCCAGCGAGCGAAGAGAGGACAAAGCGAAAGAAUGAGAAGACAUAUGAAAAGAAGCUCCAGAGUCCAGAACCCAUGGGAAUGUACUUGACUGUGUAGAGGGCGGGUGCUCAGUGCGAGAAGCAUCAGUCACAGAACCAGCAGUACCCGUCGAGGAAGAACCUGAAGCCGCGAGCAGACGCUUAAGUCUCAGAAUAUCCUGUUCAGUCAAAGCAAUGGCUGAAGCUGGCGAGGGAGAUGACGAAGUCCCUGAGGAGGAUGAUCGCGCCUUGCGCAGGUGUUUCCGUUUGGUGUAGCACUGGGACUAAAUAUGACCAUCAUUGUUGCAGUAGUCACAAUGUGAACGGGGGCGACCUGAGCCUCCAGAAGGAGUGGGCAAGAGCGGCGGAGCACUCGAGCGAGAAUGGGGCGGUGCAGCCGGCGGAGUGGAAGAAACCCGAGUAGCGAGCACAGAGGGAACCUCCAGCAAACCAUCACCACGUAGGCGAGUCUCCUCAGCACGAAUCUCUGAAAGCGCCUCCAUGAGAGAAAUACGGCCACGAGCAAGCAACUGAGCACGCCGGGGCUCAAACUCCUUACGGAGCCGAGACAGGAACUCGUAGACGCGAUGAAACUCCAAAUCGGCCUGAACAGCCUGACAGCAGGGGCAAGUACGACAACCAGCACUGCGGAGAGAAUCAAGCUGGCGCCAGAUAGCAGAACUCUAUGCAUAAAAGUCAUCAACAGUAGAGUCACCCUGCUGAAGAGCAUGCUCCUGACGAACCACAGAAAGGUAUAAGGCAUCACCAGAGGGCUCAUAGCGCUGACGAAGACAGGUCCACAUCUGGAAGACAGUAGGAAGACCCAGAAACUCAGAAGCAAACUGAGGCAGAACACUAGCAAUGAGAACAGCUGCAGCACGAGCAUCAUCAUCAAGCCACUGGGUGUAAACAGACAAAGCACCAUGAUACGUCUGAAGAGCCUCCUCAUAAGCCAAAGCCCUCUCAUCAUAGGCACGAUCAGCAGCCUCAUCAGCAAUCUUAGCCGCAUCCUUGGCGGCCUGAGUAGCGUCUGGAGGAAGAACCAGUGGAGUCGGCGGAGUAGGAGCCACCGGAGGGACCGGACGUGGCGGACAACAGACCUCGCCAGAAAGAACAUCCCAGAGACGAAUGCCAUGCAUGUGAAUGCGCAUGAAGCCAGCGAACUCGAUGUAGUUGGUACCAUCGAAGAUCACCGGACAGCGAGGGACAGCAACGUAGCCUGAUGCAGCAGACAUGUUUUUUUUAGCAACAGCAGAAAGCCGGACGAGGACGGCGGCUGGAAGCGGGAUCUGGCACGGGAAUCACGGCGAUCAACAAUCGCGUAGGCGGAGCCCGUUCGUGUUGGCGACUGGGUGCACGGCUGUGAGCAGGAGGGAGGACGGGGCAGCCCAGCGUGGAGGAGAGGGAGUGGCCCAGCCCAGCGUGCCAAAGCCCAACGUGGCAAUCCACACAGCGCCGAUCGAGAACUUCGAGCGGGAGGGAGCCGGCGACUUUGAUCGAGCAGGGAGGAUGGGGCAGCCCAGCGUGGAGGAGAGGGAGCGGCCCAGCCCAGCGUAGCGAUCCACACAGCGCCGAUCGGGAGGAGAGAUCGAGAGGAGAGGCAGCGGCGACGGCAACUUCGAGCGAGAGGGAGCCGGCGGCUUCGAUCGAGACGGAUCAGCACGAGUUGCAGCGUGCAAAAAAUUGACCUAACUCUAAUACCAUGUUAGGAAUAAGCAACUUGUAUUCCCAUGAGGCCAUAGGCCGGUAUAUAUAUACGUACAGGUGUGGUACAUAUGCAGGAAACCCCUUAUACAACGGGAUAAAUACAAAGGGGUAUACAUGACUUAUAUUAUAACUCUAACAAAAGUGACAUAAGAAAUCAUGUAGCAAAUAAGCAAUCAAAACCUGCAGCCCGCAAGAAAUGAUCUUCCCGAUUAAAAAAAAUGCAGAAUGUAACUUCAAUUAAUCUACUAUGUCAUAUGAAUUCUCAUAACCAAAAAGAAAAAAGGUAACUGCAGUGCCCUACGUAGCACAGUGAUUUUCAGAAAUAUUUAUAUAGCGUGUGAGAUAGAAUAAUUGUGUUCUACUUUAGAAAGGCCAGAUUAUAAGGAACCUUUGUUCUAACGAGGCACAAGAUUUUCAAAGUUUUCGCUGUUAGGUAUUAAAAACUUUGAUCUUGAAAAAAGGGAUUAUAAGCAGUUUCUAACCGGAAGGAAAUAAAAUGUAGUACCUUUCAGAAUGUCCAACAACCUUGCAUUUUAUUGACUCGCCAUUUGCCAAUAUGAGCUAAAUAGGAUACGCAGAAUGGAUUGUCAAGAAGAGGUGUGUUUUUAGCAUCAAAGACAUGUACUCCCGUUCCUAAAUAUAAGUCUUUGUAAAGAUUCUAAUAAGUGACUACAUACGGAGCAAAAUGAAUGAAUCUACACUCUAAAAUAUGUCUACAUACAUCCGUAUGUUGUAGUCCAUUUAAAAUGGCUAAAAAGACUUAUAUUUAGAAACGGAGGAAGUAUAAUUGACUGGUAAAAGCACGGACAAGACACCGAUGCAUCAUCGCUGAUAAUAAUUAAAAUAAAUUAAACGGGCAAUGUGCAGCAAAUCAAACAACACUUGAAAGACCUCUGGAUUACCGGUAGUGGAGGCUGAUGGCCAAGAAUGCCUGCCUGCAUGCAUGACAAGAACGUGUUUACCAAACUUAGGAAACAAAGAAAAAUAAUAGUAAAUCAAACAAAAAGAGUGGAGAAACUUGUUAAUGGCGUGCUCACGAGUUUCAUCGCUUUGGGUGUGGCGACGCCGGCCGUGCUCGAAGGUACGACGGAGGCGAUCGAAUCCUGGCCUGAUAUGCACAUCAUGGUUGAAUAUUAAGAGGACAAUGGAUCCAUAGGUAGUCGUAGCAGCGUACUAGCCCCCGUCGUUCCGGCCUCCGAACCGUGACAUAGAUCGAUCAAUGGGGUCGUCCCCGCCGGCGGCCGUGUCCAGUCAUGAUCACGCCGGCGUCGACGAGACGCGAAGGCCAUGUCCAGACGUGAGCCAGCCGUCGACGUGCAGGCGCGAACGCCACAUGCGGCGCUGUGGGAGCUGGCGUUGGGGUUGCCGUGGGGAAGUCUUGCGGCGGCGACGUCCUGGAGAUCCAACUCCCCCUUUGGAGGCGGCACGGUUAAGAUCCCGCGGGAGGCGGCCUUGCUUCUUUCCUUUCUCUCCGGAAGUAUUGGAUUGCAUUCCGAAUUUUAGGGCGAGAUGUGCGCCUGUUUUCCUCAUCGUGUGAUCUUAUCUUGGCCCAGUUCUGCGAGAAGUUGGGUAGGGGUCGGAUUCUGGGAGAAUCCGCAGAUUCUGGCAAAAAACUGGGUCCUUAUCUUAGAGCAUCUCCAACAGCCGUCCAACGCGCGGCGCGCUAAAAAGCAGUUUGCAGCGCGCCCAUCCACUGAAAAAGCGCGGCGGGCAGCGCUGGCUCCAGCAGCGGCGCUAAAAUUUAGCGCGCGUAGCUUCAGCAGCCGCGCUAAAAUGCAGCGCGCGCUAUCGCACGAACAUUGCGUACAUAUUUUUAAAUAAAAACGAUACUAAUAAAAUUUAUAGAUAAAAACGAUACAUAGAUAUUUUACUUAGUUCCACAUCAUAGAUAGAUAAAACUACGGUGCAACGACAUAAAAAAAACUACUAGAUAAUGCAACUACAACCUACUCCCAGUCGCCAUCAUCAUCAUCAUCAUCAUCAUCAUCAUCAUCAUCAUCAUCGUCAUCCUCGCUGGUCUGGUCCGAGGUAUCGAGCCAGAUGUCGUCCCAACGAGGAUCAUUAGCCGAAAAGAUCGACUGCCCACCAUUUUCAACGAUAUCGCACUACAAUAACGCCAGGGCCUUCCGCCGACGCCUGUCCAACUGUUCCGCGCGGAGCUUUGCUGUCUGCUCCGCCCAGUAGGCUUGCUCGUCGACGACGUCCUCCGGGUGGCGCCGGCGCCACUCCGCCAUGGCCCGCUCGUCCUCCUCGGCGCUGAGGAGGCGGCGCUGCCGCCACGCGUGCUCCACACGGUCUUGGUCCAUGAUAAGACGAGGCGGAGGGGCGACGUCCUGCGCCUGCUGGCGCGUGUAGACGUCCUGGAAGUUCAUCUGCGGGCGCGGCCUUCCUAGGCGCCACGCCGCCGCGUCGUACGCGCGGGCGGCCUCGUGCACAGUCUCGAAGGUGCCGAGGCCAAGCCGGACAUCGCCGGACCGGAUCUCGGCGCAGUACUAGCCGUUGGGGCGUGGGCGGAUGCCGCGGUAGCCCGACGCUCCUUGGCGGCGCGGCGGCAUGGUGGCGCGUCGGUGGCGGUGCGCUGGAGCGGCGAGGAAGCAACGAGGAAGCGGGGGAGGCGCGCGUGGCAUCGGAAAAGGAAGAGAGAGAGUGAGAAUAGCCGCGUGGCGAGCGCCGCAAUUUAUAGGCGCGCCGGAAGCGGUGCGCCAAAAGUAGCGCGCGAGCUGCCGCCUUUUCCCGCGCGCGUGCAAACGAUUCCCGCGCACACUAGUUUCCCGCCACCGCUGGAGCGCGCGAAAACGUCCCGCGCGCGCUAAAAACUCAGUUUACCGCGCGCGCGCCUUUUGGCGCGCCUGUUGAAGAUGCUCUUGGGUGGGGAAGAAACCGGGCGGACGAUGGGAAGGCAGAACGCGGUCAACGUGCCAGGAAAAUAAACCUUACGGUUCUUUUUUUCUUUUUCUUUUUAAUUUUUAAUUAAUUUUAAUUGAUGAUGAAUUUGAAUACAGUACAAUCGAAGUCGUUCACAUAAACUCACCCCUAUGAACACAAGGACGUAAUCCUCAAUAUCCCUUUGAGGACUGGAGGGGAGAUGAUUUCUAUGCUUGGGUCCGGGAUUUAUACUGUAAAAUCAGCGUAUCGCUCUCUAAUGAUUCAGAACGAGCAUAAAGCUCUAGAAGAAGGGACAACUACGGAUACUUCAGAGAUGGAUAAACAGUUGUGGUCUCGGUUAUGGAAACUCAAAGUGCUGCCCAAAGUUCGCGUCUUCUGGUGGCGCGUGAUGCGAGGGAUUCUUCCCGUCGGAAGUACACUGAAAUAUCGGCAUAUAUCCAGCGAGAGCAAGUGCAAAAUCUGUUCGAGUUCUGAGGAGGAUAUGAUGCAUGCAUUACUGAACUGUACCCAUGCGAGAAGGUUUUGGAAUGAAGCUCCGCAGUGGCUGCAUGUUAAGCGACCAGACAUGCCCUGCACCCUCUUACUUGGGUCAAGGAUGCCCUGUGUGAGGCUCUGUUUUCAGAUUCUGGCAGAGCAAAACUUGUGUCUAUUAUGUGUGCUAUUUGGACUUCACGCAACAACAUUACACAUGACAAAGGAGAGUUUGAUCCUGUUCGGUCCAUGAAGCAAAUACAGGAAGCUCUAGCGAUCUUAGAGUUACCUCAAGAUCAUGCUCGGAUCUUGCCUGGUCAUGGCUGGAGGCCGCCGGAUGAUGGAUGGAUAAAAAUCAACAUCGAUGGUAGCAUUGCCAUGGAGUCCCGCCGAGGAGGGGUAGCACGUUCUCCGUCUGCUUUCAAGGCUGCAUGGUGUAAGCCAUACUAUGGAAUCACAGACCCUCUUCUGGCUGAAGCGUUGGCUCUUCGAGAUGGCAUAAUAUUCACAAAGCUUCGAGGUUAUGAUUAAGUCAUCUUGGAGACGGAUAGCCAAGAGGUUGUUAACCUCUCGCACUCGCGCCACAAUUUUUCAGUGGUGGCGCUGAUUCUUGACGAGAUUGGGGAGCACGCCAGUUCUUUUAAAUUUUUUCUUAUUCAACAUGUGUUGAGAUCAGCAAAUUUUCCUACUCACCUUUGUGCGAAGCAAGCUAGCACGCUGGAUGCAACAGAUUGUUGGUUAGACUCUACUCCUAGUUUCCUUGUAACUAGCCUCCUGGCAAAUUCUGCCGGAGUGGUUUCUGUUGAAUAAAACUUCCCAAUUUGCCCCGCAAAAAAAAGAACACAAGGACGCACACCCUACCCCUACGAGCACCUCCGACCCGAGAGACUAAGCCGGCAUAGCAACUUCCGAUUGUUGCCCUUCCCUUUAAAAGGGGCAAUGAGACACUACAUAAUAAUGACAGCAUGCCCUUCAGCUAAAUAACUUCAUAAUUUUGGGACAUGUUUUACUUUUAGGAGGCAACACGGCUGUGAAACAACAGAUCUGGCCAGACCAAUGCAAGGAAGGGAUCACACAAGACAAUAUAUGUCACAUCCUUUUUAGAUCCAUAAUAAUCAAGCAAUGUGCCACCUUUGCAACAACAUCAAAUAAAGUAUCCAUCAUAUUCAAUUGGAUUUGGAUCACACAGCAGGAAUAAGAAUAAUCAUACAAGCAUAUAUAUACAGCUUCUCCACAAAUGGUUAUGGUCAACAUUAUCUGUCAACUUGAGCAUUCCAAAGGAAUGUAGAAAUCCAUUCGAGGUGCAAUUUACACCAUCCACAAUCCAUUAAAAAGGACUCAUAUUAGUAGUAGACUGGAGCCAGCUGGGCUGGGCUGGCCAACUCAUGGUGCAGCAAAGGCUAACAAACCACGAGUUACAUGACUAAAGUGUUGCCAUAUAGUCAGUCUUAUCAAGAGCACAGCAAACAAAUUCUUUUGUCCUGCAGCACAACUCCAUAUUCCACCACAGAAAAACUAUCACGCCUCAAAUGAAGGUUCUUCAGCGUCACCUUCAGCAGCAUUGGGAUCAUCAACAACUGUGACACCCUCAAGAUCCAAGGGGCGGCCAGUCAUCGGAUGAAUAGGGUUCCUGUCACGAGGCCCACCCUUCCGGCCCAUAGCUAGCAAUGGAGGUGGAGGCAGAACACCAGCACGGAAGAGGAUACGCUGCACGGGAUCUGAUGGCUGUGCCCCAACAGACAGCCAGUACCUACAACACAAGCAUGGCUAUAUGGUGUCACUAUAGUUGUAUGGUGUCAUGUGGUCUUGCAGUGCAGGCGGAAAAAAUAGCAUGGCAUAUUUGUAGCGACUACUCAUUAGGUCUGCUACGGAUGCAAUCAAACAGAUCCCAUGUACUUGAACCACCUUAUUCACUAAAUCGAUCAUUUUCUUCCCCAGUGGAUGGAGGCAAAGCGGGCAUAGAAGUGAACAAUGCUUGCCAGUUGGCACUACAACCAAGUAGCAUAGUGCAAGGCUGCAAGCCCCAGAUAGUUUUGCUUGUCUUUCUUCUGUUUUAUAAUUUUUAUUACCUACACACUCAAUAUCCCCAAUGAUACAAUGUACCGCCACAAAGGAUGAGAACGACAAAGGCCUGAAUUGUUUAGGUUUCAUAGAGAAAGCAUAAUCUAUUUAGUUUAGCCUCCAAAAUACCCAAUCGUCCAUCAAAGAACAAGGUUACUUGAAUGAACAGACACUGUUACUUCUAGAGCACACUACUAGAAAAAGGCCUGCUAGUGGCGCACCAGUUUUGCCUACUAAUGGCGCACUACUGGUGCGCCACUAGCACCACGCCAUUAGAAUUAAAUACUAAUGGUGCACCCCUGGUGCGCCAUUAGUAUCUGGUAUAUUAAUGGCGCACCACGCAGUGCGCCAUUAGUAUAGCCCACCGUGCGCCAUUAGUAUGCCUCCCAGGGGGCCAUAUUUACCCAUGUGCUUUGGCAUACUAAUGGCGCACUAGGGGGUGAUGCGCCAUUAGUGUCCUUUCUGUAGUGCGCCAUUAGUGUGCUGAGUGGUGCGCCACUAGUAUGAAUAUUAGGGAUUUUUUUUUCUUUUCUGAUUUUUGCACAGGUUACAAAACAUAUUACUGCACAUAAUAUAGAGCGCACAACAUAUAAACAGCAGAUUUAUCGAAUAUAAUAGAAGAUUAGUCUCCGAAUACAAUUCAUCAUAUUAGUCUCCGAAUUUCAAAUACCGAACAAAGUUAUAACAUUACAAGUCUCGAAACCGCGAGUAGCGAGUUUGUCAAAAGUAAUACUAAUCCUAACAAGUCCUACUAAUCAUCAUCAUACAACUUCUACUCGUUAUUAAUAACAAGUCAUACGAUCAUCAUCCUGAUAGUCAUCGAACCAACCCUACUUAAUUGUUCUUAGCACAUGAUCAUCAGUAUUAGGCAGAACCUAAAUACCCUAUUUAAGGUAAAAUAGCAUAAAACAAUAUAGACUCUGACUCUCCAUUAUGGAGAAUGGAGAUCAUCAUGUCUCCAAUUCUUGCGUGGCGCUUCCUUUUGCUUCCAAGAACCUCCUUACGACUGUCCAUACAUUUUUUCCAUUCUCUGAUUAGCAUGUCUCCACUUCUUCUAGAAAUCCGGUAUGGACAAUUGAGAUUCGUAGGAUGACCUGGAUAUAUGUUCAAAACACGAAGGCUGCCAUUUUGAUACAUCAAAUGAGGCACACAAUCCUCUGGGAUUCUCUGUUGAAAAACAUAGUAAUAACUUCAUAGUUAGCAAUGAUGUACUAGUUUUAGAAGUAUGCAAAAGAUGCACGGAUGUCGUAAUAGUAAAAAAUCUUACCAGGGUAUCUCCAUGGUAGUUACCUUAGUUCAACACGUGCACUAGUGCACGUAUUGACCAUAAUGUUGAGGAGUUUGAUUGUAGAUAUUGUAAUUCUCAAGAUCAGUACAAAAUCCGACCAGAUGAUUUUUCUCCCGAUAAGUUAACUCGAAGCCAUCGGUGUAGUGGGUUUCGUCUACCAUGUUUCGCACAUUGUUUGAACAAUCAAAAUAAGCUGUCAAUGGAAAUAAGUUGUCAACUAUUUUGAAAUAAACAAUAUAAAUUAGUUAAUAAUUAACUAUGUUUGAGAAACUCACAUAGCGGUAGAACUGGAGGCGUAUCAACAAGGACCCAAAUGUCCAUAUUGUCUUGGUCGAUGUCAGGAUCAUCAAGAUCCAUGGUGACAAGCAUACCCUCAUCAAAACCAUACAUCUAGCAAAAUGCUUCCCAAUUUUUGCAACCAAAAUGGGUUACGCUCUCAGCAUUAUACAGAUUUACUUCAAAAUCCACAUCAUGAUGGGUCCUUAGGUGAAUUUUCUUCGUUUCAAAAUUUUCAUGGUCUUCAAAAUCCAUCCUCUCCAAGACAUAGCGUCUUGCAUGGCAUGGGAUAAACUAUACUAGAAUUGUAAAAGAUGAAAAUUACACGUUGAAAUAGUUGAAGUCAUGCUUAAUUAUGAAAAAACACUUGUCGUCGUUGCGUACCGUUUCAACUUCGAAGGUCUCCUCGAGCUUAAUGCUGAAGCGCCGAUCAUCGUCCAGGUGAGGCCUGUCGCACAGACCUCGACCGUCGUGGCAUCAGCCGCACUCCCCCGGGAGACUUUCGUUGUCCGAUGACGACAUUUCCUAUGUUCAUAAUUCAAAAUUACAUCAUCUCUGUUGGGUCCAAUAAGAUAAUCCACGGUGUGGUGAAAACACGCCCUUCGAACUGGUUUGAGCAAUUGGUGAAUGGAGAUGGUCUAAGAUUUUCAGUAGUAAGAAGUGAAGUGGUAAUUUUGAGAGCAAAUGGUUAGGAUGAGUGGUUCCUCUUUCCUGUUUAGCUUUACAAUAGAAUAUUGUUAGUCAUGCACACUUGUGCAUUUUCAGCCAGGCCCAGUGAAGUUGGCCUAAAAACAUUUCUUUCUUUAAGCCUGCUACAUCCAUCUCAAGUAUUUAUGGUCAAGGGUUAGCAGGGCCAUCCAAAUAGAAUAUGUGGUAUGGGCUUUUUUAGUAGGUCAUCCUACCAGAUUAGGGUUUAUCAAUGACGAGCAACUGACAUUAGUAAUAACUAUGAGUAUCACACUUCUAUAUGUAUAACACAAGAGGCAGUUGAUCCUACUUAAUUAAGUACUAAGAUACCCCGGCCCAUGCAUUAGUCGCAAGUGCCCCAUAUGUCCUAUUUUUAGCAAAGUCAUGCUAAAAUUCACGGAAAAUUUCAGCAUGACCUUUGCUGAAAAUAGGACAUAUGGAGUACCCGAAUUUGUCAGAACGGAAGUUAAUCGACAUUUUGGCAAACUCAAGGGCCUCUCGGGGUACAGCAGCAGCAUCACAAGUUGACAAAAUUCCCAAGUAGUACAGCAGCAGCAUCACAAGUAGUACCAAUGAACAUAUAGUCCAGCACAUUAUGAAUUUUGAUAAAUGACAGCAAGUUAACUCAUUCUGAACAUAUAGUACCAAUGAACAUAUAGUCCAGCAGCAGCAUCUAUUUACCCACUUGAUUUACCGGUCUUGAAGAAAGAGAUACUUGUAUGACAAGACAUAUGCUUAGUCCGGAUGCCUUAAAUCUUAACCACAUUUUGCUAUUGCUAAUUUCUAGAAGUGAGCUCUAACAGCUUUCUAUAAUAAAUUAGUCAAGAUAAGUUCCUAAGCUCCUGAUAUGACAAAACUAGCGUACAUAUACCAAUAAAUGCAAUUUGUAACAAAUUGUUGUACAACAAUAUAUCUUCUAGCCAUGAAACCCUACCCUGAUUCUCCUUUCUUCCUCUUGCCGAAGAGAAGUUGGCUGCAGAGGAUGGUCCAACUCAGAUCAGCCUGCAGAAGUUCAUUGUAUAAUUCUGUUUAGUUCCAAGCAGUAGUUCAAGAAGUGCAAAUUGCAGAAGUUUGAGAAAGCACUAACUGGAAAGUCUGGUGUUUCCUUGAAAACAUGAAAGGGCCUGACUAUGCAUACAAUUUUACAACAAGACAUCCACCAUACAAUUUUUAUUAAAGGAAAAGACUUAAGUUAACUUUAAUUAAAGUUUCAGUUAAAGUUUAAAUUAAAGUUUUGGUUAAAGUUUUAGUCGAUUUUAAAGUUAAAUAUGGAGGGCACAAGACACACUACUGAAAAGGUUUGCAGCUACAGUUUAAAAUUUCUACUUACAAGGUUAUAUCUGAAAACAGCACUAAAUAGACAUUUUAAAUAUAUUUCAGUGAUAAUAUGAUCAUUUCCUUAAUCCUACAAACAAUGGUAGCCACCCUCUGGUACUCAUGCCUGCAUAUCAUAACAACAGCUUCACUGCAGGAAAACAUGUGGUAAUUGCCUAACUACAGAACCAGGAAAAUUUGGGGGGGGGGUCAAGUUUGUGUUUUGGUGCCUUCACAUGAAUAUUGCACUGAAUAAAUUGUGAACAGCAAUAUCUAGUUGCUUUUUACUUCAUGAUUGUCCCUGCCUACGGACUGCGGCUGCGGCACGACCGACAGGAGGGACGCCGGCGUCGCCACGGUCGAGGGAAGGGUCGGCGGCGGCGGCUGUGCGGGAUUGACCAAGGCCGUGGGUGACAGUGGCAGAAGGGGAGGGAGGGAAUGGGGAGGAAGGGUGGAGAGGGAGGAAGGAGGAAGGAGGAGAGGUACCUGGGCGGGCGCGGCCGGUCGCCGGAGGGGUCGGGGUCGGCGGCGGCGGGACGGUUGCGGGUCGGCGGCGGUCGUCGUCCUGCACCCCGUGCGGUCGUCGGCGGUGGGAUGGUUGCGGGUCAGCGGCGGGAUGGUUGGGGGCCGCGGCGGCUUGCUGUCUGGUGGGCGGCGGAGGAGCUGCAGUGGUGGGGGGCGCGGGGGCGGCGGCGCACGUAGGGGCGGCGACGUCGUGGGUCGGGGCAGCGGCGAGCAGUGGGGGGCUGAGAGAGAUGUGAGAUGGGAUCAGGGAUUGGGGAUUUUAGUCGGGGGAGGGAUAGCAAUGGCGCACCACCUAGCGGUGCGCCAUAAGUAAGUUUUUUUAGAUAGCAAUGGCGCACCACCCAGCGGUGCGCCAUAAGUAACUUUUUUUUGCAUAGCAAUGGCGCACCACCCAGCGGUGCGCCAUAAGUAAAUUUUAUUUUUUUUAUUUUUUGUUGCAUGUAAUAAUUUUUUAGAAAAUGAAUAUGAAUAUGAACCAGUAAUAAUUUUUUAUAAAAAGAGUAAUAAUUUUUUUAAAAAUAUCAUCAAAUUUGUUAUUUGAAAAUAUUUAUGAAUAUGAAAAAAUAUCAUCAAAUUUGUUAUUUGAAAAUAUAAUCAAAUUUGUUUUUUUGGAUUUUUAGUUGCAUUCAUUUGUGAAUUGGUAAGACAUUACUGGGGAGGGUGCGGNNNNNNNNNNNNNNNNNNNNNNNNNNNNNNNNNNNNNNNNNNNNNNNNNNNNNNNNNNNNNNNNNNNNNNNNNNNNNNNNNNNNNNNNNNNNNNNNNNNNNNNNNNNNNNNNNNNNNNNNNNNNNNNNNNNNNNNNNNNNNNNNNNNNNNNNNNNNNNNNNNNNNNNNNNNNNNNNNNNNNNNNNNNNNNNNNNNNNNNNNNNNNNNNNNNNNNNNNNNNNNNNNNNNNNNNNNNNNNNNNNNNNNNNNNNNNNNNNNNNNNNNNNNNNNNNNNNNNNNNNNNNNNNNNNNNNNNNNNNNNNNNNNNNNNNNNNNNNNNNNNNNNNNNNNNNNNNNNNNNNNNNNNNNNNNNNNNNNNNNNNNNNNNNNNNNNNNNNNNNNNNNNNNNNNNNNNNNNNNNNNNNNNNNNNNNNNNNNNNNNNNNNNNNNNNNNNNNNNNNNNNNNNNNNNNNNNNNNNNNNNNNNNNNNNNNNNNNNNNNNNNNNNNNNNNNNNNNNNNNNNNNNNNNNNNNNNNNNNNNNNNNNNNNNNNNNNNNNNNNNNNNNNNNNNNNNNNNNNNNNNNNNNNNNNNNNNNNNNNNNNNNNNNNNNNNNNNNNNNNNNNNNNNNNNNNNNNNNNNNNNNNNNNNNNNNNNNNNNNNNNNNNNNNNNNNNNNNNNNNNNNNNNNNNNNNNNNNNNNNNNNNNNUCGGCGGCGGUGGAGCGGGGGAGGGUGCGGGGGGAUCGAGAUCGAGAUGGAGGGGGAUAGCGAUCGAGAUGGAGGGGGAUCGAGAUCGAGAUGGAGGGGGAUCGAGAUUGAGUGUCCUCAUGAAUAUUCAAUAUUUUUUCAUAUUGAAUAUGUAAAAAAUAUCAUAAAAUUUGAAAAAUAUUCAUGAAUUCAAAAAGUGCCCAUGAAAUUUAAAAAUAUUCAUGAGUUCAAAAAGUGCCCAUGAAAUACAAUCGAGAAAUGAAGGCUACAAUUUAAAUACAAUCGAUCUUAGCUAGCUAUCUGUUCACAAUCUUCUUGCCCUUAUUUUUCGUAAAUGGAGUCCUUCUCUUGAACGGGCGUCCUUUAGGUAGGGUGGUCCUGCUUCUUCUUGUGGUGUAUGCUGGUACUUCAUCGUCGUCGUCAUGUUCCAUCUUCGGGUCGCCGUACUUGUCGAAGUCUUGCUCAUUCGCGACUCCAUCCAUUCCGAUGAUCUUCCUUUUGCCUCUCCUCACGACAACACGACUGGGCUUUGACGGGUCGGUAAUGAAGAAGCAUUGGUCCACUUGGGAAGCCAGUACCCAUGGCUCAUUUUUCGCGGUGACGUUUGCGCCCGCGGUCUUGGAUUUGGCUUCGGGUAUAACCAUGGUGGUGAAAUACCGGUCUUCUUUUAGGACGCUCUUGGCCCAUCUGACACGGAACAUCGGGACCUUCUUGUUGGGGAACGUAGCAGAAAUUCAAAAUUUUCUACGCAUCACCAAGAUCAAUCUAUGGAGUAAUCUAGCAACGAGGGGAAGGGGAGUGCAUCUACAUACCCUUGUAGAUCGCGAGCGGAAGCGUUCAAGAGAACGGGGUUGAUGGAGUCGUACUCGUCGUGAUCCAAAUCACCGAUGAUCCUAGCGCCGAACGGACGGCACCUCCGCGUUCAACACACGUACGGAGCAGCGACGUCUCCUCCUUCUUGAUCCAGCAAGGGAGGAGGAGAGGUUGAUGGAGAUCCAGCAGCACGACGGCGUGGUGGUGGAAGUAGCGGGAUUCCAACAGGGCUUCGCCAAGCGCUGAAGGAGGAAGAUGUGUCACGGGAGGGAGAGGGAGGCGCCAGGGCUUGGAUUGCUGCUGCCCUCCCUCCCCCCCCACUAUAUAUAGGGCCAAGGGAGGGGGGGCGCAGCCUUGGCCCUUCCUCUAAGGAAGGGUGCGGCCAGGGAGGAGUCCUUCCCCCCCAAGGCACCUCGGAGGUGCCUUCCCCCUUUAGGACUCUCCGUUUAUCUUAUCUCUUGGCGCAUGGGCCUCUUGGGGCUGGUUCCCUUGGCCCAUAUAGGCCAAGGCGCACCCCCCACAGCCCAUGUGGCCCCUCGGGGCUGGUGGACCCCUUGGUGGACCCCCGGACCCAUUUCGGCACUCCCGGUACAAUACCGAUAAAGUGCGAAACUUUUCCGGCGACCAAAAUAAGACUUCCCAUAUAUAAAUCUUUACCUCCGGACCAUUCCGGAACUCCUCGUGACGUCCGGGAUCUCAUCCGGGAACUAAUAUCUCUACAACCCUAGCGUCACCGAACCUUAAGUGUGUAGACCCUACGGGUUUGGGAGACACGCAGACAUGACCGAGACGACUCUCCGGUCAAUAACCAACAGCGGGAUCUGGAUACCCAUGUUGGCUCCCACAUGCUCCUCGAUGAUCUCAUCGGAUGAACCACGGUAUCGAGGAUUCAAUCAAUCCCGUAUACAAUUCCCUUUGUCUAUCGGUAUGUUACUUGCCCGAGAUUCGAUCGUCGGUAUCCUGAUACCUUGUUCAAUCUCGUUACCGGCAAGUCUCUUUACUCGUUCCGUAACACAUCAUCCCAUGAUCAACUCCUUGGUCACAUUGUGCACAUUAUGAUGAUGUCCUACCGAGUGGGCCCAGAGAUACCUCUCCGUUUACACGGAGUGACAAAUCCCAGUCUUGAUUCGUGCCAACCCAACAGACACUUUCGGAGAUACCUGUAGUGCACCUUUAUAGCCACCCAGUUACGUUGUGACGUUUGGUACACCCAAAGCAUUCCUACGGUAUCCGGGAGUUGCACAAUCUCAUGGUCUAAGGAAAUGAUAUUUGACAUUAGAAAAGCUCUUAGCAAACGAACUACACGAUCUUGUGCUAGGCUUAGGAUUGGGUCUUGUCCAUCACAUCAUUCUCCUAAUGAUGUGAUCCCGUUAUCAACGACAUCCAAUGUCCAUGGUCAGGAAACCGUAACCAUCUAUUGAUCAACGAGCUAGUCUCCUAGAGGCUUACUAGGGACAUGGUGUUGUCUAUGUAUCCACACAUGUAUCUGAGUUUCCUAUCAAUACAAUUCUAGCAUGGAUAAUAAACGAUUAUCAUGAACAACGAAAUAUAAUAAUAACCUAUUUAUUAUUGCCUCUAGGGCAUAUUUCCAACAGUCUCCCACUUGCACUAGAGUCAAUAAUCUAGUCCACAUCACCAUGUGAUUAACACUCAUAGGUCACAUCACCAUGUGACCAACAUCCAAAGAGUUUACUAGAGUCAACAAUCUAGUUCACAUCUCUAUGUGAUUAACACUCAAUGAGUUCUGGUUUGAUCAUGUUAUGCUUGUGAGAGAGGUUAUUAGUCAACGGGUCUGAACCUUUCAGAUUCGUGUGUGCUUUACGAAUAUCUAUGUCAUCUUGUGGAUGCUACCACGCGCUACUUGGAGCCAUUUCAAGUAAUUGCUCUACUAUACGAAUCCGGUUUACUACUCAGAGUCAUCUGGAUUAGUGUCAAAGUUCGCAUCGACGUAACCCUUUACGACGAACUCCUUUUCACCUCCAUAAUCGAGAAAAUUCCUUAGUCCACUAGAUACUAAGGAUAAGUUCGACCGCUGUCAUGUGAUCCAUUCCCGGAUCACUAUUGUACCCCUUGACCAACUCAUGGCAAGGCACACUUCAUGUGCGGUACACAGCAUAGCAUACUGUAGAGCCUACGUCUAAAGCAUAGGGGACGACCUUCGUCCUUUCUCUCUCUUCUGCUGUGGUCAGGUCUUGAGUCUUACUCAAUACUCACACCUUGUAACACAGCUAAGAACUCCUUCUUUGCUGAUCUAUUUUGAACUCUUUCAAAAUCAUGUCAAGGUGUGCGUUCUUUGAAAGUAUCAUCGGGCGUCUUGAUCUAUCUCUAUAGAUCUUGAUGCCCAAUAUGUAAGCAGCUUUAUCCAGGUCUUCCUUUGAAAAACUCCUUUCAAACAACCAUUUAUGCUUUCCAGAAAUUUUACAUCAUUUCGGAUCAACAAUAUGUCAUUCACAUAUACUUAUCAGAAAUGUUGUAGCGCUCCCACUCACUUUAUUGUAAAUACAAGUUUCUAACAAACUUUGUAUAAACCCAAAAACUUUGAUCACUCCAUCAAAGCGUAUAUUCUGACUCCGAGAUGCUUGCUCUAGUCCAUGGAAGGAUUGCUGAAGCUAGCAUACCUUUUAGCAUCCUUAGGAUCGACAAAACCUUUCUGAUUGUAUCACAUACAACCUUUCCUUACGAAAACUGGUAAGGAAACUUGUUUUGACAUCCAUCUGCCAGAUUUCAUAAAUGCAGCUAAUGCUAACAUGAUUCCGACGGACUUAAGCAUCGCUAUGGAUGAGAAAAUCUCAUCGUAGUCAACUCCUUGAACUUGUGAAAAUACUCUUUGCCACAAGUCGAGCUUCAUAGACGGUAACAUUACCGUCCACGUCCGUCUUCUUCUUAAAGAUCCAUUUAUCUCAAUGGCUUGCCGAUCAUCGGGCAAGUUCACCAAAGUCCAUGAUUUGUUCUGAUACAUGGAUCCUAUCUCGGAUUUCAUGGCUUCUAACCAUUUGCCGGAAUAUGGGCCCACCUUCGCUUCUCCAUAGCUCGUAGGUUCAGUAUUGUCUAACAACAUGAUAUCUAAGACAGGAUUACCGUACCACUCAGGAGUAGUACAUAUCCUUGUCGACCUACGAGGUUUGGUAGUGACUUGAUCCGAAGUUUCAUGAUCACUAUCAUAAGCUUCCACUUCAAUUGGUGUAGGUGCCACAGGAACAACUUCCUGUGCCCUGCUACACACUAGUUGAAGUGACGGUUCAAUAACCUUAUCAAGUCUCCACCAUCCUCCCACUCAAUUCUUUCGAGAGAAACUUUUCCUCGAGAAAGGACCUGUUUCUAGAAGCAAUUACUUUUUCUUCCAUAUCUGAAAUAGGAGGUAUACCCAACUGUUUUGGGUAUUCUAUGAAGACGCAUUUAUCCGCUUUGGGUUCGAGCUUAUCAGCCUGAAACUUUUUCACAUAAGCGUUGCAGUCCCAAACUUUUAAGAAACGAUAACUUAGGUUUCUCUAAACGGUGUCGUCUCAACGGAAUUGCGUGGUGCCCCUUUUAAAGUGAAUGCGGUUGUCUCUAAUGCCUAACCCAUAAACAAUAGUGGUAAUUCGAUAAGAGACAUCAUGGCAUGCACCAUAUCCAAUAGGGUGCAGCUAUGAUGUCCGGACACACCAUCACACUAUGGUGUUCCAAGCGGUAUUAAUUGUGAAACACUUUCCACAAUGUCUUAAUUGUGUGCCAAACUCGUAACUCAGAUACUCAUCUCUAUGAUCGUAUCACAGACAUUUUAUCCUCUUGUCACGACGAUCUUCAACUUCACUCUGAAAUUACUUGAACCUUUCAAUAAUUCAGACUUGUGUUUCAUCAAGUAAAUACACUCAGCAUCUACUCAAAUCAUCUGUGAAGUAAGAACAUAACGAUAUCCACUGCAUGCCUCAGCACUCAUUGGACUGCAUACAUCAAAAUGUAUUACUUCCAAUAAGUUGCUCGCUUGUUCCAUCUUACUGAAAACGAGACCUUUCAGUCAUCUUGCCCAUGUGGUAUGAUUUGCAUGUCUCAAGUGAUUCAAAAUCAAGUGAGUCCAAACGAUCCAUCUGCAUGGAGUUUCUUCAUGCAUAUAUACCAAUAGACAUGGUUCGCAUGUCUCAAUCUUUUCAAAAACGACUGAGUCCAAAGAUCCAUCUACAUGGAGCUUCUUCAUGCGUUCUAUACCAAUAUGACUCAAAUGGCAGUGCCACAAGUAUGUGGUACUAUCAUUACUAUUUUAUAUCUUUUGGCACGAACAUGUGUAUCACUGCGAUCGAGAUUCAUUUUAGGUGCAAGACCAUUGAAGGUAUUAUUCAAAUAAUCAGAGUAACCAUUAUUCUCCUUAAAUGAAUAACCGUAUUGCGAUAAACAUAAUCCAAUCAUGUUUAUGCUCAACGCAAACACCAAUCUUGAUGGUAGAGGGAGCAUGCGAUGCUUGAUCACAUCAACCUUGGAAACACUUCCAACACACAUUGUCAUCUCAGCUUUAGCUAGUCUCCAUUUAUUCUGCAGCUUUUAUUUCGAGUUACUAACACUUAGCAACCGAACCAGUAUCUAAUACCCUGGUGCUGCUAGGAGUACUAGUAAAGUACACAUUCAUAUAAUGUAUAUCCAAUAUACUUCUGUCGACCUUGCCUGCUUCUCAUCUACCAAGUAUCUAGGGCAGUUUUGCUUCAGUGACCGUUUCCCUCAUUACAGAAGCACUUAGUCUCGGGUUUGGGUUUAACCUUGGGAUUCUUCACUAGAGCAGCAAAUGAUUUGCUGUUUCAUGAAGUAUCCCUUUUGCCCUUGCCCUUCUUGAAACUAGUGGUUUUACUAACCAUCAACAAUUCAUGCUCCUAUUUGAUUUCUACUUUCGCGGUGUCAAACAUCGCGAAUAGCUCAAGGAUCAUCAUAUCUAUCCCUGAUACGUUAUAGUUCAUCACGAAGCUCUAAUAGCUUGGUGGCAGUGACUAUGGAGAACCAUCACUAUCUCAUCUGGAAGAUUAACUCCCACUCGAUUCAAGCGAUUGUGGCACUCAGACAAUCUGAGCACAUGCUCAACGAUUGAGCUUUUCUCCCUUAGUCUGCAGGCUUAAGAAACUUGUCAGAGGUCUCAUACCUCUUGACGUGGGCACUAGUCCGAAAUCCCAAUUUCAGUCUUCGGAACAUCUCAUAUGUUCUGCGACAUUUCAAAACGUCUUUGGUGCCACAAUUCUAAACCGUUAGCAUUACGCACUGAACUAUCACGUAGUCAUCAAAACGUGUAUGUCAGAUGUUUCGCAACAUCUACAGACGACGCUGAGGUUUAGCACACCGAGCGGUGCAUUAAGGACAUAAGCCUUCUGUGCAGCAAUGAGGACAAUCCUCAGUUUACGGACCCAGUCCGCAUAAUUGCUACCACCAACUUUCAACUAAAUUUUCUCUAGGAACAUAUUUUAAACAGUAGAACUAAAGCGUAAGAUAUGACAUAAUUUGCAAAGACCUUUUGACUAUGUUCAUGAUAAUUAAGUUCAUCUGAUUAAUUAAUGAACUCCCACUCAGAUAGACAUCCCUCUAGUCAUCUAAGUGAUACAUGAUCCGAGUCAAACUAGGCCGUGUCCGAUCAUCACGUGAGACGGACUAGUCAUCAUCGGUGAACAUCUCCAUGUUGAUCGUAUCUACUAUACGACUCAUGUUCGACCUUUCGGUCUCUUGUGUUCCGAGGCCAUGUCUGUACAUGCUAGGCUCGUCAAGUCAACCUAAGUGUUUCGCAUGUGUUCCGAGGCCAUGUCUGUACAUGCUAGGCUCGUCAACACCCGUUGUAUUCGAACGUUAGAAUCUAUCACACCCGAUCAUCACGUGGUGCUUCGAAACAACGAACCUUCGCAACGGUGCACAGUUAGGGGGAACACGUCUCUUGAAAUUUUAGUGAGGGAUCAUCUUAUUUAUGCUACCGUCGUUCUAAGCAAAUAAGAUGUAAACAUGAUAAACAUCACAUGCAAAUCAUAAAGUGACGUGAUAUGGCCAAUAUCAUCUUGCGCCUUUUGAUCUCCAUCUUCGAGGCGCGGCAUGAUCACCUUCGUCACCGGCAUGACACCAUGAUCUCCAUCAUCAUGAUCUCCAUCAUCGUGUCUUCAUGAAGUUGUCUCGCCAACUAUUACUUCUACUACUAUGGCUAACGGUUAGCAAUAAAGUAAAGUAAUUACAUGGCGUUUUCAUUGACACGCAGGUCAUACAAUAAAUUAAGACAGCUCCUAUGGCUCCUGCCGGUUGUCAUACUCAUCGACAUGCAACUCGUGAUUCCUAUUACAAGAACAUGAUCAAUCUCAUACAUCACAUAUAUCAUUCAUCACAUCCUUUUGGCCAUAUCACAUCACAUAACAUACCCUGCAAAAACAAGUUAGACGUCCUCUAAUUGUUGUUGCAUGUUUUACGUGGCUGCUAUGGGAUUCUAGCAAGAAUGUUUCUUACCUACGCAAAAAGCCACAACGUGAUAUGCCAAUUUCUAUUUACCCUUCAUAAGGACCCUUUUCAUCGAAUCCGAUCCGACUAAAGUGGGAGAGACAGACACCCGCUAGCCACCUUAUGCAACUAGUGCAUGUCAGUCGGUGGAACCUGUCUCACGUAAGAGUACGUGUAACGUCGGUCCGGGCCGCUUCAUCUCACGAUGCCGCCGAAUCAAGAUAAGACUAGUAACGGCAAGUAAAUUGACAAAAUCGACGCCCACAACUACUUUGUGUUCUACUCGUGCAUAGAAACUACACAUAGACCUAGCUCAUGAUGCCACUGUUGGGGAACAUAGCAGAAAUUCAAAAUUUUCUACGCAUCACCAAGAUCAAUCUAUGGAGUAAUCUAGCAACGAGGGGAAGGGGAGUGCAUCUACAUACCCUUGUAGAUCGCGAGCGGAAGCGUUCAAGAGAACGGGGUUGAUGGAGUCGUACUCGUCGUGAUCCAAAUCACCGAUGAUCCUAGCGCCGAACGGACGGCACCUCCGCGUUCAACACACGUACGGAGCAGCGACGUCUCCUCCUUCUUGAUCCAACAAGGGGGGAGGAGAGGUUGAUGGAGAUCCAGCAGCACGACGGCGUGGUGGUGGAAGUAGCGGGAUUCCAACAGGGCUUCGCCAAGCGCUGCGGGAGGAGGGAGAUGUGUCACGGGAGGGAGAGGGAGGCGCCAGGGCUUGGAUUGCUGCUGCCCUCCCUCCCCCCCACUAUAUAUAGGGCCAAGGGAGAGGGGGGGCGCAGCCUUGGCCCUUCCUCCAAGGAAGCGUGCGGCCAGGGAGGAGUCCUUCCCCCUCAAGGCACCUCGGAGGUGCCUUCCCCCUUUAGGACUCUCCGUUUAUCUUAUCUCUUGGCGCAUGGGCCUCUUGGGGCUGGUUCCCUUGGCCCAUAUAGGCCAAGGCACACCCCCCACAGCCCAUGUGGCCCCCCCGGGGCUGGUGGACCCCCGGACCCCUUUCGGCACUCCCGGUACAAUACCGAUAAAGUGCGAAACUUUUCCGGCGACCAAAAUAAGACUUCCCAUAUAUAAAUCUUUACCUCCGGACCAUUCCGGAACUCCUCGUGACGUCCGGGAUCUCAUCCGGGACUCCGAACAACUUUCGGGUUACCUCAUACUAAUAUCUCUACAACCCUAGCGUCACCGAACCUUAAGUGUGUAGACCCUACGGGUUCGGGAGACACGCAGACAUGACCGAGACGACUCUCCGGUCAAUAACCAACAGCGGGAUCUGGAUACCCAUGUUGGCUCCCACAUGCUCCUCGAUGAUCUCAUCGGAUGAACCACGAUAUCGAGGAUUCAAUCAAUCCCGUAUACAAUUCCCUUUGUCUAUCGAUAUGUUACUUGCCCGAGAUUCGAUCGUCGGUAUCCCGAUACCUUGUUCAAUCUCGUUACCGGCAAGUCUCUUUACUCGUUCCGUAACACAUCAUCCCGUGAUCAUCUCCUUGGUCACAUUGUGCACAUUAUGAUGAUGUUCUACCGAGUGGGCCCAGAGAUACCUCUCCGUUUACACGGAGUGACAAAUCCCAGUCUCGAUUCGUGCCAACCCAACAGACACUUUCGGAGAUACCUGUAGUGCACCUUUAUAGCCACCCAGUUACGUUGUGACGUUUGGUACACCCAAAGCAUUCCUACGGUAUCCGGGAGUUGCACAAUCUCAUGGUCUAAGGAAAUGAUAUUUGACAUUAGAAAAGCUCUUAGCAAACGAACUACACGAUCUUGUGCUAGGCUUAGGAUUGGGUCUUGUCCAUCACAUCAUUCUCCUAAUGAUGUGAUUCCGUUAUCAACGACAUCCAAUGUCCAUGGUCAGGAAACCGUAACCAUCUAUUGAUCAACGAGCUAGUCUCCUAGAGGCUUACUAGGGACAUGGUGUUGUCUAUGUAUCCACACAUGUAUCUGAGUUUCCUAUCAAUACAAUUCUAGCAUGGAUAAUAAACGAUUAUCAUGAACAACGAAAUAUAAUAAUAACCUAUUUAUUAUUGCCUCUAGGGCAUAUUUCCAACACUUCUCUCCAGCGUAGCUCAGCUCCCAGAUCUCCUCGAUCCUUCCGUAGUAUCUGUCCUUAUCGUUACCGGUGUAGGAUUCCAUCGUUACCCCGGAGUUCUGAUAACCAUCGCUCUGUCCUUGGAUCGUUCCCAAAUUCUGGUUGUUCAAAGUUCAACGCUUGCCACUGGCUCCCAUCCUUAGGGUGACUCAGCAUCUUGUCUUUUUUAUUUAUCUCUGGAUCAUUUGCGUCAUCUUCUCGCUUCUUCUCCUCCCUAUCCGCGUGCCAACGCAAGAGCUUUGUUACCUUAGGGUCCGCGAAAUACCGCUGCAGACGAGGAGUGAUCGGAAAGUACGACACCACUUUUCAAGGAGCUUUCUUCCUCUUCUUGUAUCGAGUGACGCCGCACACCGGACAUAUGGUAGACUCCGCGUGCUCGUCCCGAUAAAUGAUGCAAUUAUUCAUGCACACAUGGUAUUUCACGUGCGGUAAAUCCAGAGGACACACGAUUUUCUUCGCCUCCUCGAAACUGGUCGGGCACUUGUUCCCCUUGGGAAGACGUUCGUGCCAGAAUGACAUGUUCUCGUCGAAGCAUGCGUCGGUCAUUUUGUGUUUUACCUUCAUCUCCAGAGCCAUGAGCGUUACUUUCAGGCGGGUAUCCUCGGGCCUGCAUCCUUCAUACAAUGGAGUAACUGCGUCUAUCUCCAGUUGAUCCAACUUGGCUUUCUCUCGGGCGGCAGCUCUUGCGUUAUCCGUCUGCUUGAGAAGCAGCUCUUGAAUAUGAGGGUCGUGCACCCAGCCCAUCGAUGGUCCAUCGUCGUCUGCUCCGGCAUCUUCAUCUUCAUGAUCAUGCCCUUCGUCUGCUCCGGCAUCUUCCUCAUCAUCAUGUCCGGCAUCUUCUACAUGAUGACUGUGUACUGCAUCUACUUCGUGAUCAUGUCCUGGAGAUUCUUCGUCUUCUCGCCCGCCCUCGCCGCGGUUGUCUUGCUGCCCUUCCUCAUUUCUUGCCGGCCGGCCCCAUAAAACCACGCAAGAGCAGGUGGUCCCGCACCUGUACGGAAUCCGGGUCCAUAAGGCUCCUCAGCUUGCAUCUUCGACACGGACAUCUUAUCUCCGUCUCAUUAUUUUGAAGCAUCUCGGCCUUCGCGGAGCUCAAAAACCUAUUCACGAUGCCUUCGGUCAUCGUGCGGACCAUGGUCGCCUGCGGGGUAGAGCAAAACGAUAUUUUAGAACCAAGAAAAAAUUUGGCAUGACUUUGCCUAAAAAUAUGACCAAAAAGAAUGCAUAGUGCCAAAAUUCUCGCCGAAACGGAAAUGAAUCAACAUUCCGGCAAAAUAUUGGCAACUAUCGCAUUUCAAAUACCGGUACCUGCAAACACAAACAUAUAUGCAACACCACAAACAUAUGCAACACCACAAAUAUACAUAGAUCUAGCUAGGCCAUAAAAAGUGCAUGUGCACGUUGUUGGAGGGAGAAAAAAGUAGAUCUGCAACAUAAAGAAAGUUUUUCCCUUACUUACCUAUCAAAAAAGGGUAAUUUAACCACUUAAUUUGGAUGAAUCUAUGAUGCAAAUGAGGUGAGGAGGAGGAGGCACCCGAGACAAGUUUGGAGGAGGUGGAGAGAAUGAAGUGGGGAAAGUGAGAGUGUAGGUGGAUGUCCAAAAUAUCUAGCUAGUCCCAGGUUACUAAUGGCACAACACCAACAAAUGCGCCAUUAGUAACCCUGGUUACUAAUGGCGCACCAGCUGGCGGUGCGCCAUUAGUAGUUUUGCAAAAAAAAAAAAAUAGUGGCGCACGGGGUGACUGGUGCGCCAUUACUAGUUUGGUUGUGGUGCGUCAUUAGUGUGAUAGACAGACACUAAUGGCGCACCGGCACACGAUGCGCCAUUAGUAUUUUUGGAAAAAAGAAAAAAAAAUUGUUAGUAGUGGCGCACCAUAGUUGUGGUGCGCCAUUAGUGUCUAUCACACUAAUGACGCACCAGCACACGGUGCGUCACUGCUAUAUAGUAGUGGCGCACCGCAUGUCUGGUGCGUCAUUAGUGUGCAUAUUGUCUAUAGCCCUUUUUCUAGUAGUGGCAGGUGCAGCAGAAGCUGCAACAUGCGGAAUUUUCUCCAAAAAGGAGUAUAACUGAGCCGAACAAUACUCCCUUAGAUGAAUUUCAAAUCAGGAGCAAGCAAAACUCACUUGACCCGGUCGAACUUGAGCCCCAUCCUCUUGCCACCAUCCUUCCCUGCAAACAGCAACAGAAAAGGAGGACACAUUUCCUCAUCAUCCAUUCUUCAGUUACCACUAAAGCUCCCACGCACAACCCCUCUGAAAAUGCGAGAUUUAUUUGCUAUAUACUCCCGCAGUGCUAUUCUAGAUCCGUCACUGCCACUCCCAGCGGCACGCCCAGAAUCGCAUCAUGAAUCCUUGGCGUGCGCGACCAGAGUAAGCGGGGGCCGAUUCUUCCCCAAUCGAGAUGCGAGCAGCAUGAACAGAACAACCGGGGAUUCGGGGUGAGGGACUGUCUCACCGGGGAGCGGGUUGUAGUAGCCGAGGACCUCGAGGUGCUUGCCGUCGCGUGGGGAGCGGCUGUCGGCGGCCGUCACACGGUAGAAGGGCCGAUUCCGGCAGCCGAACCGCGCGAGCCGGAUGCGCACCACCAUGACUUUCUUCUUUUCUUCCUCGCCGCCGGCCUUCGUUUCUCCGGGUUAGAGGGGUGGUGUGGGAAGAAGGGUUUUGGGUUGGCGAUUAGUGCGUGCCUUCUGGGCUGGGCUUGGCUUAUCCAACUAGGUAUUUCUUAGUGGGCCUACAUCAAUGCCCUAAAUUGGGGCCGAUCCAUGUACGCGAAUUCGAUCGCAGAUCCUACUACUCAAGCAAAAAAAAAAGCAAAUGAUCCUAAAAAAGACUAAUAAAAACCCUAAAAAGUGAUCCUAAAAAAACUCAGGAAAUUUAAACUAUCCUCCAAAGCAUGAGUGGAUGUUACGAUAAAAACAAGUAAAAUUAAGCUUCAUUUAUCUUGUAUUUUCUGGAAACAAAACCUUCAUUUCAUCAAUUUACUAUAGGUUAGCAAGAAACAAAAUGAAUUUCACAAAGCACAAUAACAAUCCCUGGAAAACCUUUGUCAUGACUUAUAAAAUUUAAGUAGGUAUCAGUGGUGGAGCUUGACAAGAAAGUGUGGGGGAGCCAAUUUUUUUUUACUCGUACAGUCAGGCAGGGACCGAAUCAAUGUAUAUAACCAUAUAUAGGGAACGAAUGAUUUCAGAGAGCUUGUCCAAAGCGCGAGGGCGGCUGGCAGACCAGAGUUCAUGCAGUCGACGAACACCCUCUCUGAGUCUCUCCUCGCCUCCUCGCGAUGUGUCGCCGGCUCAAGGAGGUCCAGUUAAUCUCAUACAGCAAGUUGCAAGGCAACAGGGCCAGUUCAUACCUAAUGAAACGAAAAUUUCGUGAGAUCAGUCUAUCUCCUACGGCAAGCUGCAAGGCGGCAGUGCAAGUUCAUACCUAAUGAAAAUAAAAUNNNNNNNNNNNNNNNNNNNNNNNNNNNNNNNNNNNNNNNNNNNNNNNNNNNNNNNNNNNNNNNNNNNNNNNNNNNNNNNNNNNNNNNNNNNNNNNNNNNNNNNNNNNNNNNNNNNNNNNNNNNNNNNNNNNNNNNNNNNNNNNNNNNNNNNNNNNNNNNNNNNNNNNNNNNNNNNNNNNNNNNNNNNNNNNNNNNNNNNNNNNNNNNNNNNNNNNNNNNNNNNNNNNNNNNNNNNNNNNNNNNNNNNNNNNNNNUUAUCAACAGAGCAAUUAAAGUGUCAUUCAUAUUCAUGUACAUCAGACAAGGGUAUUUAUAACUAAAAUAGCACCUCACAUUAAGAUCAGUCAACUGCUCUUAAACUAAAAAAUUAGGGAUUAUUAUGUAAAGUUGAUCCAAGCAAAGCACUCACCGAGCAUGAAAUCCACAUCUCUAGCAGCCUCCUACUUCAAUCCAUGUACUCAGUUGUUGGCUUGUCUUGCAGGCACCACAACCCUAUCAGCAAACAGUGAGAGGGAGAACAUAAAUAAAUCAAACAACAGAAAAAUUCCUCAGAUCGGUACAAUGUUGUAUUAACAGCGCAACACAUCAACUUUGAAUUUAUCUUGUGUUUCUUGUCUUCGAUGCCAGCUCUGCUGACUAAGAUUGUACAAUGAAAGAGCAGAAAAAUGAUCUUAGUUGCGCACACAAAAAACAUUUGUUGGGUGAAGGAACUUCGUUUGGUGAGUAUAGUUACAUCUAAUAAACAAUAUCUUCUUAAGAACCAACACCAUAUUUCUACAUACAAAAGUGAAAAGGUAGAAGAUGCUAAAAAUUGCAAGAAACAACAUCUUUCUUCAUACAUUUUUUUCGUUGGUUAACUUCCAUUCUUUUUUGUUUUUCUUUAUAUUUCAAAAUAGUCUAAUUCAUAUACUUCAAAACUUAAUUUAUGUAAAAUUUUAAAAAUAUUCACCAUGCAUUAAAAAAAUGUUAAUGCAUUUUGAAUAUUUGAUCAUGCAAUUUAGGAAAUGUUUUUACUGAUCUGGAGAAUUUUUGUUAUUGUUUUUUAAUUUAUUUUCUUCCUCUUACGGUUUGUGUGUCUUAAAAAAUGUUCGUGAUAUUUUCAAAUAUGUUUAUAAAUUUAAAAUAUACGUUCAUGUAAUUUCAAUAAAAAAUGCAUAAUACCAUUCAAAAACCGAGCUCGUGAAUGAUAUAAAAAACGUCACAUGUCUCAAAAAAAUGUUCAUGAAUAUAUGUACUAGUUUUUAUAUCAUUAAAAAAAAUGAUAUAAACAUUUUUAGUAUACACGUGAAACAUGUUUUACAAACGUUGAAAGUUUUUUAAAUGCAUGUUUUAAACAUUGCGAAUAUAUGUUAAACAUUUUUUAAUACAUGUUGAACAUUUUUAACGGCGUUAAACAUUUUUUUAAAGUAUGCAAACAUUGCUUUACGUUAUAUAUAUUGAAAUGUCAUAGCAUUGUUUUUAAAUAUGUGAAGAUUUAUUAAAAAUGUCAUGUAUAUUAUUUUUGAUGGAUAUGAAAUAUUUUUUUGGGAAUCACUGAAAGUUUUACACUUCAUGAAUAUUUUCAAAAUGUGUGACGAGCAUUAUUGAAAAUUUGAGUGAAUUAUAUUUUUAGUAUUUUACAUAUUUAUAUAAAUAACAUCUUUUUUUAGAAACGUUUAGAUAACAAACGACAUUUGCUUCGGGAGCCACCGUUUCUCUCCAGAUGGGCCCUUACAUUUGGGCCAUUUAGGACGUGCUUGAGGCUAGGUGUUCUUUCGUCUCAAAUUUCUAAAAAAAAGCGAGGCAAAGACACGUCCAGGUGUGGAGCUUCAAAAUAUUCUUCCUUCUUCCUCGAGUUACUUCGCGAGAUUUCCAAGAGUACGUAUGGUGCAUCUUUUUUUCUGUUCGUUGUCAGUGCUACUACUUCUGGACGAAGAAACGUCCGAUCUCAUCGAAUGGAGCGACGCUGCGUUGUUUAUUCGUGUGGUUUCCUUUUGCGGUGAGACAAGCAUCGCACGUGACAACGCGCACGCAAAAACAAAUCACGCCGAGAUCGAGAGCAACACGUCGACGGAUCAGAGACACCGAUGCAUGCACAUGGCGGCGACGAUGGCGUUCGCGUCCAUGCUCCACCGCACCGGCACCAAGUGUAAUAAAUCGACCAGGCAGAAAGCCGCAUCCAACUUGUGCUCGCUCGGCACCGUGGAGGUGCACCGUAAAUUGUGCUCGUCGUCGUCACACGCAUGCACCACCCCUUUACACUUGUUUAUUGCAGCUUCUUCACCCGCUUUUGGCCUCUUCUUCUUCCGGCAUGGGCUCGGUCGAAUCGGUUCCAUCUACAUGGCAGAGCUUUGCGAACGUACGGCGGGGGAGCGGCAACGCGUGUCCUCCCUACGUGGCGGCCAUGUACGAGCACCGCCGCGCAACGUGGCUCACAGCUUCUGCCUAUAAAGGCCACCUGCUCCAACCUCCUUACCAUAUCACAAGAAGCCGAACCAUUCCAAGUACUGUCGAGCAGAAGCCUAAAGCGAGUGACAUUUCCCCCUUCCGAGCUAGUUCAAGAAACCAAAAUGGCCUCCAACCAGAACCAGGCCAGCUACCACGCCGGCGAGACCAAGGCCCGUACAGAGGUAAGCGUUUUUUUACUUAGUGUGCACUCUGCUGCGCGCAUGCGCCGUUGCUCCGGCGGUGAUCUGAGAUGUUCUAUCUGUUGGAUGAACUGCAGGAGAAGACCGGGCAGAUGAUGGGCGCGACCAAGGACAAGGCCGGGCAGACCACGGAGGCCACCAAGCAGAAGGCCGGCGAGACGGCCGAGGCAACGAAGCAGAAGACUGGCCAGGCCACGGAGGCUACCAAGCAGAAGGCCGGCGAGACGGCCGAUGCCACCAAGCAGAAGGCCGCCGAGGCCAAGGACAAGACGGCGCAGACGGCGCAGGCGGCCAAGGAGAAGACGUACGAGACGGCGCAGUCGGCCAAGGAGCGCGCCGCCCAGGGCAAGGACCAGACCGCCAGCACCCUCGGCGAGAAGACGGAGGCGGCGAAGCAGAAGGCCGCCGAGACCACGGAGGCGGCCAGGCAGAAGGCCGCCGAGGCGACCGAGGCGGCCAAGCAGAAGGCGUCGGAGACGGCGCAGUACACCAAGGAGUCCGCCGUCGCCGGCAAGGACAAGACCGGCAGCGUCCUCCAGCAGGCCGGCGAGACGGUGGUGAACGCCGUGGUGGGCGCCAAGGACGCCGUGGCCAACACGCUGGGCAUGGGCGGUGACAACGCCACCAAGGACACCACCACCGGCGCCACCACCAAGGACACCACCACCAGGAAUCACUAGACGCAUGCGUUCGCGCUUGAUUUGCUUUCCUGUAGUCGUGUUUGGUCGUUCGCGGGCCUUCUACAUAUUUUGUAUGUUUCCACUCUUUCGUGAUUUCAGCUCAUUUAGUGUAAGUUUGCCUUCGAUUUGAUGUACUACUCGUGUCCGGUUCUGUAAUAGUAUUGAGUUAUUAUUAUGAUCCAUGUACUUUGGUGUAAUGUGUAAUUCCUUUAUUCCGAUAUAGUAUACAUUACUUCUACCGCGGAAUUUUUUUUUGAAGUCCCUUCUACCGCGGUAUUAUUAAAUGUGUCUGUCUAGGAUAGUCAUGUCACAUAGUCAUGUCACAUCUAAGUUACACAAUCAAGCAUAAAAAGAAAAAGAAAAUAAAAUAAAAUAAAAUACAUGAAGCCUUAAAAAAAACGAAUAUGAAAAUAGAUACCUACACGAAUCUCCAAGAUCAAUGACAUAGGGUCUGGGAUAGUCAUGUCACAUAUAAGUGACACAAUUAAGCAUGAGAAGUAAAAAGAAAAAUACCUAGAUGAAUCUUUAUGAAAAGGUUUUUCUUAUCAUUUAUGAAAUAUCAUCACUCUGUUUGGGCGCAUGCUAAAAAGAUGUUAUAUGACCAGAUGAAAGCCCAUCAUAUCAAAAUACCCAUGAACCCACGUGCCAGCUCUCCCUCAAAAGUGUGGGUCCCAUUCAAAAUCUCAGCGUAUUUAUUCUUAGCUUCAUGUGAGAUUGAGAGAGAUGAUAGGUGGGUCUAUUUAUUCUUAGCUUCAUGUGAGAUUGAGAGAGAUGAUCAUGUAUUUACUACAGCCAAAUCUAAUUUAUUCCUUACAUGUUAUACAAUAACAGAAUGCAUCCAUAAUUUUGUAAAGAUAAAUUCGAUUUAUUUCUCAUAUGAAAGAUAAUACAAAAUUACAGCCUGAAGAAUUGAACAUCACAUUUGCAGAAUGGAACCAAACAGUUAACUAAAGACGAUAACUAAUUAACAAAACAGUUAAUAAGUGAGCACCACACUGCACGAUAUAUAAAACAUAUACACUAGAGCAACAGAUUGCAUGGUAAAAUUAGAUAGCAGAGUUCACCAGAAUUUAUGAAGAAAAGGCAGGAGCAGCACACGCAACGGGUAAACCGAGCAUGCUUAACCGGCGUAGCUAGCAAAUGGUAAGGUGCUCAAUCUGGGGGUCGGCACGAAUGGCAGCCAUCGCGACCUCAUCCGCGCGUGCGGCCGCGAUUUGCUUCUCCGCUGCCAAAUGCUCCUUGAGAUCCUGGCUAUACUGCGUGCACCAUGGCUUAGGCCGGCGCUUAUUUGGUGGAGGGGUCGGUGAUUUGGGUGGAAGGUGUCGCGCUCGCGCGGGCGGUAGGGGCAUGUGGGAUGUGGAAGGAGGAGGAGGAUGGGGGUCGGGUGUGGAUUACCUGCCUGGAUAGGCGAGGCCGAGGAGCGUGAAGGAGGGUCACCGGCGAGGAGGCGACGACGCUUCAAGCAAGGAGUGAAGGUUUCAACUUGAAAAGGAAGGCGGAAAGAGGGGAAAUGUGGAUUUUGGUAAGGGAGAGUGGGCGGGGAGGUAGAUAUUUCCGCGGAAGCCGAAAAUUGGGAAUCACUUCAGCCAAAAAACUGGCGCGCAAAGUGUCAUCAGACACGAUCCCUUAUUCAGACACGGUCCGAAGAUAUUUUGUGCUGCAUCUCACACGGUUGGUUAUAGUAAACUGAGUGCGAUCUACUUGAUUUAUCGUCUUGAUCAUAUGAAUUACGUAAUGGGUCACAGCUACAAAGAUGCUGUUUGAAUUGUUAGAACUUUUAUCUGCAGUGAACAUGCAACUACAGGUGUGUUGUCAAAAAAAUGGGAAUUAUCUAGGGUUCGUUUGUACAUUUUUAUACAUUACCUGCGUUUUCCAGGCAUUUUAUGCGCAUAAUUCAAAUUUGAACUACAUGCACAUGCUCCAGUGCAUAUAAACUUACUGAAAAAUCAAAUAUGUGUCCUUGGUUGCAUGCUUAGGUCCCAUGCAAGAAAUAGGAAUGAAUUUCAAACACCCUACCACCGUCACUCGACGCAAACAUUGAGAUACCUGGUUUUUAAAUUCUAGUAAAUCCAAAACUCGUCUGAAAUUCAUGAAACUUGGCAUGCUAUCAUGUAGCGGCAUCAACAUGCCGUGGUAAAUUUUUUGUCCCAUUUGGGGCAGGUUUGGGUAUAAGCUUCUCACAAGCCAGAGCUUCUCACAACAAGCGUGAUGGUUUCGGUAGGGAAGGUGCCACCUUUGGGACAAAACGAUAUCCGUUGCCUCUUAUUGCUUUCGAAAUUUUUUGAGUGUCAACAUAGAACAACAAGAGUGUUGUGUUCAAUUUUGGAAUUUUUCGGGGUUCGUUUAGACAUUUUUAUGCAUUAACUGAGUUUUCAAUGCAUUUACGUGCAUAAUUCAAAUUUGAACUACAUGCACAUGCUCCAGUGCAUAUAAAUUGGUUGAAAAAUCAAAUCUGUGUCCUUGGGUGCAUGCUUAGGUCCCAUGCAAGAAAUAGGAAUGAAUUUCAAACACCAGGGCACCGUUGAUUGCCGGCAAAACAUUGAGAUGCCUGGUUUUUAAAUUCUAGUAAAUCCAAAACUCGUCUGAAAUUCAUGAAACUUGGCAUGCUAUCAUGGAGCGGCAUCAACAUGUCGUGGUACAAAUUUUGUCCCAUUUGGUGCAGGUUUGGGUAUAAGCUUCUCACAAACCGGAGCUUCUCACAACAAGCGUGAUGGUUUUCGGUAGGGAACGUCCCACCUUUGGGGACGAAACGAUAUCCAUUGCCUCUUAUUGCUUUCAAUUUUUUUCUCGUGUCAAUAUAGAACAACAGGAAUGUUGUGUGAAUUUUUGUGAUUUUUCGGGGUUCGUUUGGAUAUUUUUAUGCAUUAACUGAGUUUUCAAUGCAUUUAUGUGCAUAAUUCAAAUUUGAACUACAUGCACAUGCUCCAUUGCAUAUAAAUUGGUUGAAAAAUCAAAUCUGUGUCCAUGGGUGCAUGCUUAGGUCCCAUGCAAUAAAUGGGAAUGAAUUUUAAACACCAGGGCGCCGUUGAUUGCCGGCAAAACAUUGAGAUGCCUGGUUUGUAAAUUCUAGUAAUUCCAAAACUCGUCUAAAAUUCAUGAAACUUGGCAUGCUAUCAUGGAGCGUCAUCAACAUGCCGCGGUACAAAUUUUGUCCCAUUUGGGGCAGGUUUGGGUAUAAGCUUCUCACAAAUCGGAGCUUCUCACAACAAGCCUGAUGCUUUUCGGUAGGGAACGUCCCACCUCUGGGAACGAAAGGAUAUCCAUUUCCUCUGAUUGCUUUCAAAUUUUUUUCUCGUGUCAACAUAGAACAACAGGAGGGUUGUGUGAAUUUUUGUGAUUUUUGGGGUUCGUUUGGGCAUUUUUAUGCAUUAAGUGAGUUUUCAAUUCAUUUAUGUGCAUAAUUCAAAUUUGAACUACAUGCACAUGCUGCAGUGCAUAUAAAUUGAUUGAAAAAUAAAAUCCGUGUCCUUGGGUGCAUGCUUAGGUCCCAUGCAAGAAAUGGAAAUGAAUUUCAAACAAUAGGGCACCGUUGAUUGCCGGCAAAACAUUGAGAUGCCUGGUUUUAAAUUCUAGUAAAUGCAAACCUCGUCUGAAAUUCAUGAAACUUGGCAUGCUAUCAUGGAGCGGCAUCAACAUGCCAUGGUAAAAUUUUUGUCUCAUUUGGGGCAGGUUUCGGUAUAUGCUUCUCACAAACCGGAGCUUCUCACAACAAGCAUGAUGGUUUUCGGUAGGGAACGUCCCACCUGUGGGGACGAAAAUAUAUCAAUUGCCUCUUAUUGCUUUCAAUUUUUUUUCUCGUGUCAACAUAGAACAACAGGAGUGUUGUAUGAAUUUUUGUGAUUUUUCGGGGUUCGUUUGGACAUUUUUAUGAAUUAACUGAGUUUUCAAAGCAUUUAUGUGCAUAAUUCAAAUUUGAACUACAUGCACAUGCUCAAGUGCAUAUAAAUUGGUUGAAAAAUCAAAUAUGUGUCCUUGGGUGCAUGCUUAGGUCCCAUGCAAGAAAUAGGAAUGAAUUUCAAAUACCAGGGCACCGUUGAUUGCCGGCAAAACAUUGAGAUGUCUGGUUUUUAAAUUCUAGUAAAUCCAAAACUCGUCUGAAAUUCAUGAAACUUGGCAUGCUAUCAUGGAGCGACAUCAACAUGCCAUGGUACAAAUUUUGUCCCAUUUGGGGCAGGUUUGGGUGUAAGCUUCUCACAAACCGGAGCUUCUCACAACAAGCGUGAUGGUUUUCGGUAGGGAACGUCCCACCUUUGGGGACGAAACGAUAAUCAUUGCCUCUUAUUGCUUUCAAAUUUUUUCUCGUGUCAAUAUAGAACAACAGGAGUGUUGUGUGAAUUUUUGUGAUUUUUCGGGGUUCGUUUGGACAUUUUUAUGCAUUAACUGAGUUUUCUAUGCAUUUAUGUGCAUAAUUCAAAUUGAACUACAUGCACAUGCUCCAGUGCAUAUAAAUUGGUUGAAAAAUCAAAUCUGUGUCCUUGGGUGCAUGCUUAGGUCCCAUGCAAGAAAUAGGAUGAAUUUCAAACACCAGGGCACCGUUGAUUGCCGGCAAAACAUUGAGAUGCCUGGUUUUUAAAUUCUAGUAAAUCCAAAACUCGUCUGAAAUUCAUGAAUCUUGGCAUGCUAUCAUGGAGCGGCAUCAACAUGUCGUGGUACAAAUUUUGUCCCAUUUGGUGCAGGUUUGGGUAUAUGUUUCUCACAAACCGGAGCUUCUCACAACAAGCGUGAUGGUUUUCGGUAGGGAACGUCCCACCUUUGGGGACGAAACGAUAUCCAUUGCCUCUUAUUGCUUUCAAAUUUUUUCUCAUGUCAAUAUAGAACAACAGGAGUGUUGUGUGAAUUUUUGUGAUUUUUCGGGGUUCGUUUGGACAUUUUUAUGCAUUAUUUGAGUUUUCAAUGCAUUUAUGUGCAUAAUUCAAAUUUGAACUACAUGCACAUGCUCCAGUGCAUAUAAAUUGGUUGAAAAAUUAAAUCUGUGUCCUUGGGUGCAUGCUUAGGUCCCAUGCAAGAAAUGGGAAUGAAUUUCAAACACUAGGGCACCGUUGAUUGCCGGCAAAACAUUGAGAUGCCUGGUUUGUAAAUUCUAGUAAUUCCAAAACUCGUCUGAAAUUCAUGAAACUUGGCAUGCUACCAUGGAGCGGCAUCAACAUGCCGUGGUACAUAUUUUGUCCCAUUUGGGGCAAGUUUGGGUAUAAGCUUCUCACAAACCGGAGCUUCUCACAACAAGCAUGAUGGUUUUCGGUAGGGAACGUCCCACCUUUGGGGACGAAACGAUAUCCAUUUCCUCUGAUUGCUUUCAAAUUUUUUCUUGUGUCAACAUAGAACAAAAAGAGUGUUGUGUGAAUUUUCGUGAUUUUUCGGGGUUUGUUUGGACAUUUUUAUGCAUUAACCAAGUUUUCAAUGCAUUUAUGUGCAUAAUUCAAAUUUGAACUACAUGCACAUGCUCCAGUGCAUAUAAAUUGGUUGAAAAAUAAAAUAUGUGUCCUUGGGUGCAUGCUUAGGUCCCAUGCAAGAAAUGGGAAUGAAUUUCAAACAAUAGGGCACGGUUGAUUGCCGGCAAACUAUUGAGAUGCCUGGUUUUUAAAUUCUAGUAAAUCCAAAACUCGUCUGAAAUUCAUGAAACUUGGCAUGCUAUCAUGGAGCGGCAUCAACAUGACGUGGUACAAAUUUUGUCCCAUUUGGGACAGGUUUGGGUAUAUGUUUCUCACAAACCGGAGCUUCUCACAACAAGCAUGAUGGUUUUUAGGAGGGAACGUCCCACCUUUGGGGACGAAAAUAUAUCCAUUGCCUCUUAUUGCUUUGAAUUUUAUUUCUCAUGUCAACAUAGAACAACAGGAGUGUUGUGUGAAUUUUUGUGAUUUUUCGGGGUUCGUUUGGACAUUUUUAUGCAUUAACUGAGUUUUCAAUGCAUUUAUGUGCAUAAUUCAAAUUUCAACUACAUGCAGAAUGCUCAAGUGCAUAUAAAUUGGUCGAAAAAUCAAAUCUGUGUCCUUGGGUGCAUGCUUAGGUCCGAUGUAAGAAAUAUGAAUGAACUUCAAACACCAGGGCACCGUUGAUUGCUAGCAAAACAUUGAGAUGCCUGGUUUUUAAAUUGUAGUAAAUCCAAAACUCGUCUGGAAUUCAUGAAACUUGGCAUGCUAUCAUGGAGCGGCAUUAACAUGCCGUGGUACAAAUUUUGUCCCAUUUGGGGCAGGUUUGGGUAUGAGCUUCUCACAAAGCGGAGCUUCUCACGACAAGCGUGAUGGUUUUCGGUAGGGAACGUCCCACCUUUGGGGACGAAACGAUAUCCAUUGCCUCUUAUUGCUUUCAAUUUUUUUUUCUCAUGUCAACAUAGAACAACAGGAGUGUUGUGUGAAUUUUUGUGAUUUUUCGGGGUUCGUUUGGACAUUUUUUUGCAUUAACUGAGUUUUCAAUGCAUUUAUGUGCAUAAUACAAAUUUGAACAAAUGCACAUGCUCCAGUGCAUAUAAAUUGGUUGAAAAAUCAAAUCUGUGUCCAUGGGUGCAUGCUUAGGUCCCAUGCAAUAAAUGGGAAUGAAUUUUAAACACCAGGGCGCCGUUGAUUGCCGGCAAAACAUUGAGAUGCCUGGUUUGUAAAUUCUAGUAAUUCCAAAACUCGUCUGAAAUUCAUGAAACUUGGCAUGCUAUCAUGGAGCGGCAUCAACAUGCCGUGGUACAAAUUUUGUCCCAUUUGGGGCAGGUUUGGGUGUAAGCUUCUCACAAACCGGAGCUUCUCACAAGAAGCGUGAUGGUUUUCGGUAAGGAACUUCCCACCUUUGGGGACAAAACGAUAUCCAUUGCCUCUUAUUGCUUACCAAUUUUUUUCUCGUGUAAAUAUAGAACAACAGGAAUGUUGUGUGAAUUUUUGUGAUUUUUCGGGGUUCGUUUGGACAUUUUUAUGCAUUAACUGAGUUUUCAAUGCAUUUAUGUGCAUAAUUCAAAUUUGAACUGCAUGCACAUUCUCAAGUGCAUAUAAAUUGGUUGAAAAAUCAAAUCUGUGUCCUUCGGUAGAAGCUUAGGUCCUAUGCAAGAAAUGGGAAUGAAUUUCAAACACCAGGGCACCGUUGAUUGCCGGCAAAACAUUGAGAUGCCUGGUUUGUAAAUUCUAGUAAUUGCAAAACUCGUCUGAAAUUCAUGAAACUUGGCAUGCUAUCAUGGAGUGGCAUCAACAUGCCGUGGUACAAAUUUUGUCCCAUUUGGGGCAGGUUUGGGUAUAAGCUUCUCACAAACCGGAGCUUCUCACAACAAGCGUGAUGGUUUUCGGUAGGGAACGUCCCACCUUUGGGGACGAAACGAUAUCCAUUUUCUCCGAUUGUUUUCAAAAAAAAUUCUCGUGUCAACAUAGAACAACAAGAGUGUUGUGUGAAUUUUCGGGAUUUUUUGGGGUUCGUUUGGACAGUUUUAUGCAUUAACUGAGUUUCCUAUGCAUUUAUGUGCAUAAUUCAAAUUGAACCACAUGCACAUGCUCCAGUGCAUAUAAAUUGGUUGAAAAAUCAAAUCCGUAUCCUUGGGUGCAUGCUUAGGUCCCAUGCAAGAAAUGGGAAAGAAUUUCAAACACCAGGGCACCGUUGAUUGCCGGCAAAACAUUGAGAUGCCUGGUUUGUAAAUUCAAGUAAUUCCAAAACUCAUCUGAAAUUCUUGAAACUUGGCAUGCUAUCAUUGAGCGGCAUCAAAAUGCCGUGGUACAAAUUUUGUCCCAUUUGGGGCAGGUUUGGGUAUAAGCUUCUCACAAAACGGAGCCUCUCACAACAAGCGUGAUGGUUUUCGGUAGGGAACGUCCCGCCUUUGGGGACGAAACGAUAUCCAUUUCCUCUGAUUGUUUUCAAAAAAAAUUCUCGUGUCAACAUAGAACAACAUGAGUGUUGUGUGAAUUUUCGUGAUUUUUCGGGGUUCAUUUGGACAGCUUUAUGCAUUAACUGAGUUUUCUAUGCAUUUAUGUGCAUAAUUCAAAUUGAACUACAUGCACAUGCUCCAGUGCAUAUAAAUUGGUUGAAAAAUAAAAUCUGUGUCCUUGGGUGCAUGCCUACGUCCCAUGCAAGAAAUGAGAAUGAAUUUCAAACACUAGGGCACCGUUGAUUGCCGGCAAAACAUUGAGAUGCCUGGUUUUUAAAUUCUAGUAAAUCCAAAACUCGUCUGAAAUUCAUGAAACUUGGAAUGCUAUCAUGGAGCGGCAUCAACAUGCCGUGGUACAAAUUUUGUCCCAUUUGGGACAGGUUUGGGUAUAUGCUUCUCACAAACCGGAGCUUCUCACAACAAACAUGAUGGUUUUCGGUAGGGAACGUCCCACCUUUGGGGACGAAAUGAUAUCCAUUGCUUCUUAUUGCUUUCAUGUUUUCUCGUGUCAACAUAGAACAACAGGAGUGUUGUGUGAAUUUUUGUGAUUUUUCGGGGUUCGUUUGGACAUUUUUUUGCAUUAACUGAGUUUUCAAUGCAUUUAUGUGCAUAAUACAAAUUUGAACAAAUGCACAUGCUCCAGUGCAUAUAAAUUGGUUGAAAAAUCAAAUCUGUGUCCUUGGGUGCAUGCUUAGGUCCCAUGCAAGAAAUAGGAAUGAAUUUCAAACACCAAGGCACCGUUGAUUGUCGGCAAAACAUUGAGAUGCCUGGUUUUUAAAUUCGAGUAAAUCCAAAACUCGUCUGAAAUUCAUGAAACUUGGCAUGCUAUCAUGGAGCGGCAUCAACAUGCCGUGGUACAAAUUUUGUCCCAUUUGGGGCAGGUUUGGGUAUAAGCUUCUCACAAAAUGGAGCUUCUCACAAGAAGCGUGAUGGUUUUCGGUAAGGAACUUCCCACCUUUGGGGACAAAACGAUAUCCAUUGCCUCUUAUUGCUUACAAAUUUUUUUCUCGUGUAAAUAUAGAACAACAGGAAUGUUGUGUGAAUUUUUGUGAUUUUUCGGGGUUCGUUUGGACAUUUUUAUGCAUUAACUGAGUUUUCAAUGCAUUUAUGUGCAUAAUUCAAAUUUGAACUGCAUGCACAUUCUCAAGUGCAUAUAAAUUGGUUGAAAAAUCAAAUCUGUGUCCUUCGGUGCAUGCUUAGGUCCUAUGCAAGAAAUGGGAAUGAAUUUCAAACACCAGGGCACCGUUGAUUGCCGGCAAAACAUUGAGAUGCCUGGUUUGUAAAUUCUAGUAAUUGCAAAACUCGUCUGAAAUUCAUGAAACUUGGCAUGCUAUCAUGGAGUGGCAUCAACAUGCCGUGGUACAAAUUUUGUCCCAUUUGGGGCAGGUUUGGGUAUAAGCUUCUCACAAACCGGAGCUUCUCACAAACCGGAGCUUCUCACAACAAGCGUGAUGGUUUUCGGUAGGGAACGUCCCACCUUUGGGGACGAAACGAUAUCCAUUUCCUCUGAUUGUUUUCAAAAAAAUUCUCGUGUCAACAUAGAACAACAAGAGUGUUGUGUGAAUUUUCGGGAUUUUUUGGGGUUCGUUUGGACAGUUUUAUGCAUUAACUGAGUUUUCUAUGCAUUUAUGUGCAUAAUUCAAAUUGAACUACAUGCACAUGCUCCAGUGCAUAUAAAUUGGUUGAAAAAUCAAAUCCGUAUCCUUGGGUGCAUGCUUAGGUCCCAUGCAAGAAAUGGGAAAGAAUUUCAAACACCAGGGCACCGUUGAUUGCCGGCAAAACAUUGAGAUGCCUGGUUUGUAAAUUCAAGUAAAUCCAAAAUUCCGUUAACCAUUCACGUGACGCCACGUGUCUUGGUUUUAAUGGCUGCAGGAGGUGCCGUGCGGACAGCUGCUUGACCUUGACUGAACGGGAGGCGUGCGAGCUCCGUCCGGUGCGUAGGCUGACCGAGAGGCGUGUAAGCUGUCCUCGAGUGCGCAGGCUCACCGGGAAGCGUGCGAGCUGUACGCUGCGCAGACUCACUGGGAAGCGAGACCUUUGACUUCCAUGGCCGCCCGCCUUGCUCGCAUCCUCUCCAUUAAUGGCUCCCAAGCCGCAGUUUAAUUCGCUUUUUAAAUAUAAAACACUCAUCGCAAACGUUUUAGUUAGAACACUCGUAUGCAAACAUGCAGCUUCCUCAGGAAGCCAAGAGAAAAUGUGCCGAGCAGGAUUUCUGCAGCUCUUGAUUGCAAACGAUUUAGAUAGAACACCCGUAUGCAAAGUGAGAGCAGCGCAGGAUUUGUGCAUCCAUUCAACGCAAACGGUUGUUCUGGAUGACCCGUGUGCAACCACGUACAAACAAUUUGGUAAGAUUUGCAUCUGUAUAUUGGGUAUGUUGCCAUUUGUCAAACCGGAAAGAUUUACAUUUGUUGAUCUAGUAACGUUGCCAUUUGUCUCCUUGUAACACUGCGAUUUGUCAAAAUAUGCAGCUAGAAAUCAUUAGCACUAUGUAAUUUUUGCAACUAAAAUUCAGUAAUUAAGCAUAGAUUUCAUUCAUAGAUUAAGCAGUCGUUCUUAAUUUAUACAAACAGUUCAACUCGACAGCUGAACCGACCAAACUUCUCCCCAAUUGUUGCCAACCACGUACUGAAAUAGCUAGUUCAACUAUAUAUACUAGCUAAUUUUAAGUACGUUGUACAGUUCGACCACACAUCUAUAGUCAGAUGAACUUAACAAAAUAGCCCCUAAAUACUAUUACUACCACGGAGGGGCUUUGUGCUACUUCCGGCAGCCUCUCCUCUGCCGAGCGUGCUCAGUAAGAUUCUAAGGAGGAGGAGGAGCCUACCGACGAGCUGGACAAAUGCAAUACGGUGCCUGCCGCUGCUGCACGUUCAGCGAUGCUCGCCAGCUCGAACGCCCACUGCCGCUCCAGACGAUCCCUCUCGAAGCGGCCGGACUGCUCGUAGAUCUCCUGAUUCCUUGCCUCUGCGUCGGCGUGUGCUGCGGCCACGGCUGCGGUAAGGCUCUUUGCGUGCUCGACGAGCCGCUCCUCCUCCUCCCGCAGGAACUCGAUGUAGCGCGCAAGGUCGCUGAUGCACGUGCGAGCCUCCACCUCUGCCUCCCUCCUUCGGGCGGCGGUGGCGGAGUGGGUGAUGAUCCCGGCGGUCGACGGUGGGCUGGCGGCCACGACCAUCACCUCCCGCCUUCGGGCCGCGGUGGCGGAGCGGGUGAUGGCCACGGUGGCCGGUAGUGGGGUGGCGGCCACGACGGCCACCUCCCGCCUUCGGGCUGCGGCAGCGGAUUGGGAGAUGGCCCUGGCUAUCGACGGUGGUGUGGCGGCAACGGCGGCCGGCAACAGCUGCCGACGGGCAGCGGCGGCGGAGCGUGUGGUGGGUGUUCCGCGCACACCCAACAGGGACGCCACGCGCACUACACUACGCCGGGGACUGCGUCGCCGCCGCGGUGUAGCCUCCCAGCUGGAGCUGUCCUCUGAUGACGACAGAGUGGCUGAGCGACGACGAUGGACCGGUGCCAUUGGCGAUUAUGGGAGAAGCAGACGAGAUAAGCUACAGGGAGCGAGGGGAAAAUGCGACGCAGGACUCGCCGGCCGUCAGGGUUUUUAUAGCAGGCCGGUAAGCAUUGGGAUUUUGGGGGAUUUCACCGAGUCGGGCGGGAAGCUUGCGCGGGAACCUGCGAGGUUGCGUGGGAACGGGCUCACUGAUGAUUCAUUGGCGCCACCGUUUGGCUAAAAGAACGCCCCCGCGCGCUGCGCAAGAUUGCGCUGUAAGCCGUCUGCGGCAGCGGGGUGACAAGACGUGCGAGAGGAGGACGAGAGGACACGUACACAUACAGUUAAUAAAAAAAAAUGUUUGCAAUUUAAUUACCAACUAUACGCCUGUCCUGGUUUAUAAGUAGGAUUUAACUAAUAAAAUACGAAUGCAUGUCGCCAUAGAUUAUAUCGUUGGAGUCGUAUUUGAACAUAGUUUCUAGCUAUACAAUUUUUGUAACAUGCAUUAACACUUUUUUGGUUAAAUUUAAGUUAUACACCAGCACACAUUUGCCCGCAACACACACGGCUUAUAACAUCACAAACAGCUCUGAUGGAUCAACUGUCUGCCAUGUAUCACACACGCAACUCUAAUCUGAUUCGUGCUUGAUGUCUCCGACAUCGCUCACACAGUUCGUCUUAUUUGCCACGUAUCACUGUGCCGUCCUCUGCUCGCGUCCCUCGGCAAGCUCUGCUCGCCGUUAGGCACCACAACGCGCUGUGCUCGCCGUUAGGCACCGCGACACGCUCUGUCGCGUCCGUUGGCACGCUCUGCUCGCGUCCGUCGGCGCGCUCGGCUUGUGGAUAGCUUUUCCUUGAGGCGGCCACGGAGCACUCUGCUCGCGUCCCUCCGCUCUUGCUCUGCCAGUGGUGGGGCGUGCACACGAUCACGUCAGGGGCCCCAUAUGCAUGCGGUUGCGCCGCGCGCAUUGCCACGCGAUGCAGUUACCUGCGGCACAAUGGAGUUACGCGCUGCAAAUUAGAACUGCCAUCAGGGCCUGCCGAUAUUCCUGGCCGUCCGGCUUCCCCUUUAAUUCCCGCGGCCAUUAUAACCUUAGUCUCUUCAACCUUUCGAUCGCGCCCCACAACACAACAAGCACACCCACGACGACACAUAGAGAGGGGAUGGCCGGCGGCGCUCCAAUGGAGUUCGGCGAGCAUAGAGUGGAGACCCACGCGAGGGAGACAGAUCUCUCGGUGGUGUACACCAUCGACCCGGCCGUGGUGGACGACUACAUCAACAGCGUUGAGCAGUUGCUUGCUGGAGACAAGUACAAGGUGGUCGGCAUCGACCUUCGGUACACCGCCGGUCGUCUCGGCAUAGACCAGAAGGUUGCUGUCGCCCAGUUGUGCGUGCGCCAUCAUGUCCUCAUCUACCACUACUUCAUGGCCACAGAGCCUUGCGACCGUUUCAACAGGUUUGUCAACAGCACUGACUACAAGUUCGCCACGGUGGAUACCACCAACGAUUUUAAAAGCGCUCAGUGUUACGGGCUUGGCCUGCAAGAACCUUGUCAAAAUCCGUGACCACUACACGGUCUGGGGCAGCACGAAGAAGGACUCCCUGGUCGAACUCGCCUCGGCCAUCAUCGACCCCUACUACAAAAAGAUGAAGCAAGAUGCCCAGAGAACAAGUCCCGUAUCCUAGCAUGGGGCCUGGAUGCGGCAACUGGAUGAACUUCACCUCAGGUCUGAGGCCAAGAGCAUGUACACAUGCUACGAGAUGCACAGGCGGAUCGUUGACAUGAGGAAGUGCCUCGUUACCCAAAUCGACGAGCCCGGAUCGAGCCACAAGCAGAGCAAGCGUCACAAGAAGUAGAUGACGAUCAGAUGAUCGUUUAUGCUAGUUAAUCAUGCAUGUAAUAUAUAGUUUACUUUAUUGGUGUGUGGAAAUGUCAUGUGUGUAGUAGCCACCUAUGUAGUUAUGCAUGUAAUAGUUUACUUUGGUGUGUGCAAAUGCCAUGGUUGUAGUAGCCACCUAUGUAAGUGGAUGUUUAAUUUGGUUAUGCAAGCAUGUCCUUGUAACUGUGUAUAUAUAUAUGUUGUUGUUCUGUAUGCAAUCCCAUCGCACAACACACACGUCUUAUUAGCAGCAACCGUCUGUGUUAUCAUCGGUCUUCACACACAUUUCUGAUUACAGACCUGUUUGCCGCGUAUCACACACAUCUUGUUAAGUUGAACCGUUUCUGUUCUCAUGUCUGAACGCAAACAGUUCAUCCGAGUGAACCGCAUGCCAUAUAUCGCACACACCUUGAUCUGGCUGACCGUUUCUUUUGUGUUUCCUAAUCACAACCAGUUCAUCCGAGUGAACCGUAUGCUGUGUAUCGCACACGCCUUCAUCUGGAUGCCGUUUCUUUUGUUCCUCCUCAUCGCAAACAGUUAAUUGAACUGAACCGUAUGCCCUUCAUCGCACGCGCAACUAAAACCUGAACCGUGUUUGAUGCAUCCAUAAUCGCAAACGUUUUAUACAUUUCUGACGGUUUUCAUACAACACCGUUUGCGAUUAUUGCAUCGCACACAGUUUCUCGAAGGGUCUCUGAUCGUAGUGUCGCGUUAACAGCAUCCUGCAGUAGUGCUAGAUAUUUAAAUGAGCAUACAUAAAGCUUGCAAAUAGAAAGGAGUACAAAAGGGUACAACACAAAACGACUAAUUUUGCACUUGUCACGGGUGCUCAUAUUUUUUUGCCCAAAGAUGCAUACGGGUGCUCAUAUUUUGUGCUGACUUAGUAUAAUCAGCAUCUCAGAGGUGAUAACUGUUGGGGAUCGUUGCAGAAUUUUAAAAUUUUCUACGCAUCACCAAGAUCCAUCUAUGGAGUUUACUAGCAACGAGGGGAAAGGAGUGCAUCUACAUACCCUUGUAGAUCGCGAGCGGAAGCGUUCAAGUGAACGGGGUUGAUGGAGUCGUACUCGUCGUGAUCCAAAUCACCGAUGACCGAGCGCCGAACGCACGGCACCUCCGCGUUCAACACACGUACGGAGAAGCGACAUCUCCUCCUGCUUGAUCCAGCAAGGGGGAAGGAGAGGUUGAUGGAGAUCCAGCAGCACGACGGCGUGGUGGUGGAAGUAGCGGGGAUCCCGGCAGGGCUUCGCCAAGCGCAAGCAGGAGGGAGAGGUGUCACGGGGGAAGAGGGAGGCGCCAGGGACUAGGGUACCGCAGCCCUNNNNNNNNNNNNNNNNNNNNNNNNNNNNNNNNNNNNNNNNNNNNNNNNNNNNNNNNNNNNNNNNNNNNNNNNNNNNNNNNNNNNNNNNNNNNNNNNNNNNNNNNNNNNNNNNNNNNNNNNNNNNNNNNNNNNNNNNNNNNNNNNNNNNNNNNNNNNNNNNNNNNNNNNNNNNNNNNNNNNNNNNNNNNNNNNNNNNNNNNNNNNNNNNNNNNNNNNNNNNNNNNNNNNNNACCCCCAGGGUUUCCAACCCUAGGCGCAGGGGGAGGCCCAUGGGGGCGCACCAGCCCACUUGGGGCUGGUUCCUCUCCCACUUCAGCCCAUGGGGCCUUCCGGGAUAGGUGGCCCCACCCGGUGGACCCCCGGGACCCUUCCGGUGGUCCCGGUACAAUACCGAUAACCCCCGAAACUUUCCCGGUGGCCGAAACUCGACUUCCUAUAUAUAAUUCUUCACCUCCGGACCAUUCCGGAACUCCUCAUGACGUCCGGGAUAUCAUCUGGGACUCCGAACAACUUUCGGGUUUCCGCAUACUAAUAUCUCUACAACCUAGCGUCACCUAACCUUAAGUGUGUAGACCCUACGGGUUCGGCAGACAUGCAGACAUGACCGAGACGCCUCUCCGGUCAAUAACCAACAGCGAGAUCUGGAUACCCAUGUUGGCUCCCACAUGUUCCACGAUGAUCUCAUUGGAUGAACCACGAUGUCGAGGAUUCAAUCAAUCCCGUAUACAAUUCCCUUUGUCAAUCGGUACGUUACUUGCCCGAGAUUCGAUCGUCGGUAUCCCAAUACCUUGUUCAAUCUCGUUACCGGUAAGUCACUUUACUCGUACCGCAAUGCAUGAUCCCGUGGCUAACUCCUUAGUCACAUUGAGAUCAUUAUGAUGAUGCAUUACCAAGUGGGCCCAGAGAUACCUCUCCGUCAUACGGAGUGACAAAUCCCAGUCUCGAUCCGUGCCAACCCAACAGACACUUUCGUAGAUACCCGUAGUGUACCUUUAUAGUCACCCAGUUACGUUGUGACAUUUGGUACACCCAAAGCACUCCUACGGUAUCCGGGAGUUGCACGAUCUCAUGGUCUAAGGAAAUGAUACUUGACAUUGGAAAAGCUCUAGCAAACGAACUACACGAUCUUUUGUGCUAUGCUUAGGAUUGGGUCUUGUCCAUCACAUCAUUCUCCUAAUGAUGUGAUCCCGUUAUCAAUGACAUCCAAUGUCCAUAGUCAGGAAACCAUGACUAUCUGUUGAUCAACGAGCUAGUCAACUAGAGGCUUACUAGGGACACGUUGUGGUCUAUGUAUUCACACAUGUAUUACGAUUUCCGGAUAACACAAUUAUAGCAUGAACAAUAGACAAUUAUCAUGAACAAGGAAAUAUAAUAAUAACCAUUUAUUAUUGCCUCUAGGGCAUAUUUCCAACAGUCUCCCACUUGCACUAGAGUCAAUAAUCUAGUUACAUUGUGAUGAAUCGAACACCCAUACAGUUUUGGUGUUGAUCAUGUUUUGCUCUAGGGAGAGGUUUAGUCAACGGAUCUGCUACAUUCAGUUCCGUAUGUGCUUUACAAAUAUCCAUGUCUCCAUUUUGAACACUUUCACGAAUGGAAUUGAAGCAACGCUUGAUAUGCCUGGUCUUCCUGUGAAACCUAGGCUCCUUGGCAAGGGCAAUAGCUCCAGUGUUGUCACAGAAGAGAGUCAUCGGGCCCGACGCAUUGGGAAUCACCCCUAGGUCGGUAAUGAACUCCUUCAUCCAGAUUGCUUCUUGCGCUGCCUCUGAGGCUGCCAUGUACUCCGCUUCACAUGUAGAUCCCGCCACGACGCUUUGCUUGCAACUGCACCAACUUACUGCCCCUCCAUUCAAAAUAUACACGUAUCCGGUUUGUGAGUUCGAGUCAUCCAGAUCUGCGUUGAAGCUAGCGUCGACGUAACCCUUUACGACGAGCUCUUCGUCACCUCCAUAAACAAGAAAUAUAUCCUUAGUCCUUUUCAGGUACUUCAGGAUAUUCUUGACCGCUGUCCAGUGUUCCAUGCCGGGAUUACUUUGGUACCUUCCUACCAAACUUACGGCAAGGUUUACAUCAGGUCUGGUACACAACAUGGCAUACAUAAUAGACCCUAUGGCCAAGGCAUAGGAGAUGACACUCAUCUUUUCUCUAUCCUAUGCCGUGGUCGGGCAUUGAGCCGUGCUCAAUUGCACACCUUGCAAUACAGGCAAGAACCCCUUCUUGGACUGAUCCAUAUUGAACUUCUUCAAUAUCUUGUCAAGGUACGUACUCUGUGAAAGACCAAUGAGGCGUCUUGAUCUAUCUCUAUAGAUCUUGAUGCCUAAUAUAUAAGCAGCUUCUCCAAGGUCCUUCAUUGAAAAACACUUAUUCAAGUAGGCCUUUAUACUUUCCAAGAAUUCUAUAUCAUUUCCCAUCAAUAGUAUGUCAUCCACAUAUAAUAAGAGAAAUGCUACAGAGCUCCCAUUCACUUUCUUGUAAACACAGACUUCUCCAUAAGUCUGUGUAAACACAAAUGCUUUGAUCAUCUCAUCAAAUCGAAUGUUCCAACUCCGAGAUGCUUGCACCAGCCCAUAGAUGGAGCGCUGGAGCUUGCAUACCUUGUUAGCAUUCUUAGGAUCGACAAAACCUUCCGGCUGCAUCAUAUACAAUUCUUCCUUAAGAAAGCCGUUAAGGAAUGCCGUUUUGACGUCCAUUUGCCAUAUCUCAUAAUCAUAGAAUGCGGCAAUUGCUAACAUAAUUCGGACGGACUUCAGCUUCGCUAUGGGUGAGAAAGUCUCAUCGUAGUCAACCCCUUGAACUUGUCGAUAACCCUUAGCGACAAGUCGAGCCUUAUAGAUGGUCACAUUACCAUCUGCGGCUGUCUUCUUCAUAAAGAUCCAUUUAUUUUCUAUGGCUCGCCGAUCAUCGGGCAAGUCAGUCAAAGUCCAUACUUCGUUUUCAUACAUGGAUCCUAUCUCGGAUUUCAUGGCUUCUAGCCAUUUGUCAGAAUCCGGGCCCGUCAUCGCUUCUUCAUAGUUCGAAGGUUCACCGUUGUCUAACAACAUGAUUUCUAGGACAGGGUUGCCGUACCACUCUGGUGCGGAACGUGUCCUUGUGGACCUACGAAGUUCAGCAGUAACUUGAUCCGAAGCUUCAUGAUCAUCAUCAUUAACUUCCUCCCCAGUUGGUGUAGGCACCACAGGAACAUCUUCCCGCGCUGCGCUACUUUCCGGUUCGGAAGGGGUGACUAUCACCUCAUCAAGUUCCACUUUCCUCCCACUUAAUUCUUUCGAGAGAAACUCUUUCUCCAGAAAGGACCCGUUCUUGGCAACAAAGAUCUUGCCUUCGGAUCUGAGGUAGAAGGUAUACCCAAUGGUUUCCUUAGGGUAUCCUAUGAAGACGCAUUUUUCCGAUUUGGGUUCGAGCUUUUUAGGUUGAAGUUUCUUGACAUAAGCAUCGCAUCCCCAAACUUUUAGAAACGACAACUUAGGUUUCUUCCCAAACCAUAAUUCAUACGGUGUCGUCUCAACGGAUUUCGAUGGAGCCCUAUUUAAAGUGAAUGCGGCAGUCUCUAAAGCAUAGCCCGAAAAUGAGAGCGGUAAAUCGGUAAGAGACAUCAUAGAUCGCACCAUAUCCAAUAGAGUGCGAUUACGACGUUCGGACACACCAUUUCGCUGAGGUGUUCCAGGCGGCGUGAGUUGUGAAACGAUUCCACAUUUCCUUAAGUGUGUGCCAAAUUCGUGACUUAAAUAUUCCCCUCCACGAUCUGAUCGCAGGAACUUUAUUUUCCUGUCACGUUGAUUCUCAACCUCACUCUGAAAUUCCUUGAACUUUUCAAAGGUUUCAGACUUGUGUUUCAUUAGGUAGACAUACCCAUAUCUACUUAAAUCAUCAGUGAGAGUGAGAACAUAACGAUAGCCACCGCGAGCCUCAACACUCAUUGGACCGCACACAUCAGUAUGUAUGAUUUCCAAUAAGUUGGUUGCUCGCUCCACUGUUCCGGAGAACGGAGUCUUGGUCAUCUUACCCAUGAGGCAUGGUUCGCAUGUGUCAAAUGAUUCGUAAUCAAGAGACUCCAAAAGUCCAUCUGCAUGGAGCUUCUUCAUGCUUUUGACACCAAUGUGACCAAGGCGGCAGUGCCACAAGUAUGUGGGACUAUCGUUAUCAACUUUACAUCUUUUGGUAUUCACACUAUGAAUAUGUGUAACAUCACGUUCGAGAUUCAUCAAGAAUAAACCAUUGACCAGCGGGGCAUGACCAUAAAACAUAUCUCUCAUAUAAAUAGAACAACCAUUAUUCUCGGAUUUAAAUGAGUAGCCAUCUCGAAUUAAACGAGAUCCAGAUACAAUGUUCAUGCUCAAAGCUGGCACUAAAUAACAAUUAUUGAGGUUUAAAACUAAUCCCGUAGGUAAAUGUAGAGGCAGCGUGCCGACGGCGAUCACAUCGACCUUGGAACCAUUCCCGACGCGCAUCGUCACCUCGUCCUUCGCCAGUCUCCGCUUAUUCCGCAGCUCCUGUUUUGAGUUACAAAUAUGAGCAACCGCACCGGUAUCAAAUACCCAGGAGCUACUACGAGUACUGGUAAGGUACACAUCAAUUACAUGUAUAUCACAUAUACCUUUGGUGUUGCCGGCCUUCUUGUCCGCUAAGUAUUUGGGGCAGUUCUGCUUCCAGUGACCACUUCCCUUGCAAUAAAAGCACUCAGUCUCAGGCUUGGGUCCAUUCUUUGACUUCUUCCCGGCAACUGGCUUACCGGGCGCGGCAACUCCCUUGCCGUCCUUCUUGAAGUUCUUCUUACCCUUGCCUUUCUUGAACUUAGUGGUUUUAUUCACCAUCAACACUUGAUGUUCCUUUUUGAUCUCCACCUCCGCUGAUUUCAGCAUUGAAUAUACCUCAGGAAUGGUCUUUUCCAUCCCCUGCAUAUUGAAGUUCAUCACAAAGCUCUUGUAGCUUGGUGGAAGCGACUGAAGGAUUCUGUCAAUGACCGCGUCAUCCGGGAGAUUAACUCCCAGCUGAGACAAGCGGUUGUGUAACCCAGACAUUCUGAGUAUGUGCUCACUGACAGAACUAUUUUCCUCCAUUUUACAACUGAAGAACUUGUCGGAGACUUCAUAUCUCUCGACCCGGGCAUGAGCUUGGAAAACCAUUUUCAGCUCUUCGAACAUCUCAUAUGCUCCAUGUUUCUCAAAAUGCUUUUGGAGCCCCGGUUCUAAGCUGUAAAGCAUGCCGCACUGAACGAGGGAGUAAUCAUCAGCACGUGAUUGCCAAGCGUUCAUAACGUCUUGGUUCUCUAGGAUGGGUUCUUCACCUAGCGGUGCUUCUAGGACAUAAUCUUUCUUGGCAGCUAUGAGGAUGAUCCUCAGGUUCCGGACCCAGUCCGUAUAGUUGCUGCCAUCAUCUUUCAGCUUGAUUUUCUUUAGGAACGCGUUGAAGUUGAGGACAACGUGGGCCAUUUGAUCUACAAGACAUAUUGUAAAGAUUUUAGACUAAGUUCAUGAUAAUUAAGUUCAUCUAAUCAAAUUAUUCAAUGAACUCCCACUCAGAUAGACAUCCCUCUAGUCAUCUAAGUGAAACAUGAUCCGAGUUAACUAGGCCGUGUCCGAUCAUCACGUGAGACGGACUAGUCAAGAUUGGUGAACAUCUCCAUGUUGAUCGUAUCUUCUAUACGACUCAUGCUCGACCUUUCGGUCUUCCGUGUUCCGAGGCCAUGUCUGUACAUGCUAGGCUCGUCAAGUCAACCUAAGUGUAUCGCGUGUGUUCCGAGGCCAUGUCUGUACAUGCUAGGCUCGUCAACACCCGUUGUAUGCGAACGUUAGAAUCUAUCACACCCGAUCAUCACGUGAUGCUUCGAAACAACGAACCUUCGAACACUUUCUUGAAAUUAUUAUAAGGGAUCAUCUUACUUACUACCGUCGUUCUAAGAAAAUAAGAUGCAAAACAUGAUAAACAUCACAUGUAAUCAAAUAGUGACAUGAUAUGGCCAAUAUCAUUUUUCUCCUUUGAUCUCCAUCCUCGGGGCGCCAUGAUCAUCUUCUUCACCGGCAUGACACCAUGAUCUCCAUCAUCGUGUCUUCAUGAAGUUGUCACGCCAACGAUUACUUCUACUUCUAUGGCUAACGCGUUUAGCAAUAAAGUAAAGUAAUUUACAUGGCGUUAUUCAAUGACACGCAGGUCAUACAAAAAAAAUAAAGACAACUCCUAUGGAUCCUGCCGGUUGUCAUACUCAUCGACAUGCAAGUCGUGAUUCCUAUUACAAGAAUAUGAUCAAUCUCAUACAUCACAUAUAUCUCAUUCAUCACAUCCUUUUGGCCAUAUCACAUCACAAGGCAAAUGCUGCAAAAACAAGUUAGACGUCCUCUAAUUGUUGUUGCAAGUUUUUACGUGGCUUCUAGCAAGAACGUUUCUUACCUACGUAAAACCACCACGUGAUAUGCCAAUUUCUAUUUACCCUUCAUAAGGACCCUUUUCAUCGAAUCCGUUCCGACUAAAGUGGGAGAGACAGACACCCGCUAGCCACCUUAUGCAACUAGUGCAUGUCAGUCGGUGGAACCUGUCUCACGUAAGCGUACGUGUAAGGUCGUUCCGGGCCGCUUCAUCCCACAAUACCGCCGAAACAAGAUAAGACUAGUAGUGGCAAGAAAAAUUGACAACAUCUAAGCCCACAACUGCUUUGUGUUCUACUCGUGCAUAGUAACUACGCAUAGGCCUGGCUCAUGAUGCCACUGUUGGGGAUCGUUGCAGAAUUUUAAAAUUGUCUACGCAUCACCAAGAUCCAUCUAUGGAGUUUACUAGCAACGAGGGGAAAGGAGUGCAUCUACAUACCCUUGUAGAUCGCGAGCGGAAGCGUUCAAGUGAACGGGGUUGAUGGAGUCGUACUCGUCGUGAUCCAAAUCACCGAUGACCGAGCGCCGAACGGACGGCACCUCCGCGUUCAACACACGUACGGAGCAGCGUCGUCUCGUCCUUCUUGAUCUAGCAAGGGGGAAGGAGAGAUUGAUGGAGAUCCAGCAGCACGACGGUGUGGUGGUGGAAGUAGCGGGGAUCCCGGCAGGGCUUCGCCAAGCGCAAGCGGGAGGGAGAGGUGUCACGGGAGGGAGAGGGAGGCGCCAGGGGCUAGGGUACAGCAGCCCUCCCUCCCCCCUUUAUAUAGGCCCCCUGGGGGGCGCCAGCCCUGGGAUCCCAUCUAUGGGGGGGGGGGCGGCGGCCAAGGGGGGGAACUUCCCCCCCAAGUCAGGUGGGGCGCCCCCACCCCCAGGGUUUCCAACCCUAGGUGCAGGGGGAGGCCCAUGGGGGCGCACCAGCCCACUAGGGGCUGGUUCCCCUCCCACUUCAGCCCAUGGGGCCCUCCGGGAUAGGUGGCCCCACCCGGUGGACCCCCGGGACCCUUCCGGUGGUCCCGGUACAAUACCGAUAACCCCCGAAACUUUCCCGGUGGCCGAAACUGGACUUCCUAUAUAUAAUUCUUCACCUCCGGACCAUUCCGGAACUCCUCGUGACGUCCGGGAUCUCAUCCGGGACUCCGAACAACUUUCGGGUUUCCGCAUACUAAUAUCUCUACAACCCUAGCGUCACCGAACCUUAAGUGUGUAGACCCUACGGGUUCGGGAGACAUGCAGACAUGACCGAGACGCCUCUCCGGUCAAUAACCAACAGCGGGAUCUGGAUACCCAUGUUGGCUCCCACAUGUUCCACGAUGAUCUCAUCGGAUGAACCAUGAUGUCGAGGAUUCAAUCAAUCCCGUAUACAAUUCCCUUUGUCAAUCGGUACGUUACUUGCCCGAGAUUCGAUCGUCGGUAUCCCAAUACCUUGUUCAAUCUCGUUACCGGUAAGUCACUUUACUCGUACCGCAAUGCAUGAUCCCGUGGCUAACUCCUUAGUCACAUUGAGCUCAUUAUGAUGAUGCAUUACCGAGUGGGCCCAGAGAUACCUCUCCGUCAUACGGACUGACAAAUCCCAGUCUCGAUCCGUGCCAACCCAACAGACACUUUCGUAGAUACCCGUAGUGUACCUUUAUAGUCACCCAGUGUCACGACCGGAUUUUUGGGAUAAUAAUUUCCCAGAAAAAAAGGCCUUUGUGCUCACCAGCCCCAGGAUUACUGUUAGCUGAUGAGGCACCAACUUGAUACAAGAAUUCCAAGCAAGGUACAAAAAUAUGUAGUACAAGACCAUUGAGGCCUAGGAGUACAACACUUGGUUUCUAAUGGUUGAGGGCGGAAGCGGUUGGUACAUCUACGUCUAUGGGACUCCAUUUCCCACAAGAACAGCUGACCAGGAUAACUCCUAUCUUCGCAAGGCUGCUAUCGUCAACACGUAGGCUCCGAGGUUGUCAUCGCGAUGCUUAUCUCCAAGCAAGGGAUCUGGCCAAGACAAUAGCCAGGGACAAGCCAGUGAGUACGUUUGAAUGUACUCGCAAACAUUAAGAACACGGGUAUAAUAUAAUACGGGACAAUCAUACUCCGAAAUAAUUAUGAUCACACGUCUGCCGCGAAAGUCUGCGUUGUUCGCAUGCAGAGAUAAUAUGAACAUACAGUACGUGGGUGAGUACUAUGAAAGUACUCGCAAGAUAGCUCGAACAUAAGAUAUAACAAAAGUAAACACGAUGCAUGCAGAGAUAAUAUGAACAUACAGUACGUGGGUGAGUACUAUGAAAGUACUCGCAAGAUAGCUCGAACAUAAGAUAUAACAAAAGUAAACACGAUGCAUGAGAAAAGAUUUAACAAGUGCAAUCAGACAUAGAGGUAAUGAUGCAUGGGAAACAAAAGAGAAGUCGGGCGGUAGUCCUCCCGAAGUCCAAAAAUAAAAUACUGGGUGCCAAACGAGGGUCUAAAUGACUCCUCGAGAGGAAACUGCAGGGAUAAUAAUGCCGCAGUCGGGCGUCGGGGCGACACCACAUAAAGGGCUCAUAAGAGAUAAAUAAACAACAAGCAUGCCGCAGUCGGGCGUCUGAGCGACACCACAUAAAGGGCUUAUAAAAGAAUAAUCACAGUGAGUAACCAGGAGAUAGAACCAUCCCAGGGGUACUCAAUAAAAUACAUAAUGUAAAUGGUUAGUCCACAAUAAUAACAAAAUUUAAGUAUGAUCCUCAGAUGCCACAGGACAUAAACACAAAAUCUAGUUUAGCCGUUUCUCCAUCCGAAGACCGUCACUGAGUUCUAGCUAAUUCGUUCUCCAUCCAAAUACCGUUACUAUGAUCCAGUUAGCCGUGUCUCCAUCCGAAAACCGUUACUAAGUUUAACUCAGACUGUGGUCCUUACUCAAGAUCAUGGCUAUCCAACAGGAUAUAUCCUCUGCAGAGGGGGUACUGUUUUCCCACGAGUAACGGAUUUACUUAGUCCAUCGGGACUAACUCCGCCUACGGCCUUUUAAUUGAAAACACGCCUGACCUGCACACACCAGCUUAACUCACCGAUGUCUGGAAUCACCCACGACACCUGCCAAGCAAAACUCUAAGUGGGGAGGCUACAACCUCGACGUACCAUGGGAUCAAAUUUCUAUAUGCGCGCUCUAAGGGGUGCCCCCCUCUCGGUCCCAACCGGAAACACCCAGGCCCCCGGACCAAGUGGCAUGCCUACCGGAGGCCUCCGGUAUCUUCCACUAUGGCCUCUCUGUACGGUGUGUGCUUUGGUAAGGGGUUGACAACUUACUGAACCAUACCCCGUCUGCGACAGGGACAAGUGGUGGUACCAACAAAUAGGGAAGCUACUGACCAAGACUCGACCUACGACCGACUCAGGUGGUCCAAGUAUCCUCCAACAAUAUUACCAUUAGUGGAAUAAAUCACCACUCAACAAGCCUCUCCAUGCCGUACCGGACAUACUCGUCUCGACGAGGGACUAGGGACAAGCUCGUGUCUACCCAAGACCACGACUUUCCCGGCUUCCUUAAGGUAUGCAUGAGGAGCUUACGAGAAUGAUCCAAAUCACUAGUGUAUCCACUGCUGACCACAAAAAUAUCUCCAAAAAGCACUCAUGCACGAGACUUUAUCGUUACAUAAAGAUAACAUAUAAUCCAAGCCAGAAGGUGUUGUAAUUGUAUCAAAACACCACAACAAAAUAUUAUGCCAGAGUUCAGAAAUGCUUGCCUUCAAGAGUAUGCAAAGAAUACACUUUUUUAAAAGCCUUCCCUUCUCUCCAAAAUUCCUAUUUGAGAAAUAUCCAAAUAACAAAUAUUACCAACACAGUACAAAAAGUUGUCUCAAAUAUUUUUGAAAUAAAUCUUAAAAUAAACUAGGUGGAAUUUGAGAGAGGUAGGAAAAAGAAUCAACUCAUUUGGAGUUUAUUUUAAAAGUUAUAGCUGGUCAAAGUCUGGUCAAACUCUGUUUUUAAAUAAAACCAGAAAAAGGAAAACGCUUCGAGGGGAAUACGCUUUCGGGGUAGGGGAGACGUACUCCGUGGGUACACGCUUUCACUUAAACGGAGGAGAUGGCGCGCGGGUCACGGACAGUGGGUCCAGAGGGCCCACUGGUCAGGUUUGACCGUUCCUCCCCCUCCCUCCUCUUCCCUGCCCGACGGGGGCGGGACUCCGGCGAUCGCCGGCGACGAACGGCGGCUCCUCGAGGGCAUCUGAGGGCAGGGAUGGACUGGCCAGACCGAGGCGGUCCCCUUGGUGGUAGCUGGGUCGUCGGAGGUGGAAGGAAUCGCCGGCGGCGAGCUCCGCGACGGAGGGGGCUACGGUGGUGAAGUGGUUUUUGGGCUCCGGUGGUCUCCGAUCGAGGUUGGGUAGUUGGGCAGCUCCGCAAGGACGAGGGGAAGUUACUGGUGGCGUCGGUUGGGCGAAAGAGUGGCUGGCUGCGACGUAUUGCACCGGAGUUUGGCGGCGGUCGAACUGGUCGGAGUUGGGGAAGAUGGCCACUACGGGUCGAUCCACUGCUUGGGGAGCGCUAGGAGGAAAGUCUGAGGUCGCCUGGGGUCUUGAACGAGCUCGGGGCUCCCUUAAAUAGGUGCUCGAGGCUGGACCACGGCGGCUGGAUAAGAACGACGACGAGUCACCGUUUCUGUAGCUGCAGGGCGCCGUGGCGGCGACGAACGCGUGCCGACGAGCUUCGGGAUAAGAUCGAGCUAUUCACAGGGGCAGCUGGCGCGCUGGUGUGGUUUGGGCGGUGCCGAACAUGGCAGAGGCCGCUGCCGACGCCGGCGUGCCGCCAAGGGCGCUGCCAGCGGUGCUGCAGGGCGCCAGAGAUGGUGUGGAGAGGAGGCGAGCUAGUGCGUGGUUCAGCGAUGGAGCAGGGGCCAGGGACGGGUCGCGUCGAGUGUGGCAGUGCGGCGCGGCGGCUCAGUGCGCGCGCGUGCAAAACGUGCGCUCUGGGCGCGCCCAGAGCAUGCACGGAACCUGCUCGACGAAAUGCCAGGAUGGUCUAGAGCGCGAGGGUGGAGCUGGCAAUUAACAGGAUUAGGAUAGAGACAGCCAGGAGUUCAGUGGACAAGGUUGCUGGGUUAAUGGAGCAAGUUCAUAGUGCAAACAAAGAACUCAUGCCAAAACAGACUGUGCACACCAAGUGUUCGACAGAAUGCCAAAUGCACUUAGGCAACUCUUGGAGUGGCCAAAAUCUCCAGAUCAGGGUCUCUUUAGGUGCAGAAGAUGGUGGCAAGAUCAUAUGGGCAAAACCAGAAAGUUGUUAGUGCAAGUUUUGCAAAACUUCAGUUUUGGACAGAGAGAAAAAGGGUUUAUUGCAUGCACUUCAAAACCUCCAAUGAGUCCACUCUCCUGGACUUAAGGGUUUUGAAGGGAGGGCUACAAGUAGGAAAAAGGGUCAUGGGCACCAAAGCAAAAUAAAAUAGGGUUGCAGUUCAAAUCACCAAACUGGACCAGAAUGAAAAAGAGGUUGAUUCACUCAAUUUUCUCAAAGAACAUCACUGGGUUUUUGCAUGAAGAUGAAUUGUAUGCAUCCACUAACAUCUCCAAACACUUGGAAGAAUUUUUAAAGAAAUAUUUAAAUGGGUUGUAGUGCAAAAGUGCCUUCUGGACCAGAUUGGAAAAGUUGGUGUAGAGCUCAAAAUCUCCAAUGGCCAAAAGGUAUUUUAGCAUAAAAGUGAUGUGGAAACACCACAUGACAUCCCCAAAUUUUGGUGGAAAUUUUAAUUGCAUUUGUCAAAUGGUUGUAGUGCAAAACAGGCUCCAAAUGCAAAAGAAAUCAUUUUAAGAGAAUAAAGCUCUGAGAAAACAAAUCUUGCAAUUUAAAUCCACUGAUAAAUAAUUGUUUUAUUAAAGAGAGUAUUCAAGUCCAACAAUACUCUUUGAAGGUUUUUCCACUAGAGGCAAAAAUCCAAAAUCACAAAGGGUAAAUCUUGACAAAAUGGAAAAGUUUUAUUUCCUGGCAACAUUUUAAUAAACAAAACAAGGUCAAAAUUUUGGGUGUCACACCCAGUUACGUUGUGACGUUUGGUACACCCAAAGCACUCCUACGGUAUCCGGGAGUUGCACGAUCUCAUGGUCUAAGGAAAUGAUACUUGACAUUGGAAAAGCUCUAGCAAACGAACUACACGAUCUUUUGUGCUAUGCUUAGGAUUGGGUCUUGUCCAUCACAUCAUUCUCCUAAUGAUGUGAUCCCGUUAUCAAUGACAUCCAAUGUCCAUAGUCAGGAAACCAUGACUAUCUGUUGAUCAACGAGCUAGUCAACUAGAGGCUUACUAGGGACACGUUGUGGUCUAUGUAUUCACACAUGUAUUACGAUUUCCGGAUAACACAAUUAUAGCAUGAACAAUAGACAAUUAUCAUGAACAAGGAAAUAUAAUAAUAACCAUUUAUUAUUGCCUCUAGGGCAUAUUUCCAACAAUAACCAUACACAAAGCUCGGUUAUCACAAAGCUCGCAAAUACUUUCGUUGAUAGAGCAUCUAUUAUUUUAUGAAUACACAGAGCUUGCAAAAAAAUACAAUAAAGGUACAACACAAAACACAAGAAGAAAUAGAACAUUUUCACUAGACGAGCAGUAUUAUUUUGUGAAUAUGCAAAGCUUACAAAUAAAAGAGUAUAAGAAAGGCAACACAAAACGCAAAAAAGGCACAAAUAAGUAUGCUCCAAGGAGAGAGAUAUGGUAUGCUCAGCUCGGUCCAAACAAAGCAAAACAGAAUUAAACCCUUUUAGCCCAGACUCUAGCCAUGGAAGGUAAGGAGCCUCGAGAGUGCCUCGAGAUUGGCAAAUAGGCUGGAGGAUCCAUGAAAGACAAAGAGCAUUGAGACUACCUAGAGAUCAACAAGUAGACUGCACAUCAACAAGUAGGCUACAUAAGUUGCCAUCGAGAUUGCCUACAGAUCAAAGACAAAUGCCAUGAGGAAAGUGUCGGCGAAGUCAUACAUUGCACCCUAGAUGUCCAUGCCUUGAGAGGAAGCCUGAACCAACGUGACAUCCAAUAUCCCUAGAUCCAACGUGCAAACAAGACAACGCCUUCAAAAAAUAGAGUGAUGUGUCGCCAUCCUCUAUGUUCGGACCUAGGGUUCCCCCCUAUGCUUGAAGAGAGGCCCAGAUAAAUGACAUGGCAACACCUCCAAGAAGGGGAUGACAGUCGCGAGUGUCACCGAUGUCAGCAUCGGCAACCGAGUAAGGAUAUAUCUUUGGUAUGAGUCUAAGCAAUCUCAUAUCCAUAAAAAAGAUAGGAAAAAUAUCCAGAGACGAGGAAAUCACGUCGUUGUUCAGAACCGCCACCACAAGAAGGGGAGGUGCGCCUGUUGCCGCAAGGCUGCACUAGUGUUGGAAAUACGCCCUAGAGGCAAUAAUAAAGUGGUUAUUUUUAUAUUUCCUUGUUCAUCAUAAUCGUUUAUUAUCCAUGCUAUAAUUGUAUUGACCGGAAACUCAAAUACAUGUGUGGAUACAUAGAUAACAAAUUGUCCCUAGUAAGCCUCUAAAGGACUAGCUCGUUGAUCAAUGGCUAUGGUUUCCUAGUCAUAGACAUGAUUUGUCAUUUGAUAACGGGAUCAUAUCAUUAGGAGAAUGAUGUGAUGGACAAGACCCAAACUAUGAACGUAGCAUAUGAUCGUGUCAAGUUUAUUGCUAUCGUUUUCUGCAUGUCAAGUAUAUGUUCCAAUGACCAUGAGAUCGAACUCACUGACACCGGAGGAGUACCUUGUGAGUACCAAACGUCGCAACGUAACUGGGUGACUAUAAAGGAGCUCUACAGGUAUCUUCGAGGGUGUCUGUUGAGGUUGCAUGGAUCAAGACUGGGAUUUGUCACUCCGUAUGACGGAGAGGUAUCUCAGGGCCCACUCGGUAAUACAACAUCACAAUAAGCUUGCAAGCAAUGUGACUAAAGAGUUAGCCACGGGAUCUUGUAUUACGGAACGAGUAAAGAGACUUGUCAGUUACGAGAUGAACUAGGUAUGGAGAUACCGAAGAUCGAAUCUCGGGAAAGUAACAUACCAAUAGACAAAGGGAACUGCAUGAAGGAAAUAUGCCCUAGAGGCAAUAAUAAAGUUGUUAUUUUAUAUUUCCUUAUUCAUGAUAAAGGUCUAUUAUUCAUGCUAGAAUUGUAUUGAUCGGAAACCUAAAUACAUGUGUGAAUACAUAGGCAAACACCGUGUCCCUAGUGAGCCUCUACUUGACUAGCUCGUUGAUCAAACAUGGUUAAGGUCUCCUAACCAUGGACAUGAGUUGUCAUUUGAUAACGGGAUCACAUCAUUAGUAGAAUGAUGUGAUGGACAAGACCCAUCCGUUUGUUGGGAAACGUAGCAUGCAAUUUCAAAAAUUUCCUACGCUCACGCAAGAUCUAUCUAGCAGAUGCAUAGAAAUGAGAGGGGAGAGUGUCUCUACGUACCCUCGUAGACCGUUAAGCGGAAGCGUUUAUCACGCGGUUGAUGUAUUCAUACUCUUCACGAUCCGAUCACGGUCCAAACGUUCUAGUGCCGAACGGACGACACAUCCGAGCUUAGCACAUGUGUGGCUCGAUGAUGUCUCCUCCUUCUUGAUCUAGCAAGCGGGAGAGGAGAAGUAGAUGGGAUCACAACCAACACGACGGCAUGGUGGUGAUGGUCGUGGUGGAACACCGACAGCGCUUCGCUAAGCGUCACCGGGACGAGGCGGUGGAACUACGGAGUAACGGGAGAGAGAGGGGCACCAAGGGCUUGGUGUGUUCUCUUGGGGCACCCCCUCCCCUCUAUAUAUAGGUGGAGGGGCGUGGUAAACAUCCCCUCCAAGCCCUAGGGCGCAGCUAAGGGGGAGAGGACUUGGACUCCAAGUCCAAUCCUAUUCCUACUAGGACUCCUUCGUUUUUUGCAUUCCCUAGCCACAUGGGCUUGUGAGGACUUGGCGCGCUUAGCCCAAUAAGGCCAGGGCGCCUCCCCACAGCCCAUGCUAACCCUUGGGUCGUGGUGGAACCACUUGUGGACUUCCGGACCCCUCCAGAACCUUCUAGAAGCUUCCUGAUACAAUACCGAAAAAACUGCAUCUUUUUCCGAAACCCAAAAUAUGACUUCCCAUAUAUAAAUCUUUACCUCUCGGCCAUUCCGAGACUCCUCGUGACGUCCGGGGUCUCAUUCAGGACUCCGAACAGCAUUUGGUUACCACUCAUCAAAUAUCCCAAUACUACUCUAGCGUUAACGAACGUUAAGCGUGCGACCCUGCGGGUUCGGGAAUUAUGUAGUCAUGACCGAGACACUUCUCCGGUCAAUAACCAACUUCGGAACCUGGAUGCUCAUAUUGGCUCCUACAUAUUCUACGAAGAUCUUUAUCGGUCGAACCGUUAUGACAACAUAAGUUAUUCCCUUUGUCUAUCGGUAUGUUACUUGCCCGAGAUUCGAUUGUCGGUAUCUUCAUACCUAGUUCAAUCUCGUUACUGGCAAGUCUCUUUACUCGUUCUAUAAUACAUCAUCCCGCAACUAACUCAUUAGUCACAUUGCUUGCAAGGCUUAUUAUGAUGUGCAGUACCGAGAGGGCCCAGAGAUACCUCUCCGAUACUCGGAGUGACAAAUCCUAAUCUUGAUCUAUGCCAACCCAACAAACACCUUCCGAGAUACCUGUAGAGCAUCUUUAUAAUCACCCAGUUACGUUGUGACGUUUGAUAGCACACAAGGCAUUCCUCCGGUAUCCGGGAGUUGCAUAAUCUCAUAAUCGAAGGAAUAUGUAUUUGACAUGAAGAAAGCAAUAGCAAUAAACUGAACGAUCAUUAAGCUAAGCUAACGGAUGGGUCUUGUCCAUCACAUCAUUCUCCUAAUGAUGUGAUCCCGUUCAUCAAAUGACAACACAUGUCUAUGGUUAGGAAACUUAACCAUCUUUGAUUAACGAGCUAGUCUAGUAGAGGCUUACUAGGGACACAGUGUUUUGUCUAUGUAUCCACACAUGUAUCAAGUUCCGGGUUAAUACAAUUCUAGCAUGAAUAAUAAACAUUUAUCAUGAGAAAAAGAAAUAUAAAAUAACAACUUUAUUAUUGCCGCUAGGGCAUAUUUCCUUCAGUCUCCCACUUGCACUAGAGUCAAUAAUCUAGUUCACAUUGCCAUGUGAUUGAAAACCAAUAGUUCACAUCUUUAUGUGAUUAGCACCCAAAAAGUACUAAGGUGUGAUCAUGUUUUGCUUGUGAGAGAAGUUUAGUCAACAGGUGUGCCACAUUCAGAUCCGUAUGUAUUUUGCAAAUUUCUAUGUCUACAAUGCUCUGCAUGGAGCUACUCUAGCUAAUUGCUCCCACUUUCAACAUGUAUCCAGAUUGAGACUCAGAGUCAUCCGGAUCAGUGUCAAAGCUUGUAUCGACAUAACCCUUUACGACGAACUCUUUGUCACCUCCAUAACCGAGAAACAUUUCCUUAGUCCUCUUUAGUUACCUAAGGAUAAUUUUGAUCGAUGUCCAGUGAUCUACUCCUGGACCACUAUUGUAUCCCCUUGCUAAACUCAUGGUAAGGUACAUAAUAGGUCUGGUAUACAGCAUGGCAUACUUUAUAGAACCUAUGGUUGAGGCAUAGGGAAUGACUUUCAUUCUCUCUCUAUCUUCUUCCGUGGUCGAGUUUUGAGUCUUACUCAACUUAAUACCUUACAACUCAGGCAAGAACUUCUUCUUUGACUGAUCCAUUUUGAACUCCUUCAAAAUCUUACCAAGGUAUGUACUCGUUGAAAGUCUUAUCAAGCGUCUUGAUCUAUCUCUAUAGAUCUUGAUGCCCAAUAUGUAAAUAGCUUCACCGAGGUCUUUAUUUGAAAACUCAUUUCAAACACUCCUUUUUGCUUUCCAUAAAAUUCUACAUCAUUUCCGAUAAACAAUAUGUCAUUCACAUAUACUUAUAAGAAAGGCUGUAGUGCACCCACUCACUUUCUUGUAAAUACAGGCUUCACCGCAAGUCUGUAUAAAACUAUAUGCUUUGAUGAACUUAUCAAAGCGUAUAUUCCAAGUCCGAGAUGCUUGCACCAGUCCAUAGAUGGAUCGCUGGAGUUUGCACACUUUGUUAGCACCUUUAGGAUAGACAAAACAUUUUGGUUGCAUCAUAUACUGUUGGGAAACGCAGUAAUUUCAAAAAAAAAUCAUACAAUCACGCAAGAUCUAUCUAUGUGAUGCAUAGCAACGAGAGGGGAGAGUGUUGUCUACGUACCCUCAUAGACCGAAAGCGGAAGUGUUAUGACAACGCGGUUGAUGUAGUCGUACAUCUUCAUGAUCCGACCGAUCCUAGCACCAAAGGUACGGCACCUCCGCGAUCUGCACAUGUUCAGCUCAGUGACGUCCCACAAACUCUAGAUCCAGCUGAGGUCGAGGGAGAGUUUCGUCAGCACGACGGCGUGAUGACGGUGAUGAUGAAGUUACCAACGUAGGGCUUCACCUAAGCACUACAACGAUAUGACCGAGGUAGAAAUUUGUGGAGGGGGGCACCGCACACGGCUAAGACAACUGUCAACUUGUGUGUUCUAGGGUCCCCCUGCCCCCGUAUAUAAAGGAGCAAGGGGGAGGCCGGCCGGCCCUCAUGGGGCGCUCCCCAAGUAGGAUUCCUACUAGGAAUCCUAUUCCUAGUAGGUUUCCAACAAGGGAAGAGAGGGGGAAGGAAGGAGAGGGAGAGUGGGAGAAGGAAAGGGGGCGCCGCCCCCUUCCCUAGUCAAAUUCAGACCCAAGGGGGAGAGGGCGCGCGGCCUGCCCUAGCCGCCCCUCUCUCUCUCCACUAAGGCCCAUGUGGCCCAUUAGUUCCCCCGGGGGGUUCCGGUAACCCUUCGGCACUUCGGUUUUAUCCGAAACUUCUUCUGAACAUUUCUGGUGUCCGAAUAUAGUCCUCCAAUAUAUCAAUCUUUAUGUCUCGACCAUUUCGAGACUCCUCGUCAUGUCGGUGAUCACAUCCGGGACUCCGAACUACCUUCGGUACAUCAAAACACAUAAACUCAUAAUACCAAUCAUCACCGAACGUUAAGCGUGCGGACCCUACGGGUUCGAGAACUAUGUAGACAUGACCGAGACUCACUUCCGGUCAAUAACCAAUAGCGGAACCUGGAUGCUCAUAUUGGUUCCUACAUAUUCUACGAAGAUCUUUAUCGGUCAAACCGCAUAACAACAUACGUUGUUCCCUUUGUCAUCGGUAUGUUACUUGCUCGAGAUUCGAUCGUCGGUAUCUCAAUACCUAGUUCAAUCUCGUUACCGGCAAGUCUCUUUUCUCGUUCCGUAAUGCAUCAUCCCACAACUAACUCAUUAGUCACAUUGCUUGCAAGGCUUAUAGUGAUGUGCAUUACCGAGAGGGCCCAGAGAUACCUCUCCGUAACAUGGAGUGACAAAUCCUAAUCUCGAUCUAUGCCAACCCAACAAACACCAUCGAAGACACCUAUAGAGCAUCUUUAUAAUCAUCCAGUUACGUUGUGACGUUUGAUAGAACACUAAGUGUUCCUCCGGUAUUCGGGAGUUGCAUAAUCUCAUAGUCAUAGGAACAUGUAUAAGUUAUGAAGAAAGCUAUAACAAUAAACUAAACGAUCAUAGUGCUAAGCUAACGGAUGGGUCAAGUCAAUCACAUCAUUCUCUAAUGAUGUGAUCCCGUUCAUCAAAUGACAACACAUGUCUAUGGUUAGGAAACUUAACCAUCUUUGAUUAAUGAGCUAGUCAAAGUAGAGGCAUACUAGUGACACUCAGUUUGUCUAUGUAUUCACACAUGUACUAAGUUUCUGGUUAAUACAAUUCUAGCAUGAAUAAUAAACAUUUAUCAUGAUAUAAGGAAAUAUAAAUAACAACUUUAUUAUUGCCUCUAGGGCAUAUUUCCUUGAGUCUCCCACUUGCACUAGAGUCAAUAAUCUAGAUUACAUUGUAAUGAUUCUAACACCCAUGGAGUCUUGGUGCUGAUCAUGUUUUGCUCGUGAGAGAGGCUUAGUCAACGGGUCUGCAACAUUUAGAUCCGUAUUUAUCUUGCAAAUCUCUAUGUCCCCUUCCGACACCUGAUGACGGAUGGAAUUGAAGCGUCUCUUGAUGUGCUUGGUUCUCUUGUGAAAUCUGGAUUCCUUCGCGAAGGCAAUUGCUCCAGUAUUGUCACAAAAGAUUUUCAUUGGACCCGAUGCACUAGGUAUGACACCUAGAUCGGAUAUGAACUCCUUCAUCCAGACUCCUUCAUUUGCUGCUUCCGAAGCAGCUAUGUAUUCCGCUUCACACGUAGAUCCUGCCACGACGCUCUGCUUAGAACUGCACCAACUGACAGCUCAACCAUUCAAUAUAAACAUGUAUCCGGUUUGCGACUUAGAGUCAUCUAGAUCAGUGUCAAAGCUUGCAUCGACAUAACCAUUUACGACGAGCUCUUUGUCACUGUCGGUCUCAAAACCGACGGAUCUCGGGCAGGGGGUCCCGAACUGUGCGUCUAGGAUCGAUGGUAACAGGAGAUGGGGGACACGAUGUUUACCUAGGUUCAGGCCCUCUCUAUGGAGGUAAUACCCUACUUCCUGCUUGAUUGAUCUUGAUGAAUACGAGUAUUACAAGAUUUGAUCUACCACGAGAUCGUAAUGGCUAAACCCUAGAAGUCUAGCCUAUAUGAAUAUGGUAAUGAAUAUCCGUCCAUCCGGACUACUGCCUCCGGUUUAUAUAGACACCGGAGGGAUCUAGGGUUUACAUAGAGUCGGUUACAUAGGAGGGAAUCUUCAUAGUUGAUCGCCAAGCUUGCCUUCCACGCCAAGGAGAGUCCAAUCCGGACACGGGUAUAGUCUUCGGCCUUCAUAUCUUCACAACCCAUCAGUCCGGCCCAUAGAUAACAGGCCGGAUGCCCGAGGACCCCUUAGUCCAGGACUCCCUCAGUAGCCCCUGAACCUGGCUUCAAUGACGAGGAGUCCGGCGCGCAGAUUGUAUUCGGCAUUGCAAGGCGGGUUCCCCUUCUUCCGAACUCCAGGAUAGUCUUCGGAUGCGAUGAUUUGUAUCCGGACCCGUAUACACAAUUGUAGAGGAUAUAAUAUUUUGCGAGUCUCUUCUGCUCACCACUGUUUAUGACAUUGCAUUAUGCCUGCCCGGUCAUUACUUCCAUCCGCUGGCUAGCCCCUCGCCCCACGUCUCGGGGCACGGUUUUAUUGGCACGUCUUGUCAAAGCAGGGAUCGUGUCCCUUAUUCACAGAAUUUUCUAUAAUGUAGGCGUGGGUAACCCAACCGUCCCUCGGUACAACUCCUCGAGGAUAAGUAAGUUUCGAUACCCAGGAGGGGACGCUCAAUAUUCUGGGCCUUUAUAUAGGGACCCAGACUUGUCUUUUUCUUUUGCGCUUGCUUCUUCCUCAACCCCAGCCACCUCGAGUUCCAGCCCUCGGGUUCCAAUCACCACCAGGCCCAAUCACGUCCGGGUCUAGACGUUCAGGCCAGUGGGUGGCCUCUUCUGUCACAGGGGAGGACAUUGCGAAGCUCCGCCAGGCGAGGUAUCUGACCCCAGAAAUCCUUCAUCGGCUUCCCGCCGAGGGGUAGGUUAUUCCUACCCCCAAAUCUGGCGAGAGGGUAGUAUUUGUGUCCCACUUCCUCCAUGGGUUAGGGUUCGCGCUUAACGCCUUCGUCUGGGGGCUCAUGUUCUACUAUGGGCUAGAUUUUCACAAUCUGACCCCGGGCUCUAUUCUUCUCAUCUCAACAUUCAUCGUCACGUGUGAGGCCUUCCUCCGGACUCCCCCGCACUUUGGUUUGUGGCUCAAGACUUUUAAUGUGAGGCCGCGGGUGGCAGAGGAGGAACAGGCAGAGUGCGGCAGCGUCGCAAUAGGCAAGCUUGCCGACGCGGUUUGGUUUGAAGGGUCCUUCGCCGAGUCUUCCGAUAUGUGGCAGCAGGGGUGGUUUUAUAUCAAUGAGCCACGGGGCCCCAAGUGGGCGGCUACGCCUGCAUUUCAACGCGGCUCUCUGAUUCAGCUUGCUUCAUGGAUCAAUAAGGGAUUGGAUUGGGGAUCUGUCGAUGAAGUGCGGACUCUGCAAAGUCGCAUCCGGAGCCUCUCCGAGAAGGGCAUUGACCUUGUGAAUGUCGUUCAAGUAAUGCUAGUCCGCCGGACCCUGCCAUGUCAGCGGCGGCCUCUCCGUAUGUGGGAGUUUAAUCCAGAAGGGAGGCGGACUCUUCAGCACUCCUUCGGUGCUACGCACGAAGGAAUGUAGAAAUUAUAUUUCGGGGAGCGAGAGCAAUGGCCAGACACUACCGAAGACGUUGUCCUUGACUGCAAUCAUUCGGACACUUCGGUAAGUAUUCAAUCUUCGAACACCUUCCAUUCAAGCAUCUCUUGAUAAGAUACUGAACAAUCCGUCCCCAUACAGGACUGGAUAAAGAAAGCGGUGUUAAUCUGGUGUCCGGCGCCCCUUCCCGAAGAUUCUGCGACCGCCCUGCUGACGAGGAUGCUGACUCCGACACCGUACCAGGUGUCUGCAGAGGGGGGCGAGAGCAGGGAACUCAAAGGUGAUGCCUGCCCUGAGGAUGGUGUGUUCGGGGAAACUGAAACCCUUUUGCCCAGGGGGAAAGGUGUAGAGGGUGCCUUCCAUGGCAAGAAGAGGGCCGCUUCCGGAGGUCAGGAGGGGAAGCUUUCCAAGAGAGGAAAAACGCCAUCGUUGGGCGGCCCGGGCCGGGCAAGCGAUGUCGCCGCAGAGCUUUAUGAUGAGGGUAAACCUCUGGCCGAACCGUAAGUGAAACUGGGGCACUUUAAACAUACCUCGUCCUUUUCCUGUUUAGUGAAGUAAUCAUCCGCAUAUGUGCAUCCUCGCAGGAUAACGCCUGGUUUUUCUCAAUCGCCCUCCUCCUCGGGGGACCUUCUUCCGGAGAUGAUGGAGAGUGACAUGCCUUCUCCGGCCUCUUCGCCCAACAGGGCAGACGAUCUUGAGGUAUCGUCUCGGAGGGCUCCUCCCGAUCCACCAGUAGUGCCGGAAACGAAGAAGGCGUUUCCCGAAGGUGGGGCAUCUGUCACUCAGAGUUCUGGAAUGAAGAAUGAUGGCCCUGAGCCGUCCGGUUUGCAGCCGGAGGCGAUUCUAGAGGUGAGUAAACGGGUUCUUUCAAAGGAUUGCCGUACUUCGGCGGCGGUUUCCGAAGACCCCUGAGCGCCGGAAAUGCUGACGGACAUGCUGCGAUGAGCGUCCGUUUCAGAGGAGCACCGUGCCUUGAUGGCUACGGUGGUCGAAAAGGUUCUAUCCGCGAAGAGCGGGUUGAACGAGGCCUUUAUGAGCCUUCUCAGAGGUUUUGAGGUUUGUGAUGUAGUUUUGCCAACGGAACUUUAUUGGCAGAAUGCACCUGUUGUAUAUGCAGUAGCCCCUGAGACUCGGAUUGCCUUCCAAAGGAGGCGAUCGGAGGAUCGAAAAGAUAUGCUCAGGUACUAACCUUGAUUUAACAUUGACUGCAGGCUGCCUCCCCUUCAGCGGCUACACGGAAUACGGAAGUGGCCAAACUACAGCGAAAGCUGGUUAUUGCAGGGGAUGACAUUGCCUUGAUCAACAGGCGUCUUGACGACUCGCAAGGUAUAUAUUUCGAGCAUUCCUUACACCAAUGUGCUUACAAUUGAAGCUUGACUCUGAAAAGAGUUUUAUAUGUAAUGUGCAUGAAUGCAGAUGGUGCUACCGCCGUGGAGGCCCUUCGAGCGGAGCUAGCCCGGGCCAAGGAGCAGGCCUGGUUAAGUUAUGCGGCUGCCGAAAAGGCAUCGGCUGAGUUAAAAGCCGAACAAGUUGCACGACACCGAGACAAGGAGAAGAUGUCCACCAUGGCUCACUAAUUAGAGAAUGCGGCUAGCCGCUGUAAACUUCUUGAGAAGGAAAAUGAAGCCAAAACGGCUGAUCUUGACAAGGCCUUACGAGAGGCGAGAGAGGCACGAUCUAAAUCCAGAGCGGCCCAUGAGGAGAUCCGGCAAGCUGGGGAGAUUGCGGCUGGCAAGCCCUUUUUGCUACAGACUAAGUUCGGUGAUCCGAACUAUGCUCAGCUUAACCAAGUAUGGAGUUCUUCGGACAAAUUUUUUGACUUACCGAAGAGUUCUUCCGAUGCGGCGCAGUUUUACUGCGCACAAGAGGGGUAUGCCACGGAGAGGCUCUUCUGGUCGCAAUUUGGCGCGUCAAAGCGCCCUCUGUUGCUGAAUGAACAGAUGUCCCAGUGGGCCGAGCUUCAUAGGAUAUCCGGCGACGCCAUGAAGAACGUCGUAAUCCGGCUGUGGCCAAGUGAGCCUGUUCCGAGUAGUUAUUUUGUCCUGGUGCGGCGGCUUGUUGACGCAGUGCCACAUAUCGAUGCUGUGAAGCGAUGAGCAUGCAUUGAGGGUGCACGGAUGACGGCUGCCCGAGUCAAAACUUUUUGGGGAAAGAUGAAGGCCGUCGAUGUUGUGGCGAGGAGUCCACCCAAGGGCAAGGACCGUUAUGAGCCGGAGCACUAUUUUGAAGACGUCCUGGAAGCCGCCAGCCUGAUAGCGGGUCAAUGCUCGAAGAACAUAAUGUUUGAGUGAGGUGUAUUAGAAUUGUAAGAGACAAUUUUAUAAUUGAUCUAUUUUAUGUUUUUGCUCGAAAGCUUGAAUUCCUCCUGUGCGGCCGUUUUAAUAUGAUCUGAAAGUUUUCCAGUCGUCGGCUUCAGCCCCCUCAUAGGAAGUACGGGGGUGUUCGGAAAAGCAUUGAAUCACUCUUUAUCCAACGUCAUGGUCCAUGAAGGAGGUGAUAAUGCAGCGAACCAGGCAAUCGGACUAUAAGGCGUUAACACUUUCACUUAGCCAUAGGAGUUUUAUCAUGGGGUUACGACAUAGCCCCUGGUAUGUAUACGGUGCAUUGUAAUGUCGUGCCUUACAUAUUUUGAUCUAAAAAGAUCCUUCGUGUGACACGGAGAAUCACUAAAGAUUCGAGUAAGUCGUCAAGUGGUUGACCAGCUCUCGCCGCAUCAUGACAGUCAGUUUUCGGCUUUCUCUACUGAGGUGCUCAUCCGGUCUAGGCCAGGGCACAAUCGCAGUAGUUCUCCCUUUACUACCCUAGCCGAUAGAGCGGAACGUAGGGUAGCAAGCACGGGAGCCGGGCAACCCAACUAUUGACCAAAGACAAUGAUUCGGAGCUGAUGCAUAUAAGGCCAAACUUGCAACGCCGAAGUGCGUUAUAGAGCUGUUCGGACUUUUACUGGCGACACAUUUGUUCCCAUACCGGGCCCUUGGCGAGUUAUGUCGAGGUGCGUCUUGUAAGGCAGCCGUUACGACCGGACUCAUUGUAGAAAUAGCACGGAAGAUUAGUUCGGGUAAAGUUUACUGGGAACGGAGCAAUAUGCCAAUGAUGAAUGUAUAUAAAAAGUAGAAAACCACAACCCGGCUAUUUGACAUGCUCGGGGUUGGGAACGGAGGAAAAAAGGCAUAGUACAGGCUCAAAAUAACGAGUGCGGUCUACAAAAGCUUGUUUUGGACCUCCUGUCUCAUGUCUGCGCCGCCCAUCCUUGGGGAGGGGGAAUCCUUAACGGAAGUGACCCCUUGGGUGAGUGUAUGGAUACGAACUCCGGUGGAGUCCGAUGUAGGUACUGUCCUGAGGUCACCUGUUUUUAAGAGAUAAUAAAUAAAAGUAAGGAAAACAGAUAAAAACGUUACGGGAAUUCUUGCAGGGUUGUCCGUAUUGUGCUUCCGCCGAUGCCCAUGGUAUCUUGAGCGCGUAGUGAUGUAUGCGUGGUGUAAAUCCUGCCAAUAUAGUGGCUGGGCGGCGGAAGCCGGACUGCUAUUUCCGUUCCAGGAGUGGUCGAACUUCGGAGGGAAACUGUUUCUGGCCCCUGGUGUUCAGCUGGAGAGCCGCUCCGCUGUUUUUAUUGCCUGGUGGCCUCCUCCCCUCGUGCUUGGCAUUAAGCUUGCCUGCCUGCUUGAAGACCCAACAGUUUCUGUUGGUGUGAUUAGCUGGCUUAUCAGGAUGGCCGUGAAUUUGACAAGGUCGGUCCAAUAUCCUGUUGAGGGUGGAUGAUCCAUCCUGGUUUGCCUUAAAUGGCUUCUUCCGUUGACCGGGUUUCGGAUUGUUAAAUCCGGCGUUGACCGCUGUGUCGCCUAAUAUUUCAUGACUGUUGCGACUAUUGUGUUCGGUUCGUCGUGGCUUGCCGUUGCCGUCUCGGAUUUCGGAGGUGCCCGGGCCACUGGCGUUGUUGCUUUUAUGAGCGAGCCAGUUAUCUUCUCCCGCGCAAAAGCGGGUCAUUAGGGUGGUGAGGGCUGUCAUGGAUUUGGGUCCUUCCUGACCGAGGUGACGCGCUAGCCAUUCAUCCCGGACGCUAUGUUUGAAGGCCGCGAGGGCUUCUACGUCCGGACAAUCGACAAUUUGGUUCUUUUUAAGUAAGAACCUAGUCCAGAGCUCCCUGGCUAACUCGCCGGGCUCCUGGACAAUAUGACUUAAGUCAUCAGCAUCUGGUGGCCGGACAUAUGUUCCUUGGAAGUUGUCUUGAAAGGCCUCUUCCAGAUCUUCCCAGCUGCCAAUGGAAUUUUCUGGCAGACUGUUUAGCCAGUACCGAGCCGGCCCUUUAAGCUUUAGUGGUAAGUAUUUAAUGGCGUGAAGGUCGUCUCCGCGAGCCAUGUGAAUGUGGAGGAGGUAAUCCUCAAUCCAUACCGCAGGAUCUACUGUUCCAUCGUAUGAUUCGAUGUUAAUGGGUUUAAACCCGUCUGGAAAUUCAUGCUCCAUUACCUCGUCAGUGAAGCAGAGAGGGUGUGCGGCUCCUCUAUGUUGGGCCACACUAUGAAGCACUUCCGGCGGACGCUGUUUAGGGUGUUCGGACCGGGCGUGGUCGGCUCUGCUGUGUCCGAAUAGGUAACCCUCAUUGCCGGUCAGGGCAUGUCCGCGCAAUCUGUGUAUUGAUUUUGUGUGUCCUGUUCUACCUUCCAGGUCUUGUUGGAUGUCGCAACUGUUCCCCCUAGCUGGUUUAUUCUUGCUUUGCCGGCCGGAUGGGUUGGUAUGGUGUUCUGCUUGGGCUGCUGCUUUAUCUGGACCGAACUGUGAUCAUCCUACCGCAUUAUUUGAUGGUUGUAUGGGCUCCAACACCCUGCCAUCGUAUUGAGGGAGCCACUUGUACUUGGGGUGGCUUUUGUCUGGGCCGCGAAGGCUGAAUUCUUCGGCGGUCACGACCUUGGUCCAUCUAUCAUUGAGCAAAUCUUGACUUGCUUGAAGCUGCAGCCGACGUUUAAAGCGCUCCUGCUCAAGAGGUUCCUCGGGCAUGAUAAAAUCCUCGUUGCCAAGGCUCUCCUCAUCCUCGGAGGGUGGGAGAUAAUUACUAUCCUCCGAGUCUUCAUAUUUGGCCUGUCCAUUGAGGCUGUCUUGCCCGCUUUCCUGUUCCUCCUGUUCGGAUUCUACCUCAACAAGGUCUUCGUUGUUCGGAGUGUUGUAUUCUCUGGUGCUAGCAAUGAUUUUCCUUAGGCGGUGUGACUUGGAGCGGCGCCGUGGGCGCCGGUGUUCGGACUGUUUACCAGGAGGUUUGUCCUCGACUGGAUCCUCCUUGUGAUCGUCGAGUGCGUCGUCAGGUGUGUCUAUCAUACACACGUCAUACCAGGAAGUGGCAAUCCUGUGUUUGGCGGGUGGUAAGCUCUGUACCUGCACCUCAUCAUCGUCCAUACCGUCGAUGUCUUCGGAGUGAAGGUCAUGUUGGAAAUAUGCCCUAGAGGCAAUAAUAAAUGGUUAUUAUUAUAUUUCCUUGUUCAUGAUAAUUGUCUAUUGUUCAUGCUAUAAUUGUGUUAUCCGGAAAUCGUAAUACAUGUGUGAAUACAUAGACCACAACGUGUCCCUAGUAAGCCUCUAGUUGACUAGCUCGUUGAUCAACUGAUAGUCAUGGUUUCCUCACUAUGGACAUUGGAUGUCAUUGAUAACGGGAUCACAUCAUUAGGAGAAUGAUGUGAUGGACAAGACCCAAUCCUAAGCAUAGCACAAAAGAUCGUGUAGUUCAUUUGCUAGAGCUUUUCCAAUGUCAAGUAUCAUUUCCUUAGACCAUGAGAUCGUGCAACUCCCGGAUACCGUAGGAGUGCUUUGGGUGUACCAAACGUCACAACGUAACUGGGUGACUAUAAAGGUACACUACGGGUAUUUACGAAAAUGUCUGUUGGGUUGGCACGGAUCGAGACUGGGAUUUGUCACUCCGUAUGACGGAGAGGUAUCUCUGGGCCCACUCGGUAAUGCAUCAUCAUAAUGAGCUCAAUGUGACUAAGGAGUUAGCCACGGGAUGAUGCAUUACGGUACGAGUAAAGUGACUUACCGGUAACGAGAUUGAACAAGGUAUUGGGAUACCGACGAUCGAAUCUCGGGCAAGUAACGUACCGAUUGACAAAGGGAAUUGUAUACGGGAUUGAUUGAAUCCUCGACAUCGUGGUUCAUCCGAUGAGAUCAUCAUGGAACAUGUGGGAGCCAACAUGGGUAUCCAGAUCCCACUGUUGGUUAUUGACCGGAGAGGCGUCUCGGUCAUGUCUGCAUGUCUCCCGAACCCGUAGGGUCUACACACUUAAGGUUCGGUGACGCUAGGGUUGUAGAGAUAUUAGUAUGCGGAAACCCGAAAGUUGUUCGAAGUCCCGGAUGAGAUCCCGGACGUCACGAGGAGUUCCGGAAUGGUCCGGAGGUGAAGAAUUAUAUAUAGGAAGUCCAGUUUCGGCCACCGGGAAAGUUUCGGGGGUUAUCGGUAUUGUACCGGGACCACCGGAAGGGUCCCGGGGGUCCACCGGGUGGGGCCACCUAUCCCGGAGGGCCCCAUGGGCUGAAGUGGGAGGGGAACCAGCCCCUAGUGGGCUGGUGCGCCCCCCAUGGGCCUCCCCCUGCGCCUAGGGUUGGAAACCCUGGGGGUCGGGGGCGCCCCACCUGACUUGGGGGGGAAGUUCCCCCCCUUGGCCGCCGCCCCCCCCAUAGAUGGAUUCCAGGGCCGGCGCCCCCCAGGGGGCCUAUAUAAAGGGGGGAGGGAGGGCUGCUGUACCCUAUCCCCUGGCGCCUCCCUCUCCCUCCCGUGACACCUCUCCCUCCCGCUUGCGCUUGGCGAAGCCCUGCCGGGAUCCCCGCUACUUCCACCACCACGCCGUCGUGCUGCUGGAUCUCCAUCAACCUCUCCUUCCCCCUUGCUGGAAGAAGGAGGAGACGUCGCUGCUCCGUAUGUGUGUUGAACGCGGAGGUGCCGUCUGUUCGGCGCUCGGUCAUCGGUGAUUUGGAUCACGACGAGUACGACUCCAUCAACCCCGUUCACUUGAACGCUUCCGCUCGCGAUCUACAAGUGUAUGUAGAUGCACUCCUUUCCCCUCGUUGCUAGUAAACUCCAUAGAUGGAUCUUGGUGAUGCGUAGAAAAUUUUAAAAUUCUGCAACGAUCCCCAACAGUGGCAUCAUGAGCCAGGCCUAUGCGUAGUUACUAUGCACGAGUAGAACACAAAGCAGUUGUGGGCGUAGAUGUUGUCAAUUUUUCUUGCCACUACUAGUCUUAUCUUGUUUCGGCGGUAUUGUGGGAUGAAGCGGCCCGGACCGACCUUACACGUACGCUUACGUGAGACAGGUUCCACCGACUGACAUGCACUAGUUGCAUAAGGUGGCUAGCGGGUGUCUGUCUGUCCCACUUUAGUCAGAACGGAUUCGAUGAAAAGGGUCCUUAUGAAGGGUAAAUAGAAAUUGGCAUAUCACGUUGUGGUUUUACGUAGGUAAGAAACGUUCUUGCUAGAAAUCUAUAGAAGCCACGUAAAAACUUGCAACAACAAUUAGAGGACGUCUAACUUGUUUUUGCAGCAUGUGCCUUGUGACAUGAUAUGGCCAAAAGGAUGUGAUGAAUGAGAUAUAUGUGAUGUAUGAGAUUGAUCAUAUUCUUGUAAUAGGAAUCACGACUUGCAUGUCGAUGAGUAUGACAACCGGCAGGAGCCAUAGGAGUUGUCUUUAUUUUUUUGUAUGACCUGCGUGUCAUUGAAUAACGCCAUGUAAAUUACUUUACUUUAUUGCUAAACGCGUUAGCCAUAGAAGUAGAAGUAAUCAUUGGCGUGACAACUUCAUGAAGACACGAUGAUGGAGAUCAUGGUGUCAUGCCGGUGACGAAGAUGAUCAUGGCGCCCCGAAGAUGGAGAUCAAAGGAGCAAAAUGAUAUUGGCCAUAUCAUGUCACUAUUUGAUUACAUGUGAAACGAUACGAUUGUCUUUCUUCCAGCUGUGAAAGAGCAGGUUGAGGCUCUGAAAAAACUCCUGGUAGACUAUGCUGCGUCCAUUGGGUUACGACUCAAUUUUCAGAAAUCAACCCUGAUUCCGAUUAAUGUUACGCACGCGGAGGCACUGGAUUUUGCGGACAUGUUUGGUUGUGUUGUGGGGAAAAUGCCAUUCACAUAUUUAGGGCUCCCGCUUGGAACUACUAAACCCACAAUAAUGGAUUUCAUGCCUCUUGUGACAUCCGUUGAGAGAAGAGUCUCUAUGGCCGCUAACCUGCUAGACUACGGAUCGAAACUCACCUAUGUUAAUUCGGUGGUGUCAUCGCUUAUGGUGUAUGCCAUGUGUUCACUCAGAAUCCCUCCUAAGAUAGUGGAACACCUGGAUAAAAUCCGUAGGCAAUGCUUCUGGAGCAGGAAGACGGAGGAUGGGACAAAGAGCACCUCUCUUGCCUCUUGGGAGCUCGUCUGCCGCCCCAAGGCUGUAGGGGGACUUGGGAUUGUGGACCUUAAACUUCAGAAUCAAGGCCUUUUGCUCAAACAGUUAUACAAGUUUUACAAUAAACUAGAUGUGCCAUGGGUGAACCUGAUAUGGAGUGCAUACUACUCAGUCGUUGUACCGCAUGCCUCGGAACCAUGUGGCUCCUUCUGGUGGCGGGAUCUCAUGCAGUUAUCAGACAUCUUCAGAGGGGUGACUAAGAUCAAAGUUGGGGACGGUAGUACAGCCUUGUUCUGGAAGGAUCUUUGGAUUGAUCAACCACUAGAGACCGCAUGCCCGAGGGCGUUUUCAUUUGCGAGAGAAGAGGAUAUGUCAAUACAGACUUUGCUGAGAUCUAGCACCAUUGGAGAGGCUUUUCACAUACCAUUCUCUCCUCAGGCAAGAGCAGAAGUUGAAGAGAUUCAGGCUUUAACUGUGAGGAUUAAUCCCGACAGUGACACAAAUGACAAAUGGUGUUGUGUCUGGGAUGCUAGAGAGCUAGGAGCUUUCAAAUCAAGUGACUACUAUAAGUUCUGCUUUAAAGAUGUUAUUGUGGAUGCAGUUUUUCCUUGGAUCUGGGAAUCCAAAUGCACGAACAAAUGGAAAGUUUUUGCUUGGCUACUGUUUGCUGACCGUCUGAAUACUCGAAACAUGUUGAGGAGGAGGCAGUAUAAAUUGGAAGGUGAUGUGUACACCUGUCUGCUUUGUGGCACGCCCCCGGAGGAAACAGUGACCCACCUAUUCUUCAAAUGCCCAUUUGCAACUGAAUGUUGGUCUGCGAUUGGAAUGCACUGGCAUGAUUCCCAAUGCAGGCUGGAUCUCAUCCAUGAGGGAAGAAGAUCCUGGGGUGGUCCAUUAUUCAUGGAAAUCUUCAUCAUAGCAGCUUGGGGGUGUGGAAAGAGAAAUAAUAAACAUUUUAGGAAUGUGAUGCCAUCAAUGGAAUCCUAGAGAGGCAGGUUCAAAAAUGAUAUGUCCAUGAUGGUACACCGCACCAGAAACUCUCUCCACCCCUUCAUCAGAGGAUUGGUGGGCACUCUCUGAUCUCUACCACCCCCUAGUUUGCUUCUUUCUAGUAGGUUUUGACACCUCUUUGCUCUAACUAGUCUGUAUUGUACUACUCAUCUAUAUACCUUGUAACUAGGGGGCCACACCUCCCCUGAUCCUGGUGUUGCAUUAAUUUAAAAGUCAGUAGGAGCCUCUCCUACUGUCAGAGCUUUCAAAAAAAACAUGUGAUGUUUUUCAUGUUUUGCAUCUUAUUUGCUUAGAACGACGGUAGUAAGUAAGAUGAUCCCUUAUAAUAAUUUCAAGAAAGUGUUCCCCCUAACUGUGCACCGUUGCGAAAGUUCGUUGUUUCGAAGCACCACAUGAUGAUCGGGUGUGAUAGAUUCUAAUGUUCACAUACAACGGGUGUUGACGAGCCUAGCAUGUACAGACAUGGCCUCGGAACACAUGCAAUACACUUAGGUUGACUUGACAAGCCUAGCAUGUAUAGACAUGGCCUCGGAACACGGAAGACCGAAAGGUCGAGCAUGAGUCGUAUAGAAGAUACGAUCAACAUGGAGAUGUUCACCGAUCUUGACUAGUCCGUCUCACGUGAUGAUCGGACACGGCCUAGUUAACUCGGAUCAUGUUUCACUUAGAUGACUAGAGGGAUGUCUAUCUGAGUGGGAGUUCAUUGAAUAAUUUGAUUAGAUGAACUUAAUUAUUAUGAACUUAGUCUAAAAUCUUUACAAUAUGUCUUGUAGAUCAAAUGGCCCACAUUGUCCUCAACUUCAACGCGUUCCUAGAGAAAACCAAGCUGAAAGAUGAUGGCACCAACUAUACGGACUGGGUCCGGAACCUGAGGAUCAUCCUCAUAGCUGCCAAGAAAGAUUAUGUCCUAGAAGCACCGCUAGGUGAAGCACCCAUCCCAGAGAACCAAGACGUUAUGAACGCUUGGCAAUCACGUGCUGAUGAUUACUCCCUCGUUCAGUGCGGCAUGCUUUACAGCUUAGAACCGGGGCUCCAAAAGCGUUUUGAGAAACAUGGAGCAUAUGAGAUGUUCGAAGAGCUAAAAAUGGUUUUCCAAGCUCAUGCUCGGGUCGAGAGAUAUGAAGUCUCCGACAAGUUCUUCAGUUGCAAAAUGGAGGAAAAUAGUUCUGUCAGUGAGCACAUACUCAGAAUGUCUGGGUUACACAACCGCUUGUCUCAGCUGGGAGUUAAUCUCCCGGAUGACGCGGUCAUUGACAGAAUCCUUCAGUCGCUUCCACCAAGCUACAAGAGCUUUGUGAUGAACUUCAAUAUGCAGGGGAUGGAAAAGACCAUUCCUGAGGUAUAUUCAAUGCUGAAAUCAGCGGAGGUGGAGAUCAAAAAGGAACAUCAAGUGUUGAUGGUGAAUAAAACCACUAAGUUCAAGAAAGGCAAGGGUAAGAAGAACUUCAAGAAGGACGGCAAGGGAGUUGCCGCGCCCGGUAAGCCAGUUGCCGGGAAGAAGUCAAAGAAUGGACCCAAGCCUGAGACUGAGUGCUUUUAUUGCAAGGGAAGUGGUCACUGGAAGCGGAACUGCCCCAAAUACUUAGCGGACAAGAAGACCGGCAACACCAAAGGUAUAUGUGAUAUACAUGUAAUUGAUGUGUACCUUACCUGUACUCGUAGUAGCUCCUGGGUAUUUGAUACCGGUGCGGUUGCUCAUAUUUGUAACUCAAAACAGGAGCUGCGGAAUAAGCGGAGACUGGCGAAGGACGAGGUGACGAUGCGCGUCGGGAAUGGUUCCAAGGUCGAUGUGAUCGCCGUCGGCACGCUGCCUCUACAUUUACCUACGGGAUUAGUUUUAAACCUCAAUAAUUGUUAUUUAGUGCCAGCUUUGAGCAUGAACAUUGUAUCUGGAUCUCGUUUAAUUCGAGAUGGCUACUCAUUUAAAUCCGAGAAUAAUGGUUGUUCUAUUUAUAUGAGAGAUAUGUUUUAUGGUCAUGCCCCGCUGGUCAAUGGUUGAUUCUUGAUGAAUCUCGAACGUGAUGUUACACAUAUUCAUAGUGUGAAUACCAAAAGAUGUAAAGUUGAUAACGAUAGUCCCACAUACUUGUGGCACUGCCGCCUUGGUCACAUUGGUGUCGAACGCAUGAAGAAGCUCCAUGCAGAUGGACUUUUGGAGUCUCUUGAUUACGAAUCAUUUGACACGUGCGAACCAUGCCUCAUGGGUAAGAUGACCAAGACUCCGUUCUCCGGAAUAGUGGAGCGAGCAACCAACUUAUUGGAAAUCAUACAUACUAAUGUGUGCGGUCCAAUGAGUGUUGAGGCUCGCGGUGGCUAUCGUUAUGUUCUCACUCUCACUGAUGAUUUAAGUAGAUAUGGGUAUGUCUACCUAAUGAAACACAAGUCUGAAACCUUUGAAAAGUUCAAGGAAUUUCAGAGUGAGGUUGAGAAUCAACGUGACAGGAAAAUAAAGUUCCUGCGAUCAGAUCGUGGAGGGGAAUAUUUAAGUCACGAAUUUGGCACACACUUAAGGAAAUGUGGAAUCAUUUCACAACUCACGCCGCCUGGAACACCUCAGCGAAAUGGUGUGUCCGAACGUCGUAAUCGCACUCUAUUGGAUAUGGUGCGAUCUAUGAUGUCUCUUACCGAUCUACCGCUCUCAUUUUCGGGCUAUGCUUUAGAGACUGCUGCAUUCACUUUAAAUAGGGCUCCGUCGAAAUCCGUUGAGACGACACCAUAUGAAUUAUGGUUUGGGAAGAAACCUAAGCUGUCGUUUCUAAAAGUUUGGGGAUGCAAUGCUUAUGUCAAGAAAAUUCAACCUGAAAAGCUCGAACCCAAAUCGGAAAAAUGCGUCUUCAUAGGAUAUCCUAAGGAAACCAUUGGGUAUACCUUCUACCUCAGAUCCGAAGGCAAGAUCUUUGUUGCCAAGAACGGGUCCUUUCCGGAGAAAGAGUUUCUCUCGAAAGAAUUAAGUGGGAGGAAAGUGGAACUUAAUGAGGUGAUAGUCACCCCCUCCGAACCGGAAAGUAGCGCAGCGCGGGAAGAUGUUCCUGUGGUGCCUACACCAACUGGGGAGGAAGUUAAUGAUGAUGAUCAUGAAGCUUCGGAUCAAGUUACUGCUGAACUUCGUAGGUCCACAAGGACACGUUCCGCACCAGAGUGGUACGGCAACCCUGUCCUAGAAAUCAUGUUGUUAGACAACGGUGAACAUUCGAACUAUGAAGAAGCGAUGGCGGGCCCGGAUUCCGACAAAUGGCUAGAAGCCAUGAAAUCCGAGAUAGGAUCCAUGUAUGAAAACGACGUAUGGACUUUGACUAACUUGCCCGAUGAUCAGCGAGCCAUAGAAAAUAAAUGGAUCUUUAGGAAGAAGACAGACGCGGAUGGUAAUGUGACCAUCUAUAAGGCUCGACUUGUCGCUAAGGGUUAUCGACAAGUUCAAGGGGUUGACUACGAUGAGACUUUCUCACCCGUAGCGAAGCUGAAGUCCGUCCAAAUUAUGUUAGCAAUUGCCGCAUUCUAUGAUUAUGAGAUAUGGCAAAUGGACGUCAAAACGGCAUUCCUUAACGGCUUUCUUAAGGAAGAAUUGUAUAUGAUGCAGCCGGAAGGUUUUGUCGAUCCUAAGAAUGCUAACAAGGUAUGCAAGCUCCAGCGCUCCAUCUAUGGGCUGGUGCAAGCAUCUCGGAGUUGGAACAUUCGAUUUGAUGAGAUGAUCAAAGCGUUUGGGUUUACACAGACUUAUGGAGAAGCCUGUGUUUACAAGAAAGUGAGUGGGAGCUCUGUAGCAUUUCUCUUAUUAUAUGUGGAUGACAUACUAUUGAUGGAAAAUGAUAUAGAAUUCUUGGAAAGUAUAAAGGCCUACUUGAAUGUAGCAGAUCCGUUGACUAAACCUCUCCCUAGAGCAAAACAUGAUCAACACCAGAACUCUAUGGGUGUUCGAUUCAUCACAAUGUAACUAGAUUAUUGACUCUAGUGCAAGUGGGAGACUGUUGGAAAUAUGCCCUAGAGGCAAUAAUAAAUGGUUAUUAUUAUAUUUCCUUGUUCAUGAUAAUUGUCUAUUGUUCAUGCUAUAAUUGUGUUAUCCGGAAAUCGUAAUACAUGUGUGAAUACAUAGACCACAACGUGUCCCUAGUAAGCCUCUAGUUGACUAGCUCGUUGAUCAACAUAUAGUCAUGGUUUCCUGACUAUGGACAUUGGAUGUCAUUGAUAACGGGAUCACAUCAUUAGGAGAAUGAUGUGAUGGACAAGACCCAAUCCUAAGCAUAGCACAAAAGAUCGUGUAGUUCGUUUGCUAGAGCUUUUCCAAUGUCAAGUAUCAUUUCCUUAGACCAUGAGAUCGUGCAACUCCCGGAUACCGUAGGAGUGCUUUGGGUGUACCAAACAUCACAACGUAACUGGGUGACUAUAAAGGUACACUACGGGUAUCUACGAAAGUGUCUGUUGGGUUGGCACGGAUCGAGACUGGGAUUUGUCACUCCGUAUGACGGAGAGGUAUCUCUGGGCCCACUCGGUAAUGCAUCAACAUAAUGAGCUCAAUGUGACUAAGGAGUUAGCCACGGGAUCAUGCAUUGCGGUACGAGUAAAGCGACUUACCGGUAACGAGAUUGAACAAGGUAUUGGGAUACCGACGAUCGAAUCUCGGGCAAGUAACGUACCGAUUGACAAAGGGAAUUGUAUACGAGAUUGAUUGAAUCCUCGACAUCGUGGUUCAUCCGAUGAGAUCAUCAUGGAACAUGUGGGAGCCAACAUGGGUAUCCAGAUCCCACUGUUGGUUAUUGACCGGAGAGGCGUCUCGGUCAUGUCUGCAUGUCUCCCGAACCCGUAGGGUCUACACACUUAAGGUUCGGUGACGCUAGGGUUGUAGAGAUAUUAGUAUGCGGAAACCCGAAAGUUGUUCGGAGUCCCGGAUGAGAUCCCGGACGUCACGAGGAGUUCCGGAAUGGUCGGGAGGUGAAGAAUUAUAUAUAGGAAGUCCAGUUUCGGCCACCGGGAAAGUUUCGGGGGUUAUCGGUAUUGUACCGGGACCACCGGAAGGGUCCCGGGGGUCCACCGGGUGGGGCCACCUAUCCCGGAGGGCCCCAUGGGCUGAAGUGGGAGGGGAACCAGCCCCUAGUGGGCUGGUGCGCCCCCCAUGGGCCUCCCCCUGCGCCUAGGGUUGGAAACCCUGGGGGUCGGGGGCGCCCCACCUGACUUGGGGAGGAAGUUUCCCUCCCUUGGCCGCCGCCCCCCCAUAGAUGGGAUCCCAGGGCCGGCGCCCCCCAGGGGGCCUAUAUAAAGGGGGGAGGGAGGGCUGCUGUACCCUAGCCCCUGGCGCCUCCCUCUCCCUCCCGUGACACCUCUCCCUCCCGCUUGCGCUUGGCGAAGCCUUGCCGGGAUCCCCGCUACUUCCACCACCACGCUGUCGUGCUGCUGGAUCUCCAUCAACCUCUCCUUCCCCCUUGCUGGAUCAAGAAGGAGGAGACGACGCUGCUCCGUACGUGUGUUGAACGCGGAGGUGUCGUCCGUUCGGCGCUCGGUCAUCGGUGAUUUGGAUCACGACGAGUACGACUCCAUCAACCCCAUUCACUUGAACGCUUCCGCUCGUGAUCUACAAGGGUAUGUAGAUGCACUCCUUUCCCCUCGUUGCUAGCAAACUCCAUAGAUGGAUCUUGGUGAUGCGUAGAAAAUUUUAAAAUUCUGCAACGAUCCCCAACAGGUCAGACGUGUUGGUUGGGUCUUCAACGGUGGCUAUGAAGUGGGUGGCGGGUGGGAAGCAGAAUUCCCCAUCAUCCGCCGUGAGUUCGAACCAAACAUAGUUCGGCGAAGAGUCAUCUGUCAGGGAUAGAUUUUUAACGAGUUGAGUAAGUCGCCCAUGGGAGAGUGUUGGAAGACAUCUGCGGCGCUGAACUUGAAGAUCGAUAACCGAUCGAGUUCGGUGUCCGAGGGCUCGCAGGUUCCGGAACUCGGCACCGGAGACGAGCCCGGGGCUCCGUUGAUGCAGGUACCGUACGAAGUGGAAUCUGCAAGCGGCUCCAACGCCACCGAAUCAGUAGCCCCCGUGAUGGGGUUGAGCUUCCCAUCUUCGGGUGACUUGAUCUGCUCCGGAUCUAAGGCCAGAGUUGCUAUAGGAGCUAUCUCCUGGGUGUGACCCGAUGACCGGUUUAAGCCAUGUUCGUCGGAGCGGCAGGGAACGAUUGCCGCGGUCUCGAAUCCGUUGAAGAUCAAGUCUCCACGGAUGUCCACAACGUAGUUCAGGCUUCCAAAUCUGACCUGAUGGCCAGGGGCGUAGCUGUCGAUCUGCUCCAGACGGCCAAGCGAGUUGGCCCGCAGUGCGAAGCCGCCGAAUACGAAGAUCUGUCCGGGGAGAAAGGUUUCUCCCUGGACAACGUCAUCACUGACGAUCGAAGGGUCCAUCAAACCUUUCGUCGACGACACAGUGGAACUCUCAAUGAAAGCACCAAUGUCAGUGUCAAAACCGGCGGAUCUCGGGUAGGGGGUCCCGAACUGUGCGUCUAGGAUCGAUGGUGACAGGAGACAAGGGACACGAUGUUUACCUAGGUUCGGGCCCUCUCUAUGGAGGUAAUACCCUACUUCCUGCUUGAUUGAUCUUGAUGAAUAUGAGUAUUACAAGAGUUGAUCUACCACGAGAUCGUAAUGGCUAAACCCUAGAAGUCUAGCCUAUAUGAAUAUGGUAAUGAAUAUCCGUCCAUCCGGACUACUCCCUCCGGUUUAUAUAGACACCGGAGAGGUCUAGGGUUUACAUAGAGUCGGUUACAUAGGAGGGAAUCUUCAUAGUUGAUCGCCAAGCUUGCCUUCCACGCCAAGGAGAGUCCAAUCCGGACACGGGUAUAGUCUUCGGCCUUCAUAUCUUCACAGCCCAUCAGUCCGGCCCAUAGAUAACAGGCCGCACGCCCGAGGACCCCUUAGUCCAGGACUCCCUCAGUCACCUCCAUAAACGAGAAACAUAUCCUUAGUCCUUUUCAGGUAUUUCAGGAUGUUCUUGACCACUGUCCAGUGAUCCACUCCUGGAUUACUUUGGUACCUCCCCACUAUACUUAUAGCAAGGCACACAUCAGGUCUGGUACACAGCAUUGCAUACAUGAUAGAACCUAUGGCUGAAGCAUAGGGAAUGACUUUGAUUUUCUCUCUAUCUUGUGCAGUGGUCGGGCAUUGAGUCUCACUCAACUUCACACCUUGUAACACAGGCAAGAACCCUUUCUUUGACUGGUCCAUUUUGAACUUCUUCAAAAUCUUAUCAAGGUAUGUGCUAUGUGAAAGUCCAAUUAAGCGUCUUGAUCUAUCUCUAUAGAUCUUGAUGCCUAAUAUAUAAGCAGAUUCACCGAGGUCUUUCAUUGAAAAACUUUUAUUCAAGUAUCCUUUUAUGCUAUCCAGAAAUUCUAUAUCAUUUCCAAUCAACAGUAUGUCAUCCACAUAUAAUAUUAGAAAUGUUACAGAGCUCCCACUCACUUUAUUGUAAAUACAGGCUUCUCCAAAAGUAUGUAUAAAACCAUAUGCUUUGAUCACACUAUCAAAAUGUUUAUUCCAACUCCGAGAGACUUGCACCAGUCCAUAAAUGGAUUGCUGGAGCUUGCACACUUUGUUAGCAUCCUUUGGAUCGACAAAACCUUCUGGUUGCAUCAUAUACAACUCUUCUUCCAGAAACCCAUUCAGGAAUGCAGUUUUGACAUCCAUUUGCCAAAUUUCAUAAUCAUAAAAUGCAACAAUUGCUAACAUGAUUCGGACAGACUUAAGCAUCGCUACGGGCGAGAAAGUCUCGUCGUAGUCAACUCCUUGAACUUGUCGAAAACCUUUCGCAACAAGUCGGGCUUUGUAGACAGUAACAUUACCGUCAGCGUCAGUCUUCUUCUUGAAGAUCCAUUUAUUCUCGAUGGCUUGCCGAUCAUCGGGCAAGUCAACCAAAGUCCACACUUUGUUCUCAUACAUGGAUCCCAUCUCAGAUUUCAUGGCCUCAAGCCAUUUCACGGAAUCUGGGCUCAUCAUCGCUUCCUCAUAGUUCGUAGACUCGUUAUGGUCUAGUAACAUGAUGUCCAGAACAGGAUCACCGUACCACUCUAGUGCGGAUCUUACUCUGGUAGACCUACGAGGUUCAGUAGUAACUUGAUCUGAAGUUUCAUGAUCACUAUCAUUAGCUUCCUCACUAAUUGGUGUAGGAAUAACUGGAACUGAUUUCUGUGAUGAACUACUUUCCAAUUCGGGAGAAGGUACAAUUACCUCAUCAAGUUCUACUUUCCUCCCACUCACUUCUUUCGAGAGAAACUCCUUCUCUAGAAAGGAUCCAUUCUUAGCAACGAAUAUCUUGCCUUCGGAUCUGUGAUAGAAGGUGUACCCAACAGUCUCCUUUGGGUAUCCUAUGAAGACACAUUUCUCCGAUUUGGGUUCGAGCUUAUCAGGUUGAAGCUUUUUCACAUAAGCAUCGCAGCCCCAAACUUUUAGAAACGACAACUUGGGUUUCUUGCCAAACCACAGUUCAUAAGGUGUCGUCUCAACGGACUUAGAUGGUGCCCUAUUUAACGUGAAUGCAGCCAUCUCUAAAGCAUAACCCCAAAACGAUAGCAGUAAAUCAGUAAGAGACGUCAUAGAUCGCACCAUAUCUAAUAAAGUGCGGCUACGACGUUCGGACACACCAUUGCGCUGUGGUGUUCUAGGUGGCGUGAGUUGCGAAACUAUUCCACAUUGUUUCAAAUGAAGACCAAACUCGUUGUGACGCCCCCGAUUUGACCGUACACUAACCAUGCACACAAAUGUGUACGAUCAAGAUCCAGGACUCACGGGAAGAUACCACAACACAACUCUAAAACAUAAAUAAGUCAUACAAGCAUUAUAAUACAAGCCAGGGGCCUCGAGGGCUCGAAUACAAGUGCUCGAUCACAGACGAGUCAGCGGAAGCAACAAUAUCUGAGUACAGACAUAAGUUAAACAAGUUUGCCUUAAGAAGGCUAGCACAAACAGGGAUACAGAUCGAACGAGGCGCGUGCCUCCUACCUGGGAUCCUCCUAACUACUCCUGGUGGUCGUCAGCGGGCUGCACGUAGUAGUAGGCACCUCCAGUGUCGUAGGUGUCAUCGUCGACGGUGGCGUAUGGCUCCUGGACUCCAGCAUCUGGUUGCGACAACCAGAUAGAAAGGAAAAGGGGAAAAGAAGGAGAGAAGCAACCGUGAGUACUCAUCCAAAGUACUCGCAAGCAAUGAGCUAUACUACAUAUGCAUGGGUAUAUGUGUAAAGGGGCAUAUCAGUGGACUGAACUGCAGAAUGCCAGAAUAAAAGGGGGAUAGCUAGUCCUAUCGAAGACUACGCUUCUGGUCAUCUCCAUCUUGCAGCAUGUAGAAGAGAGUAGAUGGAAGUCCUCCAAGUAGCAUCGCAUAGCAUAAUCCUACCCGGCGAUCCCCUCCUCGUCGCCCUGUUAGAGAGCGAUCACCGGGUUGUAUCUGGCACUUGGAAGGGUGUAUUUUAUUCAGUAUCCAGUUCUAGUUGUCAUAAGGUCAAGGUACAACUCCGGGUCGUCCUUUUACCGAGGGACACGGCUAUUCGAAUAGAUAAACUUCCCUGCAGGGGUGCACCACAUAACCCAACACGCUCGAUCCCAUUUGGCCGGACACACUUUUCUGGGUGAUGCCCGGCCUCGUAAGAUCAACGCGUCGCAGCCCCACCUAGGCUCAACCGAGAGGUCAACACGCCGGUCUAACCCUAUGCGCGCAGGGGUCUGGGCCCAUCGCCCUAUGCACACCUGCACGUUGCGAGGGUGGCCAGAAGCAGACCUAGCCUAGUGGCGUUCCAGUCCAAUCCGGCGCGCGCCGCUCCGUUGCUGACGUCAAAAAGAGCUUCGGCUGAUACCACGACGCCGGGAUACCCAUAACUACUCCCGCGUAGAUGGUUAGUGCGUAUAGACCAAAUGGCCAGAUUCAGAUCAAAUACCAAGAUCUCGUUAAACGUGUUAAGUAUCCGCGAACGCCGACCAGGGCCAGGCCCACCUCUCACCUAGGCGGUCUCAACCUGCCCUGUCGCUCCGCCACAAAGAUCCACUUGCGGGUACUCCUACGAGCCGACCCGACUUUAGUCAUCACAUGUGUCAUGUAUAUAGUAUAGAAUCAUAUACCCGUGAUCACCGCCCAGGUGAUCACGGCCCGAUAGUAUAGCACAGCAGACGGACAAGAAUGUAGGGUCACUGAUGGAAAACUAGCAUCCUAUACUAAGCAUGUAGGAUUGCAGGUAAAGGUAACAACAGUAGUAGCAAGGAUAGGCUAUGCAUCAGAAUAGGAUAUCGGAAAGCAGUAACAUGCUACACUACUCUAAUGCAAGCAGUAUAGAGAAGAAUGGGCGAUAUCUGGUGAUCAAGGGGGGGCUUGCCUGGUUGCUCUGGCAAGUAGGAGGGGUCGUCAACUCCGUAGUCGAACUGGGCAGCAGCAGUGUCGGUCUCGUAGUCUACCGGAGAGAAGAGGGGGAAGAAACAGUAAAUACAAUGCAAACAUAAACAUGACGAUGCGUGACAUGACAAUGAGUAGUGCGAGGUGUGUCCUAACGCGACAGUAGGUGGUACCGGCGAAGGGGGGGAACAUCCGGGAAAGUAUUCCCGCUGUUUCGCGUUUCGGACAGACGGACCGGAGGGGAAAAGUUGCGAGUUCGAUAGGUUAGGGAGGUGUGGUGGACGAACGGACGGCGUAUCCGGAUGCGUCUCGUCGUUCUGAGCAACUUUCAUGUUGAAAAUAUUUUAAUCCGAGUUACGCAUUAAAAGAUAUGAUUUUCUAAAGAUUUUAUUAAUUUCUGGAAUUUAAUUAAUUAUUUAAUUUAAUUCGAAAAUGGAUUUAUGACAUCAGCAUGAUGUCAUGCUGACGUCAGCAGUCAACGUUGACCGUUGACCUGGUCAACCUGACAGGUGGGUCCCACCUGUCAGUGUCUGUUAGCUAAUUAACUACUGUUUAGUUAAAUUAAUUAACUAAUUAGAUUAGUUUAAACAGGAUUAAUUAACUUAAUUAAUUAAUUAAUUAAUUAAUUAUAAUUAAAAUUAUUUUUAUUUUCUUUAUUUAUUUAUUUUUAUUAAUUAAUUUAUUAUUUUUAUUAUUAUUAUUAUUUCUGUUUUUUAUUUUUAUUUUUAUUUUUAUUUUUAUUUUAUUUUAUUUUUAUUUUUUUAUUCGUUCUGUGCGUGGGCCCCGGCUGUCAUUGGGCCAGGGGGGUUCGGGCCCAGGGGCAGUGGCUCAGUGGGGGCGAGGCCCCACCUGGCAGUGGCCCAGGGGUCGUAGCAGGCACAGGGCGAUGCGGGUGCGGGUGCCCGUAGCCUGCCCAGGGCAGGGCGGGGCCGUGGCNNNNNNNNNNNNNNNNNNNNNNNNNNNNNNNNNNNNNNNNNNNNNNNNNNNNNNNNNNNNNNNNNNNNNNNNNNNNNNNNNNNNNNNNNNNNNNNNNNNNNNNNNNNNNNNNNNNNNNNNNNNNNNNNNNNNNNNNNNNNNNNNNNNNNNNNNNNNNNNNNNNNNNNNNNNNNNNNNNNNNNNNNNNNNNNNNNNNNNNNNNNNNNNNNNNNNNNNNNNNNNNNNNNNNNNNNNNNNNNNNNNNNNNNNNNNNNNNNNNNNNNNNNNNNNNNNNNNNNNNNNNNNNNNNNNNNNNNNNNNNNNNNNNNNNNNNNNNNNNNNNNNNNNNNNNNNNNNNNNNNNNNNNNNNNNNNNNNNNNNNNNNNNNNNNNNNNNNNNNNNNNNNNNNNNNNNNNNNNNNNNNNNNNNNNNNNNNNNNNNNNNNNNNNNNNNNNNNNNNNNNNNNNNNNNNNNNNNNNNNNNNNNNNNNNNNNNNNNNNNNNNNNNNNNNNNNNNNNNNNNNNNNNNNNNNNNNNNNNNNNNNNNNNNNNNNNNNNNNNNNNNNNNNNNNNNNNNNNNNNNNNNNNNNNNNNNNNNNNNNNNNNNNNNNNNNNNNNNNNNNNNNNNNNNNNNNNNNNNNNNNNNNNNNNNNNNNNNNNNNNNNNNNNNNNNNNNNNNNNNNNNNNNNNNNNNNNNNNNNNNNNNNNNNNNNNNNNNNNNNNNNNNNNNNNNNNNNNNNNNNNNNNNNNNNNNNNNNNNNNNNNNNNNNNNNNNNNNNNNNNNNNNNNNNNNNNNNNNNNNNNNNNNNNNNNNNNNNNNNNNNNNNNNNNNNNNNNNNNNNNNNNNNNNNNNNNNNNNNNNNNNNNNNNNNNNNNNNNNNNNNNNNNNNNNNNNNNNNNNNNNNNNNNNNNNNNNNNNNNNNNNNNNNNNNNNNNNNNNNNNNNNNNNNNNNNNNNNNNNNNNNNNNNNNNNNNNNNNNNNNNNNNNNNNNNNNNNNNNNNNNNNNNNNNNNNNNNNNNNNNNNNNNNNNNNNNNNNNNNNNNNNNNNNNNNNNNNNNNNNNNNNNNNNNNNNNNNNNNNNNNNNGAGCGCAACGGCGACGGUGGUCUCCUCCCGAUCCAGAUCGGGGGAGGCAGGGAAGGGAGGAUAUUUCGGGGGCGGGGAAGUGGGUGGAGGUGUCGGUGGUGAGGGGGGGGAAUGGAUAAGGUGGGGAGUGGGUGGGCCGGCCGGCUGGGCCUGGGGGUUGGCCCAGUCGGGCCAGGGUCCAGUGUGAGGGGGGGGCUCCUCCGUUUUUUUCUGUUUAUUUUCUCUGUUGCAUUUUCUUUUCUUUUUAUUUAUUUUAUUUUCUGUUUUACAUCAUUUUAAAAUAGUUAGGCAUUUUCUAAAAAUAUGUUUUCUCCACAAUAAUUAUCAGUGCAAUAUCUGGCACCCACCGAACAUUUUUGUUUAAAUUUUUGAAAACUUUCAUUAUUGACAUUAAUUUGAAUUUAAAUUUUGAAACGGUUUCGAAUCAUCGCGAGGUUAACAACAGUAACCGUGGUUGACGUGGCAUCAUUAGCGUGGGAUUACUGUAGCUUAAUUAUCCGGGCGUCACAAAUCUCCUCCACUACAAGAAAUCUCGUCCCGAGAUUUAGGAGGUAGAAGGAAAAAAUGCGGGGUAUUCUUCGCGCAGGCGAUCCUCUCGUUCCCAAGUGGCUUCAUCUUCAGAAUGGUGCGACCACUGGACUUUGAGGAACUUGAUCGCCUUCUGACGUGUGCGCCGUUCAGCUUGGUCGAGAAUGCGGACCGGAUGCUCCUUAUAGGAGAGGUCUUGCUGCAAUUCGAGCACUUCAUGAUCCACUGCUCGGAUUGGGUCCUUGAAGCAACGGCGGAGCUGUGACACAUGGAACACAUCGUGAACCUGAGAAAGGUUCGGCGGAAGCUCCAGUUGGUAUGCCACUUUUCCACGCCUUUCGAGAAUAGUGAAUGGGCCAAUAUAGCGAGGAGCUAGUUUGCCCUUGAUCCCGAAGCGGUGAGCACCCUUCAUAGGUGUGACUCGAAGAUAAGCCUUUUCGCCAGGUUGAUAGACCAUGUCUUUAUGAUGACGGUCAUACUGACUCUUCUGACGUGACUGAGCAGUCUUGAGAUUCUCGCGAAUAAUGCAGACUUGUUCUUCGGCAUGUUGGAUAAUAUCCGGACCGAAGAGUGGACGUUCCCCAGUUUCUGACCAGUUCAGAGGGGUUCGGCACUUUCGUCCAUAUAACACUUCGAAGGGGGCCAUCUUCAGACUAGCUUGAUAGCUAUUAUUAUAAGAGAACUCAACAUACGGGAGAGAUUCCUCCCAUUUCUUGCCGAAGGAAAUAACACAAGCUCGAAGCAUGUCUUCGAGAACUUGGUUGACGCAUUCAACCUGCCCUUGCGACUGAGGAUGAAAUGCAGUACUGAAUGACAGAUGAGUUCCCAUAGCUUCUUGGAAACUUGCCCAGAAUCUUGAAGUGAAUAAGCUACCACGGUCUGAGCUGAUAACCAAUGGAAUACCGUGGAGUGAAACAAUCCUGGACAUAUAGAGCGUUGCCAACUGACUAGCAGUGAUCGUUUCUUUGACCGCCAGAAAAUGUGCAACUUUGGAAAGCCGGUCAAUGACGACAAGAAUAGCAUCAUUACCUUUCUGUGAUUUGGGAAAACCAGUGACGAAGUCCAUCUCAACAUGGUCCCAUUUCCAUUCAGGAAUAGAGAUAGGUUGCAGAGUUCCAGCAGGCCUUUGAUGUUCUGCUUUGAUACGACGGCAAACGUCACACUCAGUGACAUAACGAGCAAUGUCUUGCUUCAUAUUAGACCACCAGAGUCUCUGACGGAUGUCUUGGUACAUCUUUGUACUACCAGGGUGGAUACAUAGAGGCGUAUCAUGAGCUUCUUUCAUAACUUCCUGUGUCAUAUCCAGGUUUUUCUCUGCACAUGGCACCACUAGGCGGCCCUUGAAGUAUAAGGUGCCAUCUUCAGCAAUAGUGAAGAAUGAGGGCUUUCCUUCUGCGAGGUAGCGCUUAAUCUUGUGGGCUUCAGAGUCAUACUUCUGUAGCCUUUUGAUGUUGUCCUCGAGAUCUGGUUUAGCAACUAGGGUAUUGAGGGAACCCUGGGUAACAACGUGGAGGUUCACCUUGCCAAACUCCUUAGGAGGGGGAGCGAGUGCACCCGGAGGAACAAUAUGGAGGUUCAGCUUCCUGAAUUCUUCAACAAGCGAGGGCUGAACUUUGUGAACCUGGAGGUGGUUGCAGUAAGACUUGCGGCUCAAGGCAUCAGCCAUUACAUUAGCCUUGCCUGGCGUAUAGGAAAUACCCAAGUCAAAGUCUGCAACAAGCUCCAUCCAUCUCUGCUGACGAAGGUUCAGGUCUAGCUGAGUAAAUAGAUACUUCAGACUUUGGUGGUCAGUGAAGAUCUCGCAACGAUUACCGAGAAGGUAAUGUCGCCACUGCUUCAGCGCAUGAAUGACAGUAGCAAGUUCGAGGUCGUGAACUGGGUAGUUCUCUUCGUGAGGGCGCAAUUGCCGAGAGGCAUAAGCAAUCACUUUGCGGUCUUGCAUUAGGACACAGCCUAAUCCUUGACGGGAAGCAUCGCAGUAAAUGACGAAGUCCUUCUUAGUAUCAGGUGGGGCUAGAACUGGGGCAGAAGUCAACUUGUCUUUGAGUGCCUGGAAACUUUCCUGACAUUUGUCUGUCCAUUGGAACUUGACGCCCUUAUGUAACAGGUUAGUCAGAGGCCUGGCGAUCUUAGAGAAAUUCUCGACAAAUCGACGGCAAUAGCUGGCGAGACCGAGAAAACUUCUGACUUGCUUAACGUUCUUGGGAGGAGUCCAAUCAAGAAUAGCCUGAACUCGCUCGGGGUUGACGGCAAUACCAUCCUUAGAGAUGACAUGCCCAAGAUAGGUUACUUCCGGUAGCCAGAAUUCACAUUUGGAGAACUUGGCAUAUAGUUGAUGCUCUCGUAGCUUUUCCAGUACAAGUCGAAGAUGUUCAGCAUGUUCUUCUUCGUUCUUGGAAAAUACCAGGAUAUCAUCCAGAUAAACCACGACGAACUUGUCGAGGUAAUCCAUGAAUAUAUAGUUCAUCAGACGAGAGAAGGUGGCUGGAGCAUUGGUUAAACCGAAAGACAUGACGGUGUACUCGUAUGAACCAUAGCGAGUCACGAAGGCGGUCUUUGGGAUAUCCUCUUCGCGAACACGGAUCUGGUGGUAGCCCAACCUCAAGUCGAGCUUAGAGAACACUGACGAACCCGCCAGUUGAUCAUACAGAUCAUUGAUCCGAGGAAGAGGGUAUUUAUUCUGAAUGGUAGCUUGGUUUAUAGGACGGUAGUCUUGAACUAACCGGUUUGUCCCAUCCUUCUUCUUGACAAAGAGAGAAGGUGCUCCCCAAGGAGAGCAACUUGGGCGAAUGAAUCCUUUGCGAAGAGAUUUGUCGAUUUCCUCCUUAAGCUCAAGGAGUUCAUGCGACAGCAUUUUGUAGGGUCGCUUGGCUAUAGGAGUGGUGCCUGGUUUCAAGUCGAUGAUGAAUUCGACAGCUCUAGCAGGGGGAAUCCCUGGAAGUUCUUCAGGGAAGACGUCGAGGAAUUCACUCACGACGGGAAUGUUUUCAAUGCCCUCGAGUGGUGCAGCAUUCUAUGCAUUCAAUGCAUAGAGCCUUGCCUCGGCAUUUUGCACCAGGUGGGCUUGGUAAGUAACUAUCUCAUCUGAAGGGUGUAGCAGAUGGACGGUCUUAGUGGUGCAAACGAUUGAAGCAGUAUGCGCUUUUAGGCAAUUCAUUCCUAGAAUGAGAUCAAUGCUACAGGACUUCAGUACGAUGGGAGAGACAAGAAAUUCCAGUCCUUUGAUUUCGACGGGGACGUCGUUGCAAAUCAUGGAGGUUCGACAUUGGCCCGCAGGGGUGUGUACUAAUAGUGAAGCAUUCAUGUCUUCGCCUUUAAUGCCAUGCAUGAAUGCAAAAUCUUCUGACAUGAAUGAAUGUGAUGCACCUGUAUCAAAUAAAACGGAUGCUGGUGCUGAAUUUACGAGGAGUGUACCCAUCACAGUAGCAGGCUGGUCUUGAGCUUCGUUGAGAUCAACGUGGUUGGCAUGAGCACGACCAUAAGACUUAGCAUUGUUGUUGCGGGGCUGGUUGUUACCACGGCCAGUUGCUGGAAGGGCCAGUUGAUUCUGGUUCUGGUUGCAUUCUCUAGCACGGUGUCCUGGUUGACCACACCUGAAGCACAAGCCAUUAUUGGGAGUGGGAACAGGGGCUUGGGAUGGUGGAGCUGGAAGUCUUGACUGCCUAGAUCGUGGUGGAGGCAGACGAGGGGCAGCAUAGGUCUGCCUUGGGGCAGAUGCAUUUGGACGGUACAUGCUGUUCGGGAUCCAUAUCUUACGCUUCUGUGAGGGCGAGCCCGAAGAUGAGCCCGUGUCACGGUUGCGCCUGUGAGAGCUCUGGUAUUCCUGCAGACCAGUUUCGACAUUGAUGGCCUUGUUCACCAAGGUGGCGAAAUCAGCAAAGUCAUGCACUAGAAGUGCGAGCUUGAUGUCAGCUUGAAGGCCAUCACGGAACUUCUCCUGUCUGCGUGCAUCAGUUGCAAUGUCCUCCUCAGCAUAGCGAGACAAAUCCAGAAACUCCCGUUGAUAAGAUUCAACAGUUUUGUUGCCUUGGGUGAGGUUGCGGAACUCACGCUUCUUCCGGUCCAUGACUCCUUGAGGAAUGAAGUGGGCACGGAAAGCAGCUUGGAAGUCUGGCCACGUGAUGAUUGUCCCAGCUGGCAGAGUACGCCUGUGGCUGUCCCACCAUUGAGCUGCGGGUCCCUUCAGAAAGAAGGAAGCAAAGUUGACAUAGCUGGCAGGGGCUACAUCGGCAGACUCCAUCUCAUAGGUGAUGUCACGGAGCCAGUCAUCAGCAUCCAGAGGCUGAGUUGAGCUGCGGUACACAGUUGGGUUCAGGCGCAUGAAAUCCUGCAGAGUUACUGGGGUUGGUUGCUGGUCCAUAUUGGGGUGAGGAAACUGAGCCAUCAUAUUUUCCAUGAAUUGGCGGUUCAGUUUGAACUGCCAGAUCAUACCAGCCAUGUACUCAGGUGGUGGUGGGGCAUCGCCACCACGACCAUGACCACCUGGUCUAACCAUCCUGCUAAUAUAUAACAGGGGUAGUUCAGCAUUGAGAAAGUUUGCAAAGACAAGAAUCAUUCAUGAUAAAACAUGCAUAAUGAAAGGAGCACGAUAGCUACUACAUAGUAGUCGGCAUAACUUACAAAAGGGGUCAUGCAUAGAGUUCAGCACAUAGAGUUCAGUACAUAGACUAAAACAUCAUAGGCGGCACACAGGCUCGCGGCGAAUGCAUCUAACUCUACAAGCAAGCCCACAUCAGUCCCAAGAGGUACUGUGGAGGUAAUCGUAGCCCGACAGCUGGUAGUGAGGCAACGGAUAGCCCUCCACGUCAGCAGACUGGGGGCCGCGGAUACUCAGGUGUAGAGCCCGACGCUCAGGUGGCAGAAGAGGACCAAGUGCGGGAGAGUAGCCUCCCACCUCUGGCCAACCGACACCGUGGGGCAUCACGGUCCUGGCUGGGUAGAUCGCAGUACGCGGUAGCUGUCCAGAUCGGACAAAGGGGUGCAGCAGCGUCAGAGCACGGUAAAGGUGCUGACGGGUAGUGUACAUCUCGUGGCGAAGAGCUCGGUUAGCUCGAUCCAGCCCAUCAGCAUGCAGAACCAGGUUCUGAUGGUAGAAGGGCUCUCGGGUGACAGUGGAGUAGGCAGCAGUAUAGUAUCCCUCCGCACCAACAUCAGAUGCGAUAGCAAUGUGCCUGAAGGGGGAGGUGUCCAACUCCCGAUACUCUCCACGAAGACGUGUCAGAGCAGCAUAGGCAGCAUCGUGGACAGCCAUAUCGAUGGUCACACCAACACCAUGUGCGGUGUGCAGCACAGUAGUGGAGUCAUACUCCCGCGAGUAGAGGUGGACGAUGGCACGAUACUGCUCCUGGUUAAAGUCCUGGUACUCCUCGUAGACGGUGUACUCAGGGUGCCAGCGAUAACCCAGAUAGGUCAUCAUCUCAGCUAGCAUAGCCGGUGAUCCCGAGGCACCAAUGGCCGUCGUGUGGCGCACGACCUGCCUCGUGGGUUCCAUCUGAAAGCAAAGACGUUUCAAAGGAGUCAAAUGACAGUGUGUGAAUUGUUCAAAAUACUAUUCUAAGAAACAACUAUGGCUUAUCCAACUUUGGGGUGAAUGCGGUCACGGGAUCCUAGUGUUAGAGUUAGUAAAUUCGUUUAACCCGAGUAGAAGAGAGUUCAGAGUCCUAGAGUAAGGGUCGAGGAGUAAAAGAUCCUAGUAUCACCCAAUCGCGACGUGGGCCCGUAAGACACACAACCAUGUUAGUAAAAGUUUUGUAAUGUCUAGACUCGACUUCGGCCAAGGAGUGUGGAAAGGGGGAUUCCUACAAGCAGUCGGCUCUGAUACCAACUUGUGACGCCCCCGAUUUGACCGUCCACUAAUCAUGCACGCAAAUGUGUACGAUCAAGAUCAAGGACUCACGGGAAGAUACCACAACACAACUCUAAAACAUAAAUAAGUCAUACAAGCAUUAUAAUACAAGCCAGGGGCCUCGAGCGCUCGAAUACAAGUGCUCGAUCACGGACGAGUCAGCGGAAGCAACAAUAUCUGAGUACAGACAUAAGUUAAACAAGUUUGCCUUAAGAAGGCUAGCACAAACAGGGAUACAGAUCGAACGAGGCGCAGGCCUCCUGCCUGGGAUCCUCCUAACUACUCCUGGUCGUAGGUGUCGUCGUCGACGGUGGCGUCUGGCUCCUGGACUCCAGCAUCUGGUUGCGACAACCAGAUAGAAAGGAAAGGGGAAAAGAGGGAUAUAAGCAACCGUGGUACUCAUCCAAAGUAAUCGCAAGCAAUGAGCUAUACUACAUAUGCAUGGGUAUAUGUGUAAAGGGGCAUAUCAGUGGACUGAACUGCAGAAUGCCAGAAUAAAAUGGGGAUAGCUAGCCCUGUCGAAGACUACGCUUCUGGUCAUCUCCAUCUUGCAGCAUGUAGAAGAGAGUAGAUGGAAGUCCUCCAAGUAGCAUCGCAUAGCAUAAUCCUACCCGGCGAUCCCCUCCUCGUCGCCCUGUUAGAGAGCGAUCACCGGGUUGUAUCUGGCACUUGGAAGGGUGUAUUUUAUUCAGUAUCCAGUUCUAGUUGUCAUAAGGUCAAGGUACAACUCCGGGUCAUCCUUUUACCGAGGGACACGGCUAUUCGAAUAGAUAAACUUCCCUGCAGGGGUGCACCACAUAACCCAACACGCUCGAUCCCAUUUGGCCGGACACACUUUUCUGGGUCAUGCCCGGCCUCGUAAGAUCAACGCGUCGCAGCCCCACCUAGUCUCAACCGAGAGGUCAACACGCCGGUCUAACCCUAUGCGCGCAGGGGUCUGGGCCCAUCGCCCUAUGCACACCUGCACGUUGCGAGGGCGGCCGGAAGCAGACCUAGCCUAGUGGCGUUCCAGUCCAAUCCGGCGCGCGCCGCUCCGUCGCUGACGUCAAAAAGAGCUUCGGCUGAUACCACGACGCCGGGAUACCCAUAACUACUCCCGCGUAGAUGGUUAGUGCGUAUAGACCAAAUGGCCAGACUCAGAUCAAAUACCAAGAUCUCGUUAAACGUGUUAAGUAUCCGCGAACGCCGACCAGGGCCAGGCCCACCUCUCAUCUAGGCGGUCUCAACCUGCCCUGUCGCUCCGCCACAAAGAUCCACUUGCGGGUACUCCUACGAGCCGACCCGACUUUAGUCAUCACAUGUGUCAUGUAUAUAGUAUAGAAGCAUAUACCCGUGAUCACCGCCCAGGUGAUCACGGCCCGAUAGUAUAGCAUAGCAGACGGACAAGAAUGUAGGGCCACUGAUGGAAAACUAGCAUCCUAUACUAAGCAUGUAGGAUUGCAGGUAAAGGUAACAACAGUAGUAGCAAGGAUAGGCUAUGCAUCAGAAUAGGAUAUCGGAAAGCAGUAACAUGCUACACUACUCUAAUUCAAGCAGUAUAGAGAAGAAUGGGCGAUAUCUAGUGAACAGGGGGGGCUUGCCUGGUUGCUCUGGCAAGUAGGAGGGGUCGUCAACUCCGUAGUCGAACUGGGCAGCAGCAGUGUCAGUCUCGUAGUCUACCGGAGGGAAGAGGGGGAAGAAACAGUAAAUACAAUGCAAACAUAAACAUGACGAUGCGUGACAUGACAAUGAGUAGUGCGAGGAGUGUCCUAACGCGACAGUAGGUGGUACCGGCGAAGGGGGGAACAUCCGGGAAAGUAUUCCCGCUGUUUCGCGUUUCACACAGACGGACCGGAGGGGGAAAGUUGCGAGUUCGAUAGGUUCGGGAGGUGUGGUGCACGAACGGACUGCGUUUCCGGAUUCGUCUCGUCGUUCUGAGCAACUUUCAUGUUGAAAAUAUUUUAAUCCGAGUUACGCAUUAAAAGAUAUGAUUUUCUAAAGAAUUUAUUAAUUUCUGGAAUUUAAUUAAUUAUUUAAUUUAAUUCGAAAAUGGAUUUAUGACAUCAGCAUGAUGUCAUGCUGACGUCAGCAGUCAACGUUGACCGUUGACCUGGUCAACCUGACAGGUGGGUCCCACCUGUCAGUGUCUGUUAGCCAAUUAACUACUGUUUAGUUAAAUUAAUUAACUAAUUAGAUUAGUUUAAACAAGAUUAAUUAACUUAAUUAAUUUAGUUAAUUAAUUAAUUAAAAUUAUUUUUAUUUUUGUUUUCUUUCUUUAUUUAUUUAUUAAUUAAGUUAUUAUUAUUAUUAUUUAUUAUUUAUUAUUUAUUUUUUUUUAUUUUAUUUUAUUUUAUUUUUUUAUUCGUUCUGUGCGUGGGCCCCGGCUGUCAUUGGGCCAGGGGGGUUCGAGCCCAGGGGGCAGUGGCUCAGGGGGGGCGAGGCCCCACCUGGCAGUGGCCCAGGGGCCGUAGCGGGCACAGGGCGAUGCGGGUGCGGGUGCCCAUAGCCUGCCCAGGGCAGGGCGGGGCCGUGGCCAUGGACGAGGCCGCCGGCGCCCACGACGCCGGCCAGGAGGGCGGCGGAGGGCCGCGGGCGGCGCGGGGGUGGAGGUAGUGGCGGGGCUGCGGACUAGAGGGGGCGCUGGCNNNNNNNNNNNNNNNNNNNNNNNNNNNNNNNNNNNNNNNNNNNNNNNNNNNNNNNNNNNNNNNNNNNNNNNNNNNNNNNNNNNNNNNNNNNNNNNNNNNNNNNNNNNNNNNNNNNNNNNNNNNNNNNNNNNNNNNNNNNNNNNNNNNNNNNNNNNNNNNNNNNNNNNNNNNNNNNNNNNNNNNNNNNNNNNNNNNNNNNNNNNNNNNNNNNNNNNNNNNNNNNNNNNNNNNNNNNNNNNNNNNNNNNNNNNNNNNNNNNNNNNNNNNNNNNNNNNNNNNNNNNNNNNNNNNNNNNNNNNNNNNNNNNNNNNNNNNNNNNNNNNNNNNNNNNNNNNNNNNNNNNNNNNNNNNNNNNNNNNNNNNNNNNNNNNNNNNNNNNNNNNNNNNNNNNNNNNNNNNNNNNNNNNNNNNNNNNNNNNNNNNNNNNNNNNNNNNNNNNNNNNNNNNNNNNNNNNNNNNNNNNNNNNNNNNNNNNNNNNNNNNNNNNNNNNNNNNNNNNNNNNNNNNNNNNNNNNNNNNNNNNNNNNNNNNNNNNNNNNNNNNNNNNNNNNNNNNNNNNNNNNNNNNNNNNNNNNNNNNNNNNNNNNNNNNNNNNNNNNNNNNNNNNNNNNNNNNNNNNNNNNNNNNNNNNNNNNNNNNNNNNNNNNNNNNNNNNNNNNNNNNNNNNNNNNNNNNNGACGGUGGUCUCCUCCCGAUCCAGAUCCGGGGAGGCAGGGGAGGGAGGAUAUUUCGGGGGGGAAGUGGGUGGAGGUGUCGGUGGUGAGGGGGGGGAUGGAUAAGGUGGGGAGUGGGUGGGCCGGCCGGCUGGGCCUGGGGGUUGGCCCAGUCGGGCCAGGGUCCAGUGUGGGAGGGGGCUCCUCCUUUUUUUUCUUUUCUGUUUGUUUUCUCUAUUGCAUUUUCUUUUCUUUUUAUUUAUUUUCUUUUCUGUUUUACAUCAUUUUAAAAUAGUUAGGCAUUUUCUAAAAAUAUGUUUUCUCCACAAUAAUUAUCAGUGCAAUAUCUGGCACCCACCGAACAUUUUUGUUUAAAUUUUUGAAAACUUUUAUUAUUGACAUUAAUUUGAAUUUAAAUUUUGAAACGGUUUCGAAUCAUCGCGAGGUUAACAACAGUAACCGUGGUGACGUGGCAUCAUUAGCGUGGGAUUACUGUAGCUUAAUUAUCCGGGCGUCACACUCGUAACUCAAAUAUUCUCCUUCACGAUCAGAUCGUAGAAACUUUAUUUUCUUGUUAUGAUGAUUUUCCACUUUACUCUGAAAUUCUUGGAACUUUUCAAAUGUUUCAGACUUAAGUUUCAGUAAGUAGAUAUACCCAUAUCUGCUCAAAUCAUCUGUGAAGGUCAGAAAAUAAUCAUACCCUCCACGAGCAUCAACACUCAUCCGACCGCAUACAUCGGUAUGUAUUGUUUCCAGCAAGUCUGUUGCUCGCUCCAUAGUUCCAGAGAACGGAGUCUUAGUCAUCUUGCCCAUGAGGCAUGGUUCGCAAGUAUCAAGUGAUUCAUAAUCAAGUGAUUCCAAAAGCCCAUCAGCAUGGAGUUUCUUCAUGCGCUUUACACCAAUAUGACCUAAACGGCAGUGCGACAAAUAAGUUGCACUAUCAUUAUUGAACUUAUAUCUUUUGGCUUCAAUACUAUGAAUAUGUGUAUCACUACUAUCGGCAUUCAACAAAAAUAGACCACUCAUCAAGGGUGCAUGACCAUAAAAGAUAUUACUCAUAUAAAUAGAACAACCAUUAUUCUCUGAUUUAAAUGAAUAACCGUCUCGCAUCAAACAAGAUCCAGAUAUAAUGUUCAUGCUCAACGCUGGCACCAAAUAACAAUUAUUUAGGUCUAAAACUAAUCCCGAAGGUAGAUGUGAGGUAGCGUGCCGACCGCGAUCACAUAAACUUUGGAACCAUUUCCCACGCGCAUCGUCACCUCGUGCUUAUCCAAUCUUCGCUUAAUCCGUAGCCCCUGUUUCGAGUUGCAAAUAUGAGCAACAGAACCAGUAUCAAAUACCCAGGCACUACUGCGAGCAUUAGUUAAGUACACAUCAAUAACAUGUAUAUUAAAUAUACCUUUCACUUUGCCAUCCUUCUUAUCCGCCAAAUACUUGGGGCAGUUCCGCUUCCAGUGACCAGUCCCUUUGCAGUAGAAGCACUCAGUCUCAGGCUUAUGUCCAGACUUGGGCUUCUUCACUCGAGUAGCAACUUGCUUGCCGUUCUUCUUGAAGUUCCCCUUCUUCCCUUUGCCCUUCUUCUUGAAACUGGUGGUCUUGUUGACCAUCAACACUUGAUGCUCCUUCUUGAUUUCUACCUCCGCAGCUUUUAGCAUCGCGAAGAGCUCGGGAAUUGUCUUAUCCAUCCCUUGCAUAUUAUAGUUCAUCACGAAGCUUUUGUAGCUUGGUCGCAGUGAUUGAAGAACUCUGUCAAUGACACUAUCAUCAGGAAGAUUAACUCCCAGUUGAGUCAAGUGGUUGUGGUACCCAGACAUUUUGAGUAUAUGUUCACUGACAGAACUAUUCUCCUCCAUCUUGCAGCUAUAGAACUUAUUGGAGACUUCAUAUCUCUCAAUCCGGGUAUUUUCUUGAAAUAUUAACUUCAACUCCUGGAACAUCCCAUAUGCUCCAUGACGUUAAAUGUCGUUGAAGUCCCGGUUCUAAGCCGUAAAGCAUGGCACACUGAACUAUCGAGUAGUCAUCAACACGCGUCUGCCGGGCAUUCACAAUGUCCGCAGUUGCUGGUGCGGGUGGUACACCUAGUGGUGCUUCGAGGACGUAAUUCUUCUGUGCAGCAAUGAGGAUAAUCCUCAAGUUACGGACCCAGUCCGUGUAAUUGCUACCAUCAUCUUUCAACUUAGCUUUCUCUAGGAACACAUUAAAAUUCAACGGAACAGUAGCACGGGCCAUUUAUCUACAACAACAUAGACAUGCAAAAUACUAUCAGGUACUAAGUUCAUGAUAAAUUAAAGUUCAAUUAAUCAUAUUACUUAAGAACUCCCACUUAGAUAGACAUCCCUCUAAUCAUCUAAGUGAUCACGUGAUCCAAAUCAACUAAACCAUGUCCGAUCAUCUCGUGAGAUGGAGUAGUUUUCAAUGGUGAACAUCACUAUGUUGAUCAUAUCUACUAUAUGAUUCACGCUUGACCUUUCGGUCUCAGUGUUCCGAGGCCAUAUCUGCAUAUUCUAGGUCGUCAAGUUUAACCCGAGUAUUUUGCGUGUGCAAAACUGGCUUGGACCCGUUGUAUGUGAACGUAGAGCUUAUCACACCCGAUCAUCACGUGGUGUCUUGGCACGAUGAACUGUCGCAACGGUGCAUACUCAGGGAGAACACUUAUACCUUGAAAUUUAGUGAGAGAUCAUCUUAUAAUGCUACAGCCGAACUAAGCAAAAUAAGAUGCAUAAAGGAUAAACAUCAUAUGCAAUCAAUAUAAGUGAUAUGAUAUGGCCAUCAUCAUCUUGUGCCUUUGAUCUCCAUCUCCAAAGCACCGUCAUGAUCACCAUCGUCACCAGCGCGACACCUUGAUCUCCAUCGUAGCAUCGUUAUCGGUGUCAGUGUCAAAACCGGCGGAUCUCGGGUAGGGGGUCCCGAACUGUGCGUCUAAGGUCGAUGGUUAAUAGGAGACGGGGGACACGAUGUUUACCCAGGUUCGGGCCCUCUCUAUGGAGGUAAUACCCUACUUCCUUCUUGAUUGAUCUUGAUGAAUAUGAGUAUUACAAGAGUUGAUCUACCACCAGAUCAUAAUGGCUAAACCCUAGAAGUCUAGCCUAUAUGACUAUGGUAAUGAGUGUAUCCUUUCCGGACUAUUCCCUCCGGUUUAUAUAGACACCGGGGGGAUCUAGGGUUACAUAAGAAGGAAUCUUCAUAGUUGGUCGCCAAGCUUGCCUUCCACGCCAAGGAGAGUCCAAUCCAAACAUGGGUAUAGUCUUCGGCCUUCAUGUCUUCACAGCCCAUAAGUCCGGCCCACUGAUAAUAGGUCGGACGCCCGAGGACCCCUUAGUCCAGGACUCCCUCAGUAGCCCCAGAACCUGGCUUCAAUGACGAGGAGUCCGGCGCGCAGAUUGUCUUCGGCAUUGCAAGGCGGGUUCCCUUUUUCCGAACUCCAAGAUAGUAUUCAGACGCGUUGAUAGUAUCCGGACCUGUCACACACACCAUACACAACCACAGAGGGAAUUUAACUUUACACAAGUCCAAUCUGCUGACAAAUUUUUGUAGCAUGCCAUCACGUCCGACCGGUCAUAAUUCUGAACCGUUUUAUGCCCGACGCCCCACGUCCCGAGAGGCGGUUGCUAUUGGCACGUCCUGUCAAAGCAGAGAUCGUGUCCCCUUAUCGUGGGAUUCUCAUUAAUGCGGGCAUGGGUAACCCAACCGUGCCGUUUACACAGGCCUUGGGAAUAGGUGUAUUCUAAGGCGAGUGGGGAGGCGUUCAAUAUUUACUACCUUUAUGAGGGGAUAAGGACUCCCUCUUCUUCUCCCAUGCCUUCUCUCUAUCUCUGCGCUUCCAAUCUCGAGCUCCAGCGCCCAAGUUCUCAUCUCCUUUCCACUCGAGCUAGCACUCAACCAUGUCCGGAUCUGGAGGUCAGGGCAAGUGGAUGAUCUCCUCCGUCAAGGAGGAGGACAUUACCGAGCUUCGGGUGGCCCGAUACUUGGCGAAGGAAAUCGCCCACCGUCUGCCGGCCGAGGGACAAGUCCUCCCGAUGCCGGAGCCCAACGAGAGGGUGGUAUUCAUCCCUCAUUUCUUCCACUGACUGGGUUUCCCGCUCCACCCUUUCGUCUGCGGGCUGAUGUAUUACUAUGGGAUAGAUUUCCACGAUCUGUCCCCAAACUCCUUCCUCAACAUCUCGGCGUUUAUCGUCGUGUGCGAGGCCAUCCUCCGCAUCCAACCCCACUUCGGGCUGUGGCUCAAAGUUUUCAACGUGAAGCCGAAGGUGGUGGAUGGCCAGCACGCGGAGUGCGGAGGAGCUAUGGUGAGUAAGUUGUCCAAUGUCUCCUGGCCGAAAGGCACUUUUGUGGAGACAGUAAAGGAGUGGCAGAAACAAUGGUUCUACAUCACGGAACCCCGCGGCACCACUAGAGCCGCAGCUGUCGAAUUCCGCUCCGACGCUCCCAUGUGACUCACCUCCUGGGUAGAGAAGAGUCCGGACUGGUGUUCGCCCGAUGACCUGAUUGCGCUCCAGACGCGCAUUCAGAGCAUGAUAGCCAAGAACGUCAAGCUUGUCGAUGUAAUUCAGGUGAUGCUGGUUCGCUGGAUCCUUCCGUGCCAAUGCAGAAGUCGUCCUCUGUGGGAUUUUAACCCGAAGAAGCGCCAAACCCUGGUGAGGCUCUUUGAAACUACUCACGAGCGUGCCUGGAAGUUGCUCUUCAAGGGCAACGAGAAACCGCAGGCCACGGAUUCGGACCGUGGGCACGACAUUAAGCACCUCGCCAGCGAGGUAUACUAUUUUUAACGUAUCCUCUACUUGCUUGUUUCGAGGAUGAUGUCUGAGCUUUUAUCAUUGCUGUUUCAGGAUUGGACGGAGAAGGCGAAGCGGAUCCAGUGUCCGGCUCCGCUGCCGGAAGAACCGGUCAUCCCGCGUCUAGCGAUGAUGCUGGUGCCGACGCCAUAUAAGGCGCCGGAGAAGAAGGCCAAGGGGGCCAAAGUUGGCCCCCGUCGCAAAGGCGCUUCGGAUGUGACGUCCGAAGACGAAGAAGCCCAUUCCUCCGUCCCUGAGGACAAUGACGAGGAAGAGGAGGAGGAGGAGGAGGAGGAGAAGAACCUUCCUCCUAAGGAGGGAAAGAAGAAAAGGGGGGCCUCCACGAAUCUGGAGGCGGGAACGCCCAAGAAGGGGAAGGGCGCCCCUGCGGUCAACACCGUGUGGGACGUUGACAGCAGUUCGGAGCGACGCCUUCGCACUAAGCCUCGGGACGCAUUGUAAGUGCUAUGACUCACAUAUACAUGUGUACCCGGCCUCUCAUUCUUAUUGUUUUAACGUGGUUAAUUGUGCUAUUGCAGUCCGGCCCGUGACAGCAUCCAGUGAUCCUCAUCCGGAGGUUCGUUGGAUCCAACGGAAAUGGCCAGCAUGUCGCCACCGCCCGCUUAUUCUCCCGAGGUCAAAGAUGACACCGAAGUGUUGUCUCGGAGGACUGCUCCAAGCCGGGGAAGGGCCCAGGACAAUAACCCGGAGGCGCCGCAAGGCGAGACCUCCGCUGCCGAACAUGAUUCCCCUGAAGACUGGCGAGGAGGGACGUAUUCAGUUCGGCCCUCAGCCGAACAUGAUUCCGGGGACCAAUAAGGCCUCGGAAUCCGGCUAGCGCCCUCCUUCAAAGGAGGGAGGUGCGCCAAUUCUAUCGGUGGCCCCUGUCCAACCAGGGGCGCCGAAUAACCCGAUGGAGGCGCUGCAAGGCGCCUGCAUUAUGGACGAGCAUCGUGUCCUUAUUGGUAUGGUGAUCGAGAAGGUUCAGUCUGCCAAAAGCGGACUAAACGAGGCCUGAGCAACCUGUUAACAGGUUUUGAGGUAAGUUGCGUAGAAAGAGAACAACCCCAUGCAGAUAGUAGCCCCUGAGACACUGUCCGGUGUUCGAAAAGAAAGGCCGGACAGAGGAUCAACCCUUUGUAGGAGACUAACUUGAUAUGCGCAAAUGAGCAGGCGUCGCUAUUGGCCGCGACCUCUCAUGCUGCCAAAGUCUCUGAUCUGAGGCAGAGACUGGAGCGGGCCGAGAACGAGCUCAGUGAGGCGAAGAUUCAGCUCCAGGAGAGGCAAGGUGAGCGACGACUUGUUGUGUAUUCGGAAAGAAUAAGCGGGGAGUAUUGACCGCAGUGUCAUACUAUGUGUAGGGGCGGCGACCGAGGUCAAGGCCCUGAAAAAUGCCCUGGCCGAAGCCGAGGGGAAGGCUGUCCAGCAGCAAGCCGCCCAUAAGAAGCUCAAGGCCCGGGUCAGCGAGGUCCAGCAGGAGCUCCAGGACGCGGUGAAGAAGUGCGAAGUCUUGGAGCGCGAGGCGUCGGUUCAAGAGGCCAAAUUUACCAAGGCUCGCCAGAGCGCGGAUACUGCACGGAAUGAGGCCCGGGACGCUCUCCAUGAGAUACAGGAGGCCAAGAAGGUCGCAGCGGGUAAGGCCUUUAACAUGCAAAGCAAGUAUGUGGAGAGGAAGUACCUUUUACUAACCCGGAUUCGGAGUUGUCCAGGGGCCUUUGCGGAUCUACCAUGCAACGUGUCCAAUUAUGCGGAGUUCUUCCGAGCCAGAGAAGGGAGCUCCACGGAGAAGCUGUUCUGGUCGCAGUAUGCUGUGCCAGAACAUCCGGUGCGCUUUGUCGAUCAACUGAAGCAGUUGGUCGAGCUGCAUAGAGUGGCCGAACUGGCCAUGAAGGAUUUAAUAAUCCGGCUGUGGCCAGCCGAAGCUAUGCCUAGCAGCUAUUUUGGCCUUGUGCAGCGGGUGGUAGAAGCCUGUCCGCGGCUAGACAUCGUCAAGCAAUCAGUCUGCAUCGAAGGUGCCCGCAUGGCCUUCGCCCAUUGCAAGAUGUGAUGGGCAAAGAUGGACGCCGUCGAGGUGGCCAGGGGGCCGCCAGAGGGCAAGGAGCACCGCACACCCGAGCGAUAUUUUGCGGAUGUCCUAGAAGGGUUUCGACUUGCAGCAGCGCAGUGCGGGCAGGACAUUGUUUUUGAAUGAAUACACUUGUGUUUUGUCCUUGCCUUGUAUGAUAAAAACGAAGCCGGUUUGUAAUACAAUGUUUGUUAUGUUUUAAUUGUUUCUUCCUAUGCGGCUGUGUUGUAUGAAAUCUGAGGGUUGGCCAGUCGUCGGCUUCCGCCCUCACGUAGGUAGUAUGGAGGUGUUCGGGAUGGAAUCUAAACAAUCUUUAUCCAAUUAUAUGGUCCUUAAAGGAGUUGUUUAGCGCAACGAACCAGGCAAUCAGACUAUGCAUCUUAAACACCCUCAUUUAGCCAUAGGAGUUUUAUAAUAAAACAUGGGCGCAGCCCCUGGUAUACGAACCAGAGUGCUGUCAGCGCCUGAUCGGGAAGUACCGAUCCUUCGCAUAACGCGGAAAAAAUCUCCGGCGAUUUUCAACCUCUCGAACAGCUGACCGGCUCUCGCCGCAUCAUGACAGUAAGUUUUUGGCUUUCUCUACUGAGGUGCUCAUCUGGGUAAACCAGGGCACAAUCGCAGUAGUUCUCCCUUUACUACCCUAGCCGAUGUAGCGGAACGUAGGGUAGCAAGCACAGGAGCCGGGCAACCCAACUAUUGACCAAAGACAUGAUUCGGAGCCAAUGCAUAUAAUGCUAAAUUCGGGGUGCCGAACAUAUCUAUAAGAAGUGUUCGGACUUUGUUGCUGUAUUAUGGGGCGGUGAGGAGCCCCUGGCAAAUAUGAAACAUACCAAAGUGUACGGGUGCUAGAAUGCAAGUAAUUAAUGGCAAAGGAAAACAGAAAAAGAGCAGAGGUAAUAUCUGUGGCCCUUGAACCUGGGCCAUGAACUGUUUCCAUUAUAAUUGGAUUGAUGUGUUAAAGCGCAUCGACACAAAUAGUGCGAUCAACACCCGGCUAUUUAACAUGCUGCCACCGAAGGCGAGCUGCGUGUGAGUCCUGAAAACAGGUAGAGUAAUUGUUAAAUUGACCUCUAGAGUUUCUCUUGUCCGCCUGUGCUUCGCGCCGCUCUGGUGUAUUUAUCCUUGGACUGGGCCAGCAAUCAGGCCCUCGAAGGAGGCAUGUGUAAAACCUGAGAAGGGAAGAGGAAAUAGUUAAGGUGUAUGUGAGUCCGGGAUCGGUCUAGCCGAACUAUGGAUCACAAGCUAGUUGUGCCUCCGUCGACGCCCAUGGAAUUUUGAGUGCGUAAUUAUGUACGUAUGGCACGAAUGCCACUGCCUCAUCGGGACUGGGACGGAGGCCGAAUUGCUAAUCGAGCUCUUGACGAGCCGAGCUAUCCUGUUGCAGUGUAGUCCGGACCCUCUUAAUGAUGUCCAGGGGCUCGGCAGCCGGAUUAUGGUGCUUCUUGAGAAGGCCGCUCUAUACCUUUGCUGCCAGGGCGGCGGUGUGCUCUUCUGUACAGAGGGAGCGUUCCGUGUUUCCAUUGACUGUUAUGACGCCGCAUGGACCAGGCAUCUUGGGCUUGAGAUAAGCAUAGCGUGGUACCGCGCUGAAUCUUGCAAACGCGGUUCGUCCGAGCAGUGCAUGAUAGCCGCUGCGGAAGGGGACGAUAUCGAAGAUGAUCCCUUCGCUUCGGAAGUUAUCCGGGGAACCGAAGACCACUUCCAGCAUGAUUGAGCCCGUACAACGGGCCUCUACGCCUGGUAUGACUCCUUUAAAGGUAGUCUUUGUGGGUUUGAUUCGUGAGGGGUUGACGCCCAUUUUGCGCACUAUAUCCUGAUAGAGCAGGUUGAGGCUGCUACCCCCGUCCAUUAGGACUCGUGUUAGGUGAAAUUCGUCGAUGAUUGGGUCGAGGACCAGUGCAGCCGAACCGCCAUGGCGAAUACUAGUUGGAUGAUGUCGACGACCGAAGGUGAUCGGGAAUGAUGACCACGGGUUUAAUUUUGGGGCGACUGGCUCUACUGCGUAGACGUCCCUGAGUGCGCGCUUGCGCUCCCUUUUGGGGAUGUGUGUGGCGUAUAUCAUGUUCACCGUUUUGAGUUGAGGGGGAAAUUUCUUCUGCCCCCCAGUGUUCGGCUGCCGGGGCUCUUCGUCAUCGUCCUUACUUUGUGAUCCCUUUUCCUUGUUCUCGGCAUUUAACUUGCCGGCCUUUUUAAAAACCCAACAAUCUCUGUUGGUAUGAUUGGCUUGUUUGUCUGGGGUGCCAUGUAUUUGGCACGGACGGUCGAGUAUGCGGUCCAAGCUGGAUGGUCCUUCACUGUUCCUUUUGUAGGGCUUCUUCCGCUGACCGGACUUGGAGCCGCUGAAUCCGGCGUGAACCACAGUGUCAUCGGUGUUAUCGCCAUUGCUUCAGCGUUUGUGUCUAUUGCGCCGGAGCUUGCCGGUGCUGUUUUUGGCUUCGGAGGGGCCUGCCUCGUUGGCUGUGUUUUUGCUACGAGCCAGCCAGCUGUCCUCACCCGCACAAAAGCGGGUCAUGAGUGCCGUGAGGGCUGCCAUAGAUUUCGGCUUUUCUUGGCCGAGGUGGCGGGCGAGCCAUUCGUCACGGAUGCUGUGUUUGAAGGCCGCUAGGGCUUCGGCAUCCGGACAGUCAACGAUCUGGUUCUUUUUGGUUAGGAACCUAGUCCAGAAUUUCCUUGCGGACUCUCCAGGUUGUUGAACUAUAUGACUUAAGUCAUCAGCGUCUGGUGGCCGAACAUAAGUGCCUUGGAAGUUGUCAAGGAAAGCUUCUUCCAAGUCCUCCCAGUUGCCGAUGGAAUUUUUGGGCAAGCUAUUUAACCAGUGUCUAGCUGGUCCAUUUAGCUUUAGUGGGAGGUAUUUGAUGGCGUGGAGAUCGUCUCCUCAGGCCAUAUGGAUGUGGAGAAUAAAAUCUUUGAUCCAUACUGCGGGAUCAGUUGUUCCAUCGUAUGACUCAAUAUUGACGGGCUUGAACCCCUCAGGGAAUUCAUGAUCCAGCACUUCAUCUGUGAAGCAAAGAGGGUGUGCGGUGCCUCUAUAUCGGGAAGUGGCGCGGCGCACCUCUGAUGAAGUCUGCCCGCGGUUAUCGGCCUGGGCGUGACUAGGUUUGUCACGUCCGAAUAGGUAGCCGUCAUCCCGAGUCGGAAGGCGUCCUCGCGAUCCGUAGAUUGAUUUGGUGUGUCCUGCUUUACUGUCCAGUUCCUGCCGAAGGUCGUAUGUAUAGUCCCGAGCUAUUUUGUCUUUGUUUUUGCGAGGCGGUGGGGCGGGCUGCUGGUUGGCAUGAGUUGUCGCUUUUUCCCGACGGCGGGGUGGUCGGUCCACCGCACUGUCCCGCUCGCGCGGUGGUCGUUCCGCAUUGCGCGAGGGAGGUAUGGGCUCCGGUGCCUCCUCAUCAAACUGAGGUAGCAGUCUGCGCUUCUGGUAACUCUUGGCUGGACGCUUGAGGCCGUAUUCUUCGGCUGCCAGGACAUCAGUCCAUCUGUCAAUGAGUAGGUCUUGAUCAGCUUGAAGCUGCUGCUGCUUUUUCUUCAAGCUUCUUGCAGUGGCAAUUAGCUGUUGCUUGAAGCGCUCCUGCUCGAGGGGUGCCUCAGGCACGAUGAAGUCCUCGUUGCCGAGGCUCUCCUCAUCCUCGGAGAGCGGAUGAUAACUAUCGUCAUCCGGGUCGUUGGGCAUGGCCUGUUUAUCAGGGUUAACUUGCCCGUUGUCUUGUUCCUCCUGUUCGGAUGUUGCUCCAACAGUGUCUUCGUUGUUUUCGGCGUCAUCCGGAGUAUUAUUUUCUCCGGUGCAAGUGUUGCCGUCUUUUGAGCGACGUGGCUUAGAACGGCGUUUAGGGCGCCGACGCUUGGACUGUGUCUCAGGAGGUUUAUUCUCAACUGGAUCUUCUUUGUCAUCGUCGCUAGCCUUUUUAGGUGUGUCGACGUACACAUCGUACGAAGAGGUAGCCGUCCAACAUCCAGUGAAUGGCAGGUUUUGACCCUGCUCCUCCUCGUCAUCAUCGUCUAUGUCGUCGAUGUAUUCGGAGCCGUAAUCAAGCGUGUCGGUUAAGUCAUCGAGAGUGGCUAUGAAGUGGGUGGCGGGUGGGAAGCAAAAUUCUCCGUCGUCAGCCCCUAGUUCGAACCGGACAUAGUUCGGCUGUGAGUCCCCCGCCAAGGAUAGGUUAUUUAACGAGUUUAGCAUGUCACCCAGGGGCGAGUGUUGGAAGAUGUCUGCGGCGUCGAAUUCGAAAAUCGAUAAUUGAUCCAGCUCAGUGUCCGCAGGCGUACGUGGUUCGGAACUUAUAGUCGGAGACGAGUCCGGAGUUCCGUUGACGCAAAUAUUGCAAGGUGUCGAGUCUGUGUGCGGCUCCAACGCCGCGGACUCUGUGGCCUCGGAUGGCGCAAUCUACUCCGGAUUAAUGGCCGUUGCAGAUACAGGAACCAUCUCCUGGAUGUGAUCCAAUGACAGAUUUAAGUCAUGUUGAUCGGAGCGAGGGGGAGCGAUCGCCGCGGUCUCGAAUCCGUUGAAGAUCAGGUCUCCACGGAUGUCCGCGACGUAGAUCAAGCUUCUAGAUCUGGCUCGAUGGCCAGGGGCGUAGCUGUUGAUCUGCUCCACAUGGCCAAGCGAGUUGGCCCGCAGUACGAAGCCGCCGAAUACGAAGAUCUGUCCGGGGAGGAAGGUUUCUCCCUGGACAGCGUCCCUAUCGACGAUUGAAGGGGCCAUUGAACCUUUCGUCGACGACACAAUGGAACUCUCAAUGAAAGCACCAAUGUCGGUGUCAAAACCGGCGGAUCUCGGGUAGGGGGUCCCGAACUGUGCGUCUAAGGUCGAUGGUUAACAGGAGACGGGGACACGAUGUUUACCCAGGUUCGGGCCCUCUCUAUGGAGGUAAUACUCUACUUCCUGCUUGAUUGAUCCUGACGAAUAUGAGUAUUACAAGAGUUGAUCUACCACGAGAUCGUAAUGGUUAAACCCUAGAAGUCUAGCCUGUAUGACAAUGGUAAUGAGUGUAUCCUUUCCGGACUACUCCCUCCGGUUUAUAUAGACACCGGGGGGAUCUAGGGUUACAUAGAGUCGGUUACAUAAGAAGGAAUCUUCAUAGUUGGUCGCCAAGCUUGCCUUCCACGCCAAGGAGAGUCCAAUCCGGACACGGGUAUAGUCUUCGGCCUUCAUGUCUUCACAGCCCAUAAGUCCGGCCCACUGAUAAUAGGUCGGACACCCGAGGACCCCUUAGUCCAGGACUCCCUCAGUCGUCUCACCAACUAUUGCUUCUACGACUAACGCUACCGCUUAGUGAUAAAGUAAAAACAAUUACAUGGCGAUUGCAUUGCAUACAAUAAAGCGACAACCAUAUGGCUCCUGCCAGUUGCCGAUAACUCUGUUACAAAAUAUGAUCAUCUCAUACAAUAAAAUAUAGCAUCAUGUCUUGACCAUAUCACAUCACAACAUGCCCUGCAAAAACAAGUUAGACGUCCUCUACUUUGUUGUUGCAAGUUUUACGUGGCUGCUACAGGCUUAGCAAGAACCGUUCUUAUCUACACAUCAAAAAAACCACAACGAUUUUUCGUCAAGUGUGUUGUUUUAACCUUCAACAAGGACCGGGCGUAGCCACACUCGAUUCAACUAAAGUUGGAGAAACAGACACCCACUGGACACCUGUGUGCGAAGCACGUCGGUAGAACCAGUCUCGCGUAAGCGUACGCAUAAUAUCGGUCUGGGCCGCUUCAUCCAACAAUACCGCUGAAUCAAAGUAUGACAUGCUGGUCAGCAGUAUGACUAUUAUCGCCCACAAUUCUUUGUGUUCUACUCGUGCAUAUAACAUCUACGCAUAGACCUGGCUCGGAUGCCACUGCUGGGAAACGCAGUAAUUUCAAAAAAAUUCCUACGAACACGCAAGAUCUAUCUAUGUGAUGCAUAGCAACGAGAGGGGAGAGUUUUGUCUACGUACCCUCGUAGACCGAAAGCGGAAGCGUUAUGACAACGCGGUUGAUGUAGUCGUACGUCUUCACGAUCCGAUCGAUCCUAGCACCGAAGGUACGGCACCUCCGCGAUCUGCACACGUUCAGCUCGGUGACGUCCCACGAACUCUAGAUCCAGCUGAGGUCGAGGGAGAGUUUCGUCAGCACGACGGCGUGAUGACGGUGAUGAUGAAGUUACCAACGUAGGGCUUCACCUAAGCACUACAACGACAUGACCGAGGUGGAAAUCUGUGGAGGGGGGCACCGCACACGGCUAAGACAACUGUCAACUUGUGUGUUCUAGGGUCCCCCUGCCCCCGUAUAUAAAGGAGCAAGGGGGAGGCCGGUCGGCCCUCAUGGGGCGCUCCCCAAGUAGGAUUCCUACUAGGAAUCCUAUUCCUAGUAGGUUUCCAACAAGGGAAGAGAGGGGGAAGGAAGGAGAGGGAGAGUGGGAGAAGGAAAGGGGGCGCCGCCCCCUUCCCUAGUCAAAUUCAGACCCAAGGGGGAGGGGGGGCGCGGCCUGCCCUAGCCGCCCCUCUCUCUCUCUCUCUCCACUAAGGCUCAUGUGGCCCAUUAGUUCCCCCGGGGGGUUCCGGUAACCCUUUGGCACUCCAGUUUCAUCCGAAAUUUCUCUGGAACAUUUCCGGUGUCUGAAUAUAGUCGUCCAAUAUAUCAAUCUUUAUGUCUCGACCAUUUCAAGACUCCUCGUCAUGUCUGUGAUCACAUCCCGGACUCCGAACUACCUUCGGUACAUCAGAACGCAUAAACUCAUAAUACCGAUCGUCACUGAACGUUAAGCGUGCGGACCCUACGGGUUCGAGAACUAUGUAGACAUGACCGAGACUCACUUCCGUUCAAUAACCAAUAGCGGAACCUGGAUGCUCAUAUUGGUUCCUACAUAUUCUACGAAGAUCUUUAUCAGUCAAACCGCAUAACAACAUACGUUGUUCCCUUUGUCAUCGGUAUGUUACUUGCCCGAGAUUCGAUCGUCGGUAUCUCAAUACCUAGUUCAAUCUCAUUACCGGCAAGUCUCUUUACUCGUUCCGUAAUGCAUCAUCCCGCAACUAACUCAUUAGUCGCAUUGCUUGCAAGGCUUAUAGUGAUGUGCAUUACCGAGAGGGCCCAGAGAUACCUCUCCGUAAAAUGGAGUGACAAAUCCUAAUCUCGAUCUAUGCCAACCCAACAAACACCAUCGAAGACACCUGUAGAGCAUCUUCAUAAUCACCCAGUUACGUUGUGACAUUUGAUAGCACACUAAGUGUUCCUCCGGUACUCAGGAGUUGCAUAAUCUCGUAGUCACAGGAACAUGUAUAAGUUAUGAAGAAAGCUAUAGCAAUAAACUAAACGAUCAUAGUGCUAAGCUAACGGAUGGGUCAAGUCAAUCACAUCAUUCUCUAAUGAUGUGAUCCCGUUCAUCAAAUGACAACACAUGUCUAUGAUUAGGAAACUUAACCAUCUUUGAUUAACAAGCUAAUCAAAGUAGAGGCAUACUAGUGACACUCAGUUUGUCUAUGUAUUCACACAUGUACUAAGUUUCCGGUUAAUACAAUUAUAGCAUGAAUAAUAAACAUUUAUCAUGAUAUAAGGAAAUAUAAAGGCUUGCCGAUCAUUGGGCAAGUCCACCAAAGUCCAUACUUUGUUCUCAUACAUGGAAGCUUUUCCUCUGCAGGGGCCUUGUGUAGUAAACCCCAUGUCGUAGGGGUGGGUAGGCCAAUAGAAGACUAGGGAACUUAGCCUAGCCACUCAGUUCUGCCCCGAGCCAAGCUAUCUCAGAUUUCAUGGCCUCAAGCCAUUUUGCGGAAUCUGGGCUCAUCAUCGCUUCCUGAAAGUUCGUAGGUUCAUCAUGGUCUAGUAAUAUGACUUCCAGAACAGGAUUACCGUACCACUCUGGUGCGGAACGUGCUCUGGUUUACCUACAAGGUUCGGUAGUAACUCGAGCUUAUCAGGCUGAAGCCUUUUGACAUAUGUGUCACAACCUCAAACUUUAAGAAACGACAGCUUAGGUUUCUUGCCAAACCACAGUUCAUACGGUGUCGUCUCAACGGAUUUAGACGGUGCCCUAUUUAACGUGAAUGCAGCUAUCUCUAAUGCAUAAACCCAAAACGAUAGUGGUAAAUCGAUAAGAGACAUCAUAGAUCGCACCAUAUCUAAUAAAGUACGGUUACGAUGUUCGGAGACACCAUUACGCUGUGGUGUUCAAAGUGGCGUGGGUUGUGAAACUAUUCCACAUUGUUUUAAAUGAAGGACAAACUCAUAACUCAAAUAUUAACCUCCGCGAUCAGAUUGUAGAAACUUUAUUUUCUUGUCACGAUGAUUCUCCACUCGACUCUGAAAUUCCUUGAACUUUUCAAAUGUUUCAGAUUUGUGUUUCAUUAAGUAGAUAUACCCAUAUCUGCUCAAAUCAUCUGUGAAGGUCAGAAAAUAACGAUACCUGCCGCGUGCCUCAACACUCAUCGGACCGCAUACAUCGGUAUGUAUUAUUUCGAAUAAGUCAAUUGGCUCGCUCCAUUGUUCCGGAGAACGGAGUUUUAGUCAUCAUGCCCAUGAGGCAUGGUUCGCAAGUAUCAAAUGAUUCAUAAUCAAGUGAUUCCAAAAAUCCAUCCGUAUGGAGUUUCUUCAUGCGCUUCACACCAAUAUGACCUAAACGGCAGUGCCACAAGUAUGUUGCACUAUCAUCAUCAACUUUGCAUCUUUUGGCAUCAAUAUUAUGAAUAUGUGUAUUACUACGAUCGAGAUUCAAUAAACCAUUUACGUUGGGUGUAUGACCAUAGAAGGUUUUAUUCAUGUAAACAGAACAACAAUUAUUCUCUGACUUCAAUGAAUAACGUAUUGCAAUAAACAUGAUCCAAUCAUAUUCAUGCUCAAUGCAAACACCAAAUAACAUUUAUUUAGGUUCAACACUAACCCCGAAGGUAGAAGGAGUAUGCGAUGGUGAUCUUAUCAACCUUGGAAUCACUUCCAACACACAUCAUUACCUUGCCCUUAACUAGUCUUUGUUCAUUUUGCAACUCCCGUUUCGAGUUACUAAUCUUAGCAAAUGAACCGGCAUCAAAUACUCUAGGGUUACUAUGAACACUAGUAAAUUACACAUCAAUAACAUGUAUAUCAAAUAUACCUUUGUUCACUUUGCCAUCCUUCUUAUUCGCCAAUUAUUUGGGGUAGUUCCGCUUCCAGUGACCAUUCUCUUUGCAGUAGAAGCACUCAAUUUCAGGCUUAGGUCUAGCUUUGGGCUUCUUCACGGGAGUGUCAACUUGCUUGUCAUUCUUCUUAAAGUUCCCUUUCUUUUCCUUUGCCCUUUUUCUUGAAACUAGUGGUCUUGUUAACCAUCAACACUUGAUGCUCUUUCUUGAUUUCUACCUUCACCGAUUUUAGCAUCGCGACGAGCUCAGGGAUCGUUUUCGUCAUCCCUUGCGUAUUAUAGUUCAUCACGAAGUUCUAUUAACUUUGGUGAUAGUGACUAGAGAACUUUGUCAAUCACUAUCUUAUCUGGAAGAUUAACUCCCACUUGAUUCAAGCGAUUGUAGUACUUAGACAUUCUGAGCAUAUGCUCACUGGUUGAGCUAUUCUCCACCAUCUUGUAGGCAAAGUACUUGUCAGAGGUCUCAUACCUCUUGACUCAGGCAUGAGUCCGAAAUACCAAUUUCAGCUCUUGGAACAUCUUAUAUGCUCCGUGGCGUUCAAAACAAUUUCAUAACGUCUGCAUCUGCUCCUGCAAUAGGUCCGUCACCUAGCGGUGCCUCAAGGACAUAAUUCUUAUGUGCAGCAAUGAGGAUAAUCCUCAGAUCACGGACCCAGUCCGCAUCAUUGCUACUAUCAUCUUUAAACUUAUUUUUCUCUAGGAACAUAUCAAAAAUAAAGAAGGAGCUACAUCGCAAGCUAUUGAUCUACAACAUAGAUAUGCAAAUACUAUCAGGACUAAGUUCAUGAUAAAUUAAGUUCAAUUAAUCAUAUUACUUAAGAACUCCCACUUAGAUAGACAUCCCUCGAGUCAUCUAAAUGAUCACGUGAUCCAAAUCAACUAAACCAUGUCCGAUCAUCACGUGAGAUGGAGUAGUCUUCAAUGGUGAACAUCUCUAUGUUGAUCAUAUCUACUAUAUGAUUCAUGUUCGACCUUUCGGUCUCCAGUGUUCCGAGGCCAUGUCUGUACAUGCUAGGCUCGUCAAGUUUAACCCGAGUAUUCCGCAUGUGCAAAACUGUCUUGCACCCAUUGUAUGUGAACGUAGAGCCUAUCACACCCGAUCAUCACGUGGUGUCUCAGCACGAAGAACUUUCGCAACGGUGCAUACUAAGGGAGAACACUUAUACCUUGAAAUUUAGUUAAGGGAUCAUCUUAUAAUGCUACCGAAGUACUAAGCAAAAUAAGAUGCAUAAAAGAUAAACAUCACAUGCAAUCAACAUAUGUGACAUGAUAUGGCCAUCAUCAUCUUGUGCCUUUGAUCUCCAUCUCGAAAGCAUUGUCAUGAUCUCCAUCGUCACUGGCUUGACACCUUGAUCUCCAUCAUAGCGUCGUGGUCGUCUCGCCAACUAUUGCUUCUACAACUAUUGCUAACGCAUAGUGAUAAAGUAAAGCAAUUACAUGGCGUUUGCAUUUCAUACAACAAAGCGACAACCAUAAGGCUCCUGCCAGUUGCCGAUAACUUUUACAAAACUUGAUCAUCUCAUAUAGCAACGUAUAUCACGUCAUGUCUUGACCAUAUCACAUCACAACAUGCCCUGCAAAAACAAGUUAGACGUCCUCUACUUUGUUGUUGCAAGUUUUAAGUGGCUGCUAUGGGCUUCUAGCAAGAAUCGUUCUUACCUACGCAUCAAAACCACAAUGGUGAUUUAUCAAGUUUGCUGUUUUAACCUUCAACAAGGACCGGCCGCAGUCAAAUUCGAAUCAACUAUAGUAGGAGAAACAGACACCCGCCAGCCACCUUUAUGCAAAACUAGUUGCAUGUUUGUCGGUGGAACCAGUCUCAUUAACGUGGUCAUGUAAGGUUGGUCUGGGCCGCUUCAUCCAACAAUACCGCCGAAUCAAAAUAAGACAUUGGUGGUAAGCAGUAUGAUGAUCACCGCCCACAACUCUUUAUGUUCUACUCGUGCAUAUCAUCUACGCAUAGACCUGGCUCCGAUGCCACUGUUGGGAAACGUAUCAUGCAAUUUCAAAAAUUUCCUACGCUCACGCAAGACCUAUCUAGGAGAUGCAUAGCAACGAGAGGGGAGAGUGUGUCUAUGUACCCUCGUAGACCGUUAAGCGGAAGCGUUUAUCACGCGGUUGAUGUAGUCAUACUCUUCAUGAUCCGAUCACGGUCCAAACGAUCUAGUGCCGAACGGACGGCACCUCCGAGUUUAGCACACGUGUGGCUCGAUGACGUCUCCUCCUUCUUGAUCCAGCAAGCAGGAGAGGAGAAGUAGAUGGGAUCACAACCAACACGAUGGCAUGGUGGUGAUGGUGGUGGUGGAACACCGACAGCGCUUUGCUAAGCGUCGCCGGGACGAGGCGGUGGAACUACGGAGUAACGGGAGAGAGAGGGGCGCCAAGGGCUUGGUGUAUUCUCCAGGGGCACCCCUCCCCUAUAUAUAUAGGUGGAGGGGCAUGGUAAAUAGCCCCUCCAAGCCCUAGGUCGCAGCUAAGGGGGAGAGGACUUGGACUCCAAGUCCAAUCCUAUUCCUACUAGGACUCCUUCCUUUUUUGCCUUCCCUAGCCACAUGAGCUUUUGAGGACUUGGUGUGCUUAGCCCAAUAACGCCAGGGCGCCUCCCCACAGCCCAUGCUAGCCCUUGGGUCGUGGUGGAACCACUUGUGGACUUCCGGAACCCUCCGGAAUCCUUUGGAACCUUCUAGAAGCUUCCUGGUACAAUACCGAAAAAACUGCUUCUUUUUCAGGAACGAAAAAUAUGACUUCCCAUAUAUAAAGCUUUACCUCUCGACCAUUCCGAGACUCCUCGUGACGUCCGGGAUCUCAUCCAGGACUCCGAACAACAUUUGAUUACCACUCAUCAAAUAUCCCAAUACUACUCUAGCGUCAACGAACGUUAAGCGUGCGACCCUGCGGGUUCGGGAAUUAUGUAGUCAUGAAUGAGACACUUCUCCGGUCAAUAACCAACAGCGGAACCUGGAUGCUCAUAUUGGCUCCUACGUAUUCUACGAAGAUCUUUAUCGGUCGAACCGUUAUGACAACAUAAGUUAUUCCCUUUGUCUAUCGGUAUGUUACUUGCCCGAGAUUCGAUCGUCGAUAUCUUCAUACCUAGUUAUAUCUCGUUACCGGCAAGUCUCUUUACUCGUUCUGUAAUACAUCAUCCCGCAACUAACUCAUUAGUCACAUUGCCUGCAAGGCUUAUUAUGAUGUGCAUUACCGAGAGGGCCCAGAGAUACCUCUUCGAUACUCGGAGUGACAAAUCCUAAUCUUGAUCUAUGCCAACCCAACAAACACCUUCCGAGAUACCUAUAGAGCAUCUUUAUAAUCACCCAGUUACAUUGUGACGUUUGAUAGCACACAAGGCAUUCGUCCGGUAUCCGGGAGUUGCAUAAUCUCAUAGUCGAAGGAAUAUGUAUUUGACAUGAAGAAAGCAAUAUCAAUAAACUGAACGAUCAUUAUGCUAAGCUAAUGGAUGGGUCUUGUCCAUCACAUCAUUCUCCUAAUGAUGUGAUCCCGUUUAUCAAAUGACAACACAUGUAUGUGGUUAGGAAACUUAACCAUCUUUGAAUAACGAGCUAGUCUAGUAGAGGCUUACUAGGGACACGUUGUUUUGUCUAUGUAUCCACACAUGUAUCAAGUUUCCGGUUAAUACAAUUCUAGCAUGAAUAAUAAACAUUUAUCAUGAUAAAAGGAAAUAUAAAAUAACAACUUUAUUAUUGCCUCUAGGGCAUAUUUCCUUCGUCGUUAGCUUAGCAUAAUGAUCAUUCCGUUUUAUUGCUAUUGCUUUCUUCAUGUCAAAUACAUAUUCCUUCGACUAUGAGAUUAUGCAACUCCCGGAUACCGGAGGAAUGCCUUGUGUGCUAUCAAACGUCACAAUGUAACUGGGUGAUUAUAAAGAUGCUCUACAUGUAUCUCCGAAGGUGUUUUUUGAGUUGGCAUAGAUCGAGAUUAGGAUUUGUUACUCCGAGUAUCGAAGAGGUAUCUCUGGGCCCUCUCGGUAAUACACAUCAUAAGCUUGCAAGCAAACGACUAAGGAGUUGGUCACGAGGUGAUGUAUUAUGGAUUGAGUAAAGAGACUUGCCGGUAACGAGAUUGAACUAGGUAUGAAGAUACCGACAAUCGAAUCUCGGGCAAGUAACAUACCGAUAGACAAAGGGAAUUACGUAUGGUGUCAUAACGGUUCGACUGAUAUAGAUCUACGUAGAAUAUGUAGGAGCCAAUAUGGGCAUCUAGGUUCCGCUAUUGGUUAUUGACCGAGGAGGUGUCUCGGUCAUGUCUACAUAGUUCUCGAACCCGUAGGGUCCGCACGCUUAACGUUCGUUGACGAUAUAGUAUUAUAUGAGUUAUGUGAUUUGGUGACCGAAUAUUGUUCGGAGUCCCGGAUGAGAUCACGGAAAUGACGAGGAGUCUCUAAAUGGUCGAGAGGUAAAGAUUGAUAUAUAGGACGAUGGUAUUCGGACACUGGAAGUGUUCUAGAGGGUACCGGGUACUUAUCGGAUCACCGGAAAGGAGUUUCGGGCACCCCCGGCAAAAAUAUGGGCCUUAUGGGCCAAGUGAGGGAACACACCAGCCCUGGUGCGCCCCUAUAGAGGCCCGCCCGAUGAGGAGGAGAAGGAAAGAGGGGAGGGCAAGGAAAGUAUGGAUUGGGAUUCCUACUUCCUUCCCUCUCCCCCCGUCUUUCCUUCCCCCUCGGUUAUAUAUGACAGGGGGCGGCUUGGGAGGGACUCCAAGUAGGAUUCCUCCUACUUGGGCGCCUCCUAUGGCUGCUCCUCCCUCCCUCCCACCUAUAUAUAUGAGGAGGGGGCGCCUAGCACACAACAGACAAUUGCCUAGCCGUGUGCGGCGCCCCCCUCCAUAAUUUACACCCCCGGUCAUAUUCUUGCAGUGCCUAGGCGAAGCCCUGCGAGGAUCACUUCACCAUCACCGUCACCACACCAUCGUGCUGACGGAACUCAUCUACUACCUCGACGUCUUGCUGGAUCAAGAAGACGAGGGACGUUACCAAGCUGAACGUGUGCAGAACUCGGAGGUGUCGUACGUUCGGUACUCGAUCGAUGAACCGCGUUGUGAAACGCUUCCACUUACGGUCUACGACUGUACGUAGACACACUCUCCCCCUCGUUGCUAUGCAUCUCCAUGGAUAGAUCAUUGCGUGUGCGUAGAAUUUUUUUUGUUUUCCAUGCAACAAUUCCCAACAGUGGCAUCAUGAGCCAGGUCUAUGCGUAGAUGAUAUGCACGGGUAGAACACAAAGAGUUCUGGGCGGUGAUAGUCAUACUGCUUACCACCAAUAUCUUAUUUUGAUUCGGCGGUAUUGUGGGAUGAAGCGGUCCGGACCAACAUUACAUGUCCACGCACAUGAGACCGGUUCCACCGACUACAUGCAACUAGUUUUGCAUAAAGGUGGCUGGCGGGUGACUGUUUCUCCUACUUUAGUUGAAUGAGGCGGCAACGAUCGGUGAUGUCGAAGAGCCCAGAACUAGAGUUAAUGUAGAUUCGGGCCAUCAGGGCCAAAGGCACCAGGACGCCGACAAGCCGAAGAUGCUAGAGAGGACGCAACCUUCGGAACGAUUGUGAUAGAGCCACGGCAGCAGAGAAUGACGGCGAGCCAUGGACGCUGGAGAACACAUGCCCAGGGCAGUCGGGGCUGGAGUCGCACUGGCAAGAGGCCUGCCGCGAAGCCUCAUGCGUCCAGCCGCCAAAGGCGACCACAACUAGGGAAUCACCAUGGGGAACCCACCAUAGUCCAGCCCAUAGCCAUGGUUGCAACUCGGAGGGGGGAAACACCACUUCGGCGCCAUCAGAGGGCGGCCCAAGCCAAUCAAGGAGCCAUGCGAAAUCCUAGGAGUUAGUGCGGGCUUCAACGACUACGUCUCUGGUGGCGGCGAGAUGAGGAGGAGGGAGGGGGUAGGUGGUGGCGCAAUUUAGGUUUCCCCUAAUGCCGCCCCUAGAUAAGUACCUAUUGAUAUCCCGACAUUUUGGUAUUGCACUUGGUCUUGAACCUGGGACAUCACUCGUGUGUGUCAUCUACUAUGAUAGCUUUCUUCUUGAUGUCAUAUUGCAGGCUAUCUUGCACUGAGCUUCCCCUUCGCAUGGAAUUCAAAGUAAGUGAACAUUGCUGUACUCUACUCUCCCAAAUAUAGUAAGAAGUGACAUUUAUCUUAGCUCUUUCAAAAAAUGUAUAGAUCUCUCACCAUCUUCUUUGAUAGAAAUGCUAUUCUUUCUUUUACACCCAUUUACUUUUUCAUGAAAAUAAGCAAGGUCUCUAACUCUCUAUACAAGCCACUCUACUCUUCGCCUCAUCUUUUAUGCUCAUAUAACUCUUUUAUUUCACAAAUUUGGGCGAGUAAAGUAUGCAAGCGUUAUCUGAAAUGAAUGAACACAAAUUGUUUGUAGGUGGCUUUUCAAGCCCGCCGUCAAAUCCUAGGGCACUUACUCGAAGCCUCGAAUUAGAGCAAAAAGGGGAUAUGCAACAAAAAUAGCUUUUCUUUCAAUAAUUUGCCCUAGUUACCAUCGACAACUUGGGCUAAGCCAUAGGUCAACACAUCCUCCGAUAGAAAUGGAAGUCGUUGGAUAAUGAGAUUUGCAUUAUCUUUUUUUAAACCCUACCAUAUAUUAAUUAAAUUAUAACAUUCAUACAAUCAUUCAUUACAAAAUUUGCCACGUAGGGCGGAGCAGUAUUCAAAAAAAUACCAUCAGAGCAAUUAUCAAAACUGAACUUUGCAAUCUCGUGAGCCACCGUAUUGGCCCUCCUGUUAAUCUUGUCUAUCUUUAUACCCACCAUCAGCUUAGAGACAUUCAAUGCCUCCUUCUUUAGGUCCACCAGAGUUGACCUGUCAACACGCUCUUUUCCAAACACAAAAGCCACAAAAGAACAACCAGUUUCUAAAAUGAUGGGCUUGUCAAGAGUGAUACCAAUAUACAUGCCAUAGAGGGUCGAUCUUAGUUCCGCUUCCUCGACGCAAUGGCAAGCUCUAAUGUAACCCCAAGAGGAGAUGAUAACUUGUCUAUAAUGGCUCUAAUGACCACCCCCACGCUCGCAGCUUUGAUGGCCUCCACAAAACUUGUGUCGACAUUAAUCUUGAAAAAACCCAAGGUGGGAGGCUUCCAGGAGAUACCAUUCCUCUCCUUAUUAGUGGUUACCUGGAGUUCUUCCACCACUUGCUAACUUUGUUGCACACCGUCACCUGUAUGUUUGCAUGACAAGACGAGAAAGAAGCCCAAUAGUUGCCGCGAUGGAUUCCUUUCCCUUACCAGAAAUCAAAUCAUUCCUCAAGUGUCAAGCUCUCCAGAACAUGAAUAUAGUUUGAUCACGCAUACGCAAAUUUAAUUGAUCCAAUAAAAUAAGAAACCAGUCUGGCCCAAAAUAUUUGAUAAUAUCUUUGGCUGGUAAAUUCCACACUUCCUUCAAAGCCAUACGAAAUGCACGAGUCUUGGGACAAUUUACCAACGCGUGAAAAAUACAUUCAUCUUCAAUACCAUUGAUUGAGCACGUACCUAGAAUAGUUUGAUGGUGUUUUACCCUGUUAACUUGAAUCGCCAAACUAUUAGAAGCAGCCCUCCAAGCAAAGAUUCUAAUUUUCUGGGGGACAUUCGCCUUCCAAAUUAUGUUCCAGAGCCUCCGUUCCCCAUACUAGGAUUCUCGGAUUCACCCUUCGAUUGCUUAAGAAUCAUUGCCAGACUAUACACACUCUUCACCGAGAAUAAACCACUCUUCUCAUGGUGCCACGUAAUAAGAUCUCCCUCACCCAAAGUGAGAGUAUGCAGCUUUAAAAUUUCCUCUGUAUCAUGAGGAUAAAAUAGAUGUCUGAUCAGAUUUUCAUCCCACCUCCUAGAUCCACUCAUGAAUCAGACACCCAUUUAAUCCUCGUUCUGUUCUUCUUGGCAGUAAUGUUUAGGCCAGCUUCCCUAAGAAUCCAACUAUCCCUCAAAAUAUUUAUAGUAGUACCAUCAACAACUCUCCAAAUGAUGCCAUUUUUCAGCAGCUCAAGGCCAUGCAUAAUACCUUGCCAAGUAAGGGGCGUUGCUUGCGGGAAAACAGUAUCAAUAAGAUGCCCAUGAGGAUAAUAUUUAGUUUUCAUCACCUUUCCACACAGAGAAUUUAGAAAAAACAAUAAACGCCAAGCUUGUUUAGCCAAAAGCGCUUGAUUAAAAAACAUAAGGUUGCUGCCCUUGCGAGGAUAUGAGAUUAAAAAAACUGUUAUCAAUACUCUGAAUCAGUUGCCGAACAUGUUACAUGUGCCGUGAAAAAUGUACGAGUUAGAAGCACAAACUGUGAGCUACUACAUCACACGAGCAGACUUACACUAAAAAACAUGUCCUUAAUGAAUUAGUCGUGGUGGCAAACUAAAUGGCACUUAUUAUCAUGUCAACCCCGAUGUGUAAGGUUGUCUAUGGUCAAAACUACUACAUGGUUUAAAAGCCACAAGAAGAUCUUCAAUCAAAGUAACACACAAUUGCAUAUAUAUGACAUCAAAUCUUAUCUCCCAUUCUUCCCACUCAAGACUCAACUCGACCAUGACAGGAUUCUUGCAGUUUUCUGAUAUCUUAAUUUCAUCUUCAAUGGCUUUCAAAGCUGCAUCUACCUAUCGCUAUUUCUCCUUCAACAUGCGCUAACUUUUCAUGCGUCAGACGGUCAACACAACUUAGAAAAUCAAGCAGACUGUUUCGAGAAAUGCUAUAGCUAAGGGAAAUUUCUUACUGGUUCAAGUUUAUGGAAAGAUGCGGCACUAAAUACUUGGCCCGGUGGAAAUCGGGGGCCCAGAGAGUAAAAUAAGCGAGGAGUUAUCUAUGGACAAUGUCCUGUAACCAGCAUCCGUAAUCAGUUGCCAGCAAGUCUAGCAAUUUUGCUAUGUUCCUGGUCUUACAAAAUCAUAGCUUCUUCGAUCCGAAUUAAUUAACACAGUCUUUAUGCAAUAAUAGGCUGUGAAUCAAUUGACGCAGCCUCUAUACAACACGCAGGCUGGAGGAGGAAGUAUGAGAGAGUGAUUUUCACUUGUGGUGUGGUAAGAGAAGCACGUACGUACGGCAUGUCCGCAUGUGCAUAUUAUAUUUUAUCAGCUCUAAUAAACACCCAAGAAUAGGAUAAUAUGAAAUCUUGCAAUGAGACUUGGACACGUCGAUCAAACAGGGGCUAGGGCUUUCAAAAAAGAAAACAGAAGCUAAAGCUAGGGCGCGUGGCCCGCCGACCACCGCAUAUCGCCUCGCCUGCAUCUCACCUUUUCUUUGCAUCGUGAGGAACGUCGGCAUUAUUGGACUUCACCGUCACACUGCCCCACCCAAUCUCCUUCCUGAACCAGCCUUUACACUUGUAUAUUGGUCUCCUACUUGGCCUUCGGUACUUCAUCCGCAUGUGUUGGAUCGAAUCAGCAGCUCGUGAUAUGGGUGAGCAAUCGAGCUUCGCGAAGCUACUACUUUGUACGUGGCGGCAAGGUACGAGCACCGCCGCGCGACGUGUCCCGUUGCUUCUGCCUAUAAAUGCCGCCUGCUCCAAUCUCCUUUCCAACACAAGCAGUCGAUUCAUCCAAGCCAGAGUUGAGCAAUACUAGCAGUGAGAUUUGGCCCUUCCGAUCGAGUGAUUUCAGUUCGUGUUUGUUAGUGAGAGAGAAGACAAGCGGAGAUGGCCUCCAACCAGAACCAGGCGAGCUACAUGGCCGGCGAGACCAAGGCCCGCACCGAGGUAACCGUCGUCUCCUAUAGUGCCUACCACUUCAUCCUGCUGCCGCGCGCAUGCGCCGUUGCUUCCGGCGGUGAUCUGAAAUGCUCUCUUCGUUGUGCAGGAGAAGACCGGGCAGAUGAUGGACAAGGCGGGCCAGGCCACGGAGGCCACCAAGCAGAAGGCCGGCGAGACGGCCGAGGCCACCAAGCAGAAGGCCGGCGAGGCCAAGGACAAGACGGCCCAGACGGCUCAGGCGGCCAAGGACCGCGCCGCCGAGAGCAAGGACCAGACCGGCAGCUUCCUCGGCGAGAAGACUGAGGCGGCCAAGCAGAAGGCGUCGGAGACGGCGCAGUACGCGCAGGAUAGGUCCUCCGACGCCGCGCAGUACACCAAGGAAUCCGCCGUUGCCGGCAAGGACAAAACCGGCAGCGUGCUCCAGCAGGCCGGCGAGACGGUGGUGAGCGCGGUGGUGGGCGCCAAGGACGCGGUGGCGAACACGCUGGGCAUGGGCGGUGACAACACCACCAAGGACACCACCACCAGGAAUCACUAGAUGCAUGCGUUCGCGCUUAAUUUGCUUUCCUUUAGUCGUGUUUGGUCGUUCACGAGCCUUCUACUAUGUUUCCACUCUUUCGUGAUUUUCCGCUCAUUUAGUGUAAGUUUGCCGCCGAUUUGAUCUACCCGUGUCCCGUUCUGUAAUGAGUUACUUAUAAUCCAUGUACUUCACUCGAAGGCGGCAAUAAAGUUAUAUGUGAUCGAAUUUCUUUUGUCACGGUAUCAUUGAAACUUCAAUCCGUUGUUGCCGGACCAACUGAGCAUUGCUCAUAUGGUGAGGUACUGAGGUUCGCUGUG
rnacentral:lncRNA from 1 species